rnacentral:lncRNA from 1 species
AACAUUGAUGAUAUAAGCAUCUGGGGUGGGCUUAACUCGAAUCCAUUCUCCAUCGGUUUUUCGCUUUACUUCCAACCCUCCGACAUCAUCCUGAGCAAGGAUGGUUAAGGCUCCGCCAUCCUUGUGGCGACCAACGCCCAGAGCUAGGUGAGGGAUGGGGCAAGGUGGGUAGUGAUUGAGGCGGAUGAAGUUCGUUGAUUCUUCAAAGAAAAGAUUGAAUCUGUUUUCUGGCAAACCUAAACUCAACGAGAUGAGUCCCAACAGCUUGAAAGCUAAUUUUUCCAUUUCUCUAGCAUACUCUUCACAUACCUCCCUAUAUAAAUCAGUUCAAUUAGAACAAAAAAGAUAAGUAAUUCACUGUAGUGAUUGUGCCUUAGCUGGUGAAAUUUGUACCUUAAUUCAGGAGGGUACUGAGGCCACUGAUUGGUCAGCUCUUUGAGCUCCUUGUCGUCAGGAUCAGGCGAAACAGGGAUCACGGUGGGGGUUGAUACCACGAAAUCAAAGACUUCCUUCCAGUCCCUAACGUUCUUGGUAAGCUCGGAAUCAAAAUACCCCAAAGGAUUCACCUCAUCUCUACUCACCUUCCUCUUCUCCUCCAAUGGCAGAGCGAAGAAUUUUCUAGCCGCAUCCUCAAUUUUCCGGCGAGACUCCGAGGGCACCCCAUGGUUGAUUACUUGAAAGAAGCCCCAAUUCUUGGAUGCAUCAGCUAUUUGAGAAACAUGGUUGGAAGCAUUGGCGGAAGAGAGAUCAAUGAGGGGUGUUGGGACGUCAUUUGUUUUGAGUAUAUUUGGCUCUGUGCCAGUCAAGGGCGUCACAGAGUGGCCUCCCCAGGAUUCAAACCCAAGUCCAAGACUUAAGGACGAUAAGGUUGCCCUCCUGGUACCAUCUGUGCUGCACGUCCCAACAAGGGGGAUGCCUUCAGCUUCGAUAACAGCGAGCUUAGGCCUAUGUUGGGUGUCUUGGAUGAAGGCUGGAUCGACCUCUCCCAUGGCUGUGGCUGUGGCUGCAGGUGAAGAUGGUGACGGGAACUUGGGCCACUUGGCAGGCGGUUUUUGUAGUGUGGUGGGGUUGGUUUAGUACAUUGAACCUGGACAUAAUUUGGGUUACGUUUUAAGGUUUGGUUGAGGGUGUGACCUCAUGGAUUGCGCAUAUAUUAAUGAUAAUUGGUCAAGUGAUACUGCAGUCCCAAAGGGAAUCUCUCUCAAUGAUUUUACCGACAGCUCCCUCCACGUUCAAAUGUUUGAUCCGUAUUUGAAUUGGAGUCUAAUGCUCUGAUCAAAGACACCUUUCGCUUAGUCGAUCAGUGUUUGAUUACUAAAUAAGAUGGUAUCACAAAUAUUUUUGAAUUCUAGGUCAAAGUUAACGAGCGUCAUCAAUUUGAUUUUAUAAGAUAAAUUGUUUAGAAAUACUUUUAAAAAUGAUUCUUAAAAAAUAUUUUUUUAAGUUUAAAAACCAUUUUUAAAACACUUUUAUAAUUUUUUAGAAUAAAGGUUUAUUUAAAAACUUAUAUUAUUAUAAACUUAUUUUUUAUUUUUUUAAUAUUUUUUAAAUAAUUUUUAUAUAUAAUAUUUUAUUUUCAACCAUUUUUUAUAUUUAUUCUUUUUUUUUUUUAAAAAGGUAAAACUAUUAAAAAUACUUAAAAUAAGUUAUCAACAAAUGCCUAAUUGUCAUGACAAUUUUCAAAAACAUGUUUUAAAAACAAUUGAAAAUCAAAGUAUUUUCAUAUUGCUUUAUUCUCAAAAACAAAAAAUUAUUCUUGGUAACGGUUCCAAAUGUAUCCUUCAUUUGGUUAUCUUAUUAUAUAAGUUUUAAAAUAAAAUACAAAAAAUAAUUUUCAAUGAUAAUUUGUUAUGGUUUUAUCCAAAAAUUUGAUAUUUUUAAUUAAUUAAUUUAUUGAUACGUAUAUUCCCACACAUAUUUUCAUAAAUGGAACCAUAUAAAAAAAUAUUGAAUUAAAAAAAAUAACACAUGAAAUGUGGAAAAAACAAAACACAAUAAUGGUGAAAUUAUGAUUUGUUCAAAAGAAGAAAAUAAUAGUUAGAUUGAUUUGAAAUUUGUUAGAAUCUUUUCUUUUUUUUCUUGAAUUAAUGUGGAAGUUUCAUGACAAGUAAGAAGAAACAACAAGAAUCUUAAUUUUUUUUUUUAAAAAAAAGAAUCCCGAAUGUUCAAGAAAAAUGCAAGAGUUUAAAAAAAAAAGUAGAGUAGAGUUUUUAGUGAGAAAAAGGUAAGAUUAAAAAUGUCUUAUAACAAGAAAAAUUAAUUAAAUCAUUAGUUAGCCAUUUGGUCUCAUUCUUACACAACGACUUCUCUCAUGGCUGCCCAACAUGUAUGAAUAGCUCUCUACAACAAAUAAGGUGCACUUAAUUAAAAAGUUGUUUAAUUUAAAGAUGUUCGAGAAUGAGAACUUCAAGUAGCACUUGAAUGAAUUUAAUGAGAUCACAGAUUAAUUAAAUUUGAUGAUAAGAUUCAAGCUUUAUUAAUCCUCAAUUAAUUGUCUGAGAGUUGGAAAGACACAAUUAGUAGUUCAUCCAGAAAAAUCAAAAUUGGUGUUCUUGAAAGUAGUAUACAUGAUUAUAACCGAGGAGAUUAGGAAGCAUGAAGAAGGGUUUUCCGAUUCAUGAUCAACAUUAAACAUGGAGAGCAAAGGUAGAAAUCAAAAUAAAGGUAACAGGUGUGAUAAAUCCAAAUCGAAGAAUGAUAGGUUGAAAUAUAGAAAUUCCAUAAAUUCCUAACACCAGACAAGUAAGAAAGAUAUCAAAUGUUAGAAUUGUGAUUGGAGCUAAAAUAUGUGCUCUAAUGACAUAUAUUUGAUAUGAUUUCUGCACCAUAAGACACUCAAAUCAUCUAACUCUACCCAAAUUGAUGCUAUGGCCUUAACCACGAGUUUAACUUGUAUUUGGAGAUUCAUCUUAGGUUUAAGGGAAUAAAAAGGUACAAGUUGAAUCACUUUAGAUUUUGAAAGAAUAAGAAGGGGUUAAAUGAGAAAAUGAACAAGUCAAGACUCAUGAAAUAUGAGGAAAGGCAAGAUGAAGAUAUCACGAGUUUGAGAGAUAAGGAAUGACCAUUAUGAAGUAAGAAAUAAGGCAUACAAACAUAGAAAAUGAGGCAUGAAGCUAAAUUCAUCAAGUUUGCAUGGAAAUUUGGGACCCAAAAUCUGGUGGUAACAUGUACUCUAACUUUAAGAUGAAAUUUGAAGCAUUUCCCAAAGUCCAUUUUAGGCAAGCUAUAUAUUGUUUUGAAGCUCAGGAAGUUAGGAAUUCAAAGCUUUAAAUGAUGUGCAAAUUAGAGGUAAAUAAAGAAGUUAUGCACAUUUAAAGCAAACUGGUUAGAGAGGAAAACUGAGUUCAAAAUUGGUAACUUGGAUUUGAAAUGAUUUUUGUCCAUUUAAACUCAGAGGAAUGAAAUAAAACUUUUGGAAUAGGCUAAGUUUGAAUCUCUCUACCUAUUUCAAACAAGAAGCAUACAUUUCAAAGCUAAACGAACAUGCAUGGGCAAUGAGUGUGUUCGAAAUUCAUUGUGAAUUUUGAACUCACCUUGUUGAUUUCAAAUUGGACCAUUUAUUUCCCACUUAUGAGUUCAAAAUUGAUUUGGAACUCACCCAAAUUUCGAACUCAACCACUAGUGACCGAUUUUGAGCUCCGAGACAUGUCAAAAUGAGUUUCAAAUGCCUCUAUCCAAUUCAAAAUGCAUCAUACUCAUUUAGAACUCGUAAUUUUUGGGGCUUUUUUUAAAAGUUAUUUAUGACUUUUUGUUGUAAUAAGUGGCCAAUGAGAGUGUACCACAUGUUAAGUCAUUGAAGUUACUAUAUAAACUCUUUUAAUUCUAGAGUUUAGGUGAUUUUCCAAGAGUUAGACAUUUUGUAUGGAAGAAUACAAGAACUUUGGUUUAUUUCUUUUAUUUUUAUUGAAUAUAUUGUUUGUAGUUUCUUUUGAUUCAAAUUAUGAAUUUUUACACUAUUAUGGAUUGUGAAUGUGACAUUACCCCUAAGAGAGGAUAAAAAGCUAACUUGGGGCUUAAAACAUAAAAACCUAACGGUUAGAAAAUUUAUAAGGACACUAGGUAAAUUAUUAUAAUAAUAAGAUUACUUAAUGGUUGAGUUACAAUUUAUUAAUUUUUUAUCCUAUCAUUGUGAGUUAGUUUGGAGAAUAAUAUAGUAGGUUAUUAUUCGAUACUAGUGAUUCUUGGUAACUCUUUAUCAUUAGUUAUCCUGAUUUUCCUUAUGGUUAUCUGCCCCAAAACAAAGCUAUAAGGAGUAGGAAAUGUUAAAAAGCCAAACCUUAAAAUGAUUGUAAUCUCAUUCAUUUGAUGGCUUUAAGAAUUUGUUUUUUGUUAAAAAAAAAAAUAGGUUUUAGAUGUAAUUUUGAGUUAUAAGGCUCAAGUUGAUCGUAAGCGACCAAGAAUUCUAAAACCUUAAGAUCACUCUUGAUUACUACUCAAAAAGUGCAAUUUCAUAGCUUAUAAUUAACUCUUUUAAACACUUUUGAGUAGUAGUUAUUGCCUUUUAACCCAAUUAACAUGUUAAGGACCCUUGCAAUCAUUUCUAAUCAAAUUGUGUAAGUUUUGGUGUUUUUGUUAGUAAUUUGAUCACCAAAACAAUCCAAGAAUGAGGGAGAAUUGUAUAUAGUUCAUGGCAAAGCUUUUGGAAGCUCAAAUUCAUGAAGAACCAAGCUUUGGAGCUCCAUAGCCCUUUGCCAAAGUCGUUCAAAGUAUGCAAGGAGAGAAGCAAGGAGAAGAGGAAAACAGAGUGAAGAAAACAGAGGACAAGCAGCUUCAGUCUUCAUGCGCACUUUUGGAGCACUUCCCGAAGUCCAUUUUCUACAUUCUAUAUACCAUUUCAAAGCUCAGGAAGUCAAGAAUCCAAUGAUUCAAACGGUGCGCGAUUCGGAGUUGAAACGAAGGAGUUACAGCCAUUGCAAGCAGAUCACUCCAAAGUGUUGCGAAAUCAGCCUUUUGUUGCGAGAAUUUCGCAGCCUUUUUGUACAGUGCUAUGGAAUUCCUCCUGAAGCUACCCGAUACAUGCCGCAAGCUGGAACACUGAGAACCUCAAGGUGGAAGCCAAUUUCGCAGCCCUCUUGAGUGUCUGCGAAAUCUCGCAGACACCAUUUUCACCUGCGAAAUGUCCUUAGUGCUUCCUGAUAUUUGUGCACCGACUCUUUUAGAUCUUUUCUUCAGAUAUUUUUGUAUAAAUUUCCAUUCUUCUCCUUGUAAGCCACCAACCACAAGAUUUCUUAGCUAGGAAGGUUGGAAAAACUCCUCUAUAUAUAUUCCCUUGCAUCCAAUGUAAUCAUAUAUAUCAUAUAUAGAAUAUACAGAGCCUUGCUCUGUUUUUCCUUCUCUUUCAUUUUUCAUUUACUUUUCUUUCUAGCCAACCAAACUCUGAGGAUUUUUCCACAGAGGAUGAGAGGCUAAGCUUUUUGUCUCUUGGAGUGAGGAAAGCCGGGUAAGUUUCCACAUGCAUAAUUUGGAAGUUUUGUUGUUUUAGUUUUUAAUGAAGAGAAAGUGUGACCCGUUAGUGAUUUUUAUCUUUUUAGUUAACUUAAAACGCCUUUAAAUCACCUGGGCCAACACUUGGUAAGGCAAGUGAUUUCCAACCAUGGAAAUGCACUAGUUUACCCCUUGCGAGCCUUUGGGAGGUGACUUGAAGGUAGGAUUUUCUAGAAUAGCCAACACUUGGUAAGCUUUUGGACUCCUAGGAGACAUCCAUUAGUUAUCUCUUGCGAGCUUGAGAAGGGAAGUCCAAGGUUAAAGAUCACCUUGAAUGGUAAGUGCUCGUGAGAGGCAUGAACCAUUGCAAGUUGCAUCAGUGAGAGGGAUUUAGUGUUUGAAUCCAUUAAUGGGAAGCAUCUGUACAACACCGGUUGGAGAAGGAACUAUAUGUUAAUUCUCUAAUGCGAGGAAAAUAAACAAGUGACCGGAACCCUCCAUUUUGUAUGAGGAACGAGCCUAGUGAUCUGAACUCCAAGAAACAUCUUUUCUUUAUAAGUUAAAAUCAGUUACUAUUUUUAGUUAGCUUAAAACCAAACCUUUUUCAUUUAAACAUCUUUAUGUUUUCUUUUAAAGCUAACCUUGAAAUGAAAAGGCACCAAUUCAUCUUUGAAUUAAUAUCAAUUGUGAAGUGAAAACCCAUCCCAGUGAACGAUCCUAGAGCCACUAUGCUAUAGUAGCUUUGUCUUUGCUACCCUAGUAUAUGGUGUAAUAGGUUAUAAAUUUUGUUGAUCAAUCCCUCAAUCAAGGAGCACCAGCUGGACACGAAUCAGCUGAGACACCAAGUGGGCACGAAUCAAAUGGCGCCGUUGCCGGGGAUCGAACCCCGAAUCAGAUGGUGUCAUUGCCACUGCCGCUGCUAGGGACGAAUCAAAUGGCGCCGUUGCCGGGGAUCGAANNNNNNNNNNNNNNNNNNNNNNNNNNNNNNNNNNNNNNNNNNNNNNNNNNNNNNNNNNNNNNNNNNNNNNNNNNNNNNNNNNNNNNNNNNNNNNNNNNNNAAUUCAGCUUUGAAUUGAUAUCAUUUGUGAAGUGAAAACCCAUCCCAGUGAACGAUCCUAGAGCCACUAUGCUAUAGUAGCUUUGUCUUUGCUACCCUAGUAUAUGGUGUUAUAGGUUAUAAAUUUUGUUGAUUAAUCCCUCAAUCAAGGAGCACCAGCUGGACACGAAUCAGUUGAGACACCAAUUGGGCACGAAUCAAAUGGCGCCGUUGCCGGGGAUCGAACCUCGAAUCAAAUGGUGUCAUUGCCACUGCCGCUGCUAGGGACGAAUCAAAUGGCGCCGUUGCCGGGGAUGGUGCCACUUUACAGUGAUAUCACCUUUUCAGAGUACUUGUGAUCUUCAUCACAAGUUUGGUGACUUUUCUGUUCCUUUUACUAACUCUUUUUAUUUCUUUAUUGUUCAUAUUUUAGUAUACUUUUUAUUUAGUUUUUAGUUUACCUUAAUUUUCUUUCUUUGAAUUGUUUUUCUUUUGUUUUCUUUUGUGUUCUCUGUUUUUAAUUCACAAAUUGCUAGUUGUGCAUGCCAUAUUGAAUACCAUAGCAGAGGAAGCCAUGAACUUCAUGAGUUAUGUGGUUGAAGUUUCAAGAGGAUGGGAUGAACCAAAUGCUAGAGAUAUGGGAAGAAUGACAUCUCAACCUAAAGCUAAGGGUGAGAUGUAUAUUUUGAAUGAUGGUAUGAACAUGAAGGCAGAAAUUGCAGCUAUGGAAAGGAGAUUGGAAGAGCUAGAAAUGACAAAUAUGCAACCAGUGCAAGCCAUCUCUCAAACACCAUUGCAAGCUAUGCCUUGUGCCAUUUGUCGAUCAUAUGAGCACUUGGUGGAUGAGUGUCCUACCAUUCUAGUCGAGAGGGAAAUGUUUGGUGAUUGCAACACCUACAAUUCCAAUUGGAGGGACCAUCCAAAUUUCUCUUGGAAACCACAGCCACCUCAGUAUCAGCAACCUACUCAAACACCACAGCAAGCCUCAAACCUUGAACAAGCUAUGGUGAAUCUUUGCAAGGUAGUAGGAGAUUUUGUGGGAAAGCAAGAAGCCACCAAUGCUCGAGUGGAUCAAAGAAUGGACAGAGUGGAUCAAAGAAUGGACAGAAUGGAGAGUAUGUUGAACAAAAGAAUGGAUGAAAUGCAAAAUGAUAUGGCCCAAAAGUUAGAUAUUCUCCAAGAUUCAAUCUCAAGGUUAGCCAACCUCAACACAAUGCAAGAGAAAGAAAACUCUCCUUCUCAACCUUAUCAAAAUUCCAUGAGUAUCCAUGAAAUGGAGGCUAAGGAGGGAGAACCUUCACAAAAGAAGGAAAUUGAAGAAGUGAUCACUCUGAGGAGUGGUAAAGAGGUUGAUCUGCCCACAUGCAAGCUAGAGCAUAAGGUAGAGAGUGAAACAGAGAAAGAAAAGAGGGAGGAAAUCAAAGGAAAGAAAAAGGGGAAAAGCAUAGAGAAAGAUGGCUAUGAUGUUAAUGUACAAAAAGAAUCACAGAGGAUAGUCAUCAAGGAAGAAUUGAUGAAAAAACACAUGCCUCCACCUUUUCUCCAAGCUUUGUAUGGCAAGAUCAUACAGAGAAAGUCCCAAGUGGGAGAUGCAAACUUCAUAUGGGAUCCGGGCAAGCUAAAUCAGGAUCAAAUUUUUUGAUGGACUUAGUCUUUUUAAAGACUAGCUAGUCCAUAUCCUUUUGUUUUGUUUUUUUAGUUGUUUUAAUUUUAAUUUCAAUGCUUUAAUUUUGAUUUCAAUGCUUUAAUUCUGUUUGUUUUGAUGUAAUAUAGGUUUUUGGAUGAUCAAAAUCAAGAGGAAUUGCAAAGAAAUUGAAGAAAAAAAAAUCGGAGCAAAAUCGGAGCAAAAUUGGAGUCAAACGGAGCGAAAACAGGGGAAAAACAGGGGAAAAACAGGGGUCUGCGAGAUUUCGCAGCCUCUGCGAAAUCGGCAUUUUGUUGCCAAACCAUUCCGCAACACUGUAGAAGUCUCUGCGAGGGCAUUUCGCAGCUGCGAAACCAAAUUUGGCACACGAGUGCCACUUCGCAGCACAGGAGCCCCCAUUUCGCAACUGCGAAAGCGGCUGCGAACCACCAAAGCAUGAAAUCCUCCAUUUCGCAGGGAAAGCUCCAUUUGGCAGGGUAUUUCGCAGCUGCGAAAGUGAAUUUGGCACACGAGUGCCACUUCGCAGUACAGUAGCAUCCAUUUCGCAGCUGCGAAACGCAUUGCGAAGUGGUAAAGGCUGAUUUCGCAACAAAAGUCCCAUUCCGCAGGGUAUUUCGCGGCUGCGAAGCUGGUUUUGGCACACGAGUGCCAUUUCGCAGCACAGUGACCCUCAUUUCGCAGCUGCGAAAUGGCUGCGAAGUUCCAAAACGUGAAAAAUCCCAAUUUCACAGCCGCACCCAUUUCGGCAACUGUUGGACACAUCUCGAUCACUUCCCGAAGCUCAAAUUAUGCAUAUGAUAUCUCGUUUCAAAGCUUGGGAAGUCAGGAGUCCAUAGCUUCAAAUGGUGCUCGAUUUGGAUUUGAAACGGAAAAGUUAUGGCCGUUUGAAGAAGACUGUGCAAACCAUGAGCGGAAAUGUCGCACCUCAAUUUCGCUACUGUUGGACACAUUUUUGAAGCACUUCCUGGAGCUCAAAUUAUGCAUACAAUAUCUCGUUUCAAAGCUUGGGAAGUCAGGAGUCCAGCGCUUCAAACGGUAUGCGAUUUGGAGGUGAAUUGAAGAAGUUAUGGUCGUUUGAAGAUAAGCGCGCAAAGCUGAACGGGAAUUUCGCAACCGAGACGCCAUUUGGAAGGGUGUUUCGCAGCUGCGAAACCACUUUUUGGCACACGAGUGCCAUUUGCAGCACAGUUCCCCUCAUUUUGAAGCUGCGAUACACCUGUGAAAUAACCUUUGAGCUGCGAAAUCACUUUUAAGCUGAGAAAUGGGUUGCGAGAAUUCCCCUGCUCUACGAAAUCCACCCCCUGCUGCGAAAAUGCUCCAAGCUUCAAAAAUGGGCUGCGAAAUUGCUCAUUGCCUACGAAAUGAUCUCCAAGCUUUGAAAUGGUUGCGAAAUCACCUCCAAGCUUAGAAAUGGCCUUCAAAUUGCGAAAUUGACUUGUGAAAUGGAGGGUGAUUUGCAAAAACACCUUGCAAAGCCAAGGGAAGUUGCUAAAAUGCCAUCAGAGCCCUGCAACCAUGCAUAUGAAGAGGAGAGCCUCGCACACCCUGGGAUCACACACACAAAGUCUCUCACUCCAUUUCUGACCUCCUUAAACCAUCAAAUCUCAUAGCUCCAGCUGAGAGCUCCAAUUGAGGAGACUAUGCCACUUAAGGAGACUACUUGAACAGAGGCCAAAGUCCUGAUCCAACCCACUCAAGAGGCCAUCACAGACACAUCAGCUCCACAAGACCUUACCAUUACUUGAUCAUCUUUUUAUUUUUUUGUCUUUACAUAUUAUAUUAGUAUACAUAAUUCCAUGUUUUGAUGUCUUACAUUUUGGAAUUGGAUGUAUUACUGAUGAUACAUCAUACAUAGACAUCAAUUUUUGUUUAAACUUAGCAUUUUUCUAUUUCCUCUACUCACUAACUCUUAUGUUUUCUUUGAAACAUGUGGUUUCUCCUAUACGACUCAAACUCCAUGUCACUCAGGAGGUACCACUUCCUCCCUAUUUUUUAAUCGCUUUUGUCACAUUGAGGACAAUGUUCAACUUGGUUGGGGGGAGAGUUGAGGAAGUAAGUAUUGUUAAUAAUGCUAAGUUAUUUUGGUAAUUUAGUUGCUUUUUGCUUAAUUUUAAAAAUUUUUGCUUUAAACUCCAUGGAUAUUAAGGAUUAACUCUCAAAAUUAAAUGAGAGAAGUCAAGUUUCAACUUGAUUACAGGAGUCUUAGAGUUUGUAUUAUGCUCUUUUAAAAGUUGAUGAAUUGUUGAAACUCCCAUUGCAUGCAAACUUAUCUCUUCCACCUUAAGCUAUUCGCACACACAUACAUUAGAUUCCGGUUAUAAGAUGUGAAACUAUCUCACCCUCUAAGCUUGAGAAAUCAUAAUUUGACACCUUUAACCUCUCUUUAAUAGUGUUGGGACACCUCAUAAAGACCAAUGAGUCUUUGAAAAAAUAGAAAAAAAGAAAAAAGAAAAAGAAAAAAAAAAAAAAAGAAUAAACUUCUUUACUUGCCUUGAAACCUGAGCAUGGUCCGAAGGGGUGGCGAAAGCCUUUAAAGCCUGGUGCCCUAAGCCUUUAUUGGUUGGGAGUCACCGAUCCUCUGCUUGUUACAUGGGUGAAUUGGUUAAGUUUAGUAAGUGAAAAGAAUUGUGAAUAAGAGGUGCGUUCCUAGCCUAUCAAGAGAUGGUUAAUUUUACUAAGCUUAAAGAAAGACUUAGGUUGGGGGGAGAUGAUAGUUAUCCAUACUAUAAUCGGAAGCUAAUCACAUUAACACUUAGCUUUUAGUGGAAGAAUUUGAUUUGGAUCUUUUGAGAGUGGAAAUUCUUUUGAUGCUUAAACUUGCAUAAUAUCCAUUCUUUGUACUCUAAGAUCAAGUGAAUGCUUUGACAACUCUUAUUAUAGGUUGAGAUUCACAUCUUUAUUGAUCCAUGGAUGUCCAUCAUGCCACUCAUAUCAUUUUUUGGAGUGAUUUGCAUGAUCCCUUUUAUGUAUAUUAUUAUAGUUACUUAGUUUUUAUCUCCUUCAUUGCUAAGGGACUAGCAAUAUGUCGGUUGGGGGGAGUGAUUACUACUCAAAAAGUGCUAUUUCAUAGCUUGUAAUUAAUCCUUUUAAACACUUUUGAGUAGUAGUUAUUGCCUUUUAACCCAAUUAACAUGUUAACGAUCCUUGCAAUCAGUUUUGAUCAANNNNNNNNNNNNNNNNNNNNNNNNNNNNNNNNNNNNNNNNNNNNNNNNNNNNNNNNNNNNNNNNNNNNNNNNNNNNNNNNNNNNNNNNNNNNNNNNNNNNNNNNNNNNNNNNNNNNNNNNNNNNNNNNNNNNNNNNNNNNNNNNNNNNNNNNNNNNNNNNNNNNNNNNNNNNNNNNNNNAGUUGCAUCAGUGAGAGGGAUUUAGUGUUUGAAUCCAUUAAUGGGAAGCAUCUGUACAACACCGGUUGGAGAAGGAACUAUAUGUUAAUUCUCUAAUGCGAGGAAAAUAAACAAGUGACCGGAACCCUCCAUUUUGUAUGAGGAACGAGCCUAGUGAUCUGAACUCCAAGAAACAUCUUUUCUUUAUAAGUUAAAAUCAGUUACUAUUUUUAGUUAGCUUAAAACCAAACCUUUUUCAUUUAAACAUCUUUAUGUUUUCUUUUAAAGCUAACCUUGAAAUGAAAAGGCACCAAUUCAUCUUUGAAUUAAUAUCAAUUGUGAAGUGAAAACCCAUCCCAGUGAACGAUCCUAGAGCCACUAUGCUAUAGUAGCUUUGUCUUUGCUACCCUAGUAUAUGGUGUAAUAGGUUAUAAAUUUUGUUGAUCAAUCCCUCAAUCAAGGAGCACCAGCUGGACACGAAUCAGCUGAGACACCAAGUGGGCACGAAUCAAAUGGCGCCGUUGCCGGGGAUCGAACCCCGAAUCAGAUGGUGUCAUUGCCACUGCCGCUGCUAGGGACGAAUCAAAUGGCGCCGUUGCCGGGGAUCGAACCCCGAAUCAGAUGGUGUCAUUGCCACUGCCGCUGCUAGGGACGAAUCAACUCUAGUUAAGAAACCUUUAUUUUCUCUAUUUCUAUACCUUAGGUUAGAUUGUGGAAAACCUCAAAGUUAAAUCAAUUAAAUUAAAAAUCAAUAUUCGUUUUAUUAUUAAUUUAGCUUCUUUUACUUACUUUCACUUCAUAAAAGUUAAUUCACAUAUUGUUUUUCACUUUAGGAUUUAAAUAAAAACAAUUCAUUUAUCAUAGUAAUGACAAAUUCCAUAAGUUAGUCCCUAAGGAUAAUACCCAACGUAUUAUAAAAGCCGGAGUGACUAUUUCUCUGAUUUUUUCUUGACCAAAGUUGCUACAUAAAAAGGCUUAAUAUUUUAGAUAAUAGAGAAGAUUGGUCAAAUUGUGGAAAGAAGGGACAUUAUAAAAAUGAGUGCAAGGCUGCCAAAGAUAAGAAUGGUGACAACAAGACCAAUGAAAAUGUUGUUUCAGAAGAAUUAGAUGAUGCUCUUAUUUGCUAUUUGGAGAGAACAACAAAAUCGUGGGUAUUAGAUUCAGGGACAUCAUUCCAUGCUACCUCAAAUGGAGAAUUAUUUGAGAAUUAUGUCUCAAGUAAUCUAGGGAAGAAGUAUCUAGGUGAUGACCAAGCAUGUGUUGUUAUUGGCAUAGGUGAAGUGUGGAUCAAAUUGAAUGGAUUUGUAUGAAAUUUAGACAACGUGAGGCACAUUUCAAACCUCAGAGAGAAUUUUAUUUCCAUUAGGUAGUUAGUAAAAGAUAGCUAUGUGACAACUUUUGUAGGUGACACAUGGAAUAUCUCAAAGGGAGCUAUUUUCCAUGGCAAGAAGAAUGAUACUCUUUACAUGACAAUGGAUGGUUGUGAGUUUAUUGCAGUUGUUGAGAGCAAAGAAGAUUCGAAUUUAUGGCAUUAGAGGUUUGGUCACAUGAGUAAUGAUGGGCUGGAAAUUAUACACUCGAAUGGGAAGUUGUCAAGUUUGAAGUAAGUUGAUGUUAACAUGUGUGAAAGUUGCAUACUUAGGAAACAAAAAAGGGUUAGCUUUAAUAAAGUUGGAAGAACUCUAAAGGAAGCAAAACUGAAGUUAGUUCAUACAAAUGUUCGGGGACUUGCUUCAGUUUCAUGUAUCGGUGAAAGAUCCUAUUUUGUGACCUUCACUGACGAUCAUUUGAGGAAAGUGUGAGUAUACUUUAUGAUACACAAAUGAGAAGUAUUUGAUGUAUUCAAGAGAUGGAAAAUAAUGGUGGAGAAUAAGAAAGGUAUGAGAGUGAAGAAGUUGCGGUUUGAUAAUGGUAGGGAGUAUGAAGACUUUGAGUUUAAGAAGUUCUAUUAUAAAAAUGGAAUUAAAUUGGAGAAGACCAUGCCAAGGACACCUUACCAGAAUGGUAUAACAGAAUGAAUGAACAAGACAUUGAUUGAAAGAGAAAAAAAAUGUGUAUACAAGCAAGGUUGUCAAAGGAGUUCUAGGUAGAAGCAAUCAACACAACAACUUACUUGAUCAAUUGAGGACCGUCAACUUGAUCACAAAAUACCGGAAAAAGUGUGAACUAGAAAAACGGUAAAGUUUUCUCAUUUAAGGGUAUUUGGUUGUGUAUCAUAUAUAUAUAUGUGUGUGUGUGUGUGUGUGUAUACAUAUUAGUGAUCAUGACAUAAACAUACUUGAUGCUAAAUCACUAAAAUGUACUUUCAUUAGCUAUGGUGUUAAUGAUUUUAGUUAUCAGUUUUGGGAUGACUAUAAUAGGAAAGUGAUUAGAAGUAGGGAUGUCAUAUUUAAUGAGAAAGUUUUGUAUAAGUAGAGAGAUGCAACACAUUCCAAUAGUCUGGUACAACCUGAACUUAUUUACUUUGAGCUAGAUGAUGUCCCAUAGAAUAACAUGACAAAUAAGACAAGUCAGAAUCAUAGAUUGAGGAAAAUACUACAUAGGAUGUUAAUAUAUCACAAGAUCUAGUUUCAAUUCCUACUUUGAGGAGAUCCAAUAGGCCACAUGUACCAAAUAGGAAAAAUUUAAAUUAUUUGCUACUAAUAGAUGGAAGUGAACCUAAAUGUUAUGAUGAGGCACAUCAUAUGGAAGAUAAUAGCAAGUGGGAGCUUACAAUGAAAGACGAAAUGAAGUCUCUUAUUCUUAACCAAACUUGGAAGCUAAUCAAGUUACCGGUGGGUAAGAAAGUUGUUCACAAUAAGUGGGUGUAUUAAAUUAAGUAGGAGCAUGAUGGUUCUAAGAUACAUGAGGCUAGAUUGGUGGUCAACGGGUUUUAGCAAAAAAAAAUGGUUGACUAUACAUACAUCUUCUCUCUAGUUGUGAAACUAACUAUUAUUUGAUUUGCUUUGAGUAUUGUAGUGAUAGGGAGUCUACAUAUAGAGCAAUUAGAUGUGAAGAUAGCUUUCCUCUAUGGUGAUUUGGAGGAGAAAAUUAAUAUAUAUGCAACAACUAGAGGGUUUUGUAGUGAAGGGUAAAGAGAAUGUGGUGUGCAAAUUAACUGAGAGUUUGUAUGGUUUAAAACAAGUCCCAAGACAUUGGUAUAAAAUAUUUGGCGAUUUCUACAAAAGAAUGGGUAUCUCAAGUGCAAUGCAGACCAUUGUUGUUACUUCAAAAAGGUUGGUUCUAUCUGUAUUAUUUUGUUACUGUAUGUUGAUGACAUGUUAGUAGCUGACACAAAUUUAGAUGAAAUUAACAAGUUGAAGAAAUAGUUGUCUAGUGAAUUUGAAAUGAAGGACUUGGAUGCAACAAAUUAGGUACUUGGGAUGAAGAUUAACAGAGAAAAAUAAAUGGGCAUUUUGUGGUUAUCUUAGGCUAAGUAUAUAUAUUCAUAAAGCAUUGCAAAGAUUGGACAUGAGUAAUGUUAAGGCAGUUAGAACAUCAUUAGCAAAUCAUUUCAAGUUGUCUAAUUAAACAUUGCCCAUGGGCAUAUGAGGAAAGAGACUUCAUGGCUAAGGUCACAUAUGCCUUAGCCAUUGGAAGUUUGAUGUAUGUUAUGAUAUGCACGAGACUAGACAUUGCCUAUGCAAUGGAAGUUGUGAGCAGAUUUAUGCCAAAUCCAAGUAAAUAGCAUUACGAAGCAGUGAAAUGGAUGCUUAGGUACUUACAGGGUACUACAAAAAACUGUCCAUGUUUCAGAAGGGGUGAGUUAAAAUUGCAAGGAUAUGUGGAUAUUGAUUUUUCCAAUGAGAUAGAUAAUUGGAAAAGUACUAUAGGGUAUGUGUUCACUUUGGGUACUACUGCUAUUAGUUGGAUUUCUCAAUUGCAGAAGAUUGUUGUUUUAUCUACAAUUAAAGUAAAAUAUGUGGCUAUGACAUAAGCUAGUAAAGAAAUGAUUUGGUUGUAGAGUUUGUUAGCAAAGUUGGGAUUCAAACAAGAUAUGAAUGUUUUGCAUAGUAAUAGUCAAAGUGCAAUACAUUUGGCUAAGUAUUCAGCAUUUCAUUCAAGAACUAAUUAUAUUACACUUCGUUAUGUACUUCAUCAGGCUUUUGCUUAAAGAUAGGGUGUUAACACUUGUGAAGAUACAAGGUAGCAAGAAUCUAGUUAACAUGUUAACCAAAAUAGUGAUAACAGAAAAACUUGAGUUGUGUACAACUUCAAUUGGUCAAGAGUGAGAAUAGGUUGUUUGAGUGCACCCUCAUACCCAUUAAUCAUUGAAGGACAAUGUUUACUUGUGGGCUCUCUUGAGAAUUUAUUUAUUUAUUUUUAUGUAAUGAUUGACGAUUUUAACCUUAUUAUAUAUUUUAACCUUUUUAUGUUUUAGGGUUUUAUUUUUUAAUGAGUGUAGUCGCAAUUAAGAGGUUUUUUGAAAGUUUUGUCAUUUCCUUCUCAUUCCUUUUGUAGUGAAUUGUUGAGUGUUGGUGUACUCCAUUGAUGUAGGGAUCAAAUUGAUUGUCAAACCAUGAUAAUUUUUUUUUACCUCUGCUUAUACAUGUGUGUGUGAUUUGGUUAACAUCAUUUAUCUUAAUAAUUCUCUUCCUGGAAUAGGAAGAAAAUGAUGAUUCCAUUAAUGCAGCAUGCAUUGCUGCUUAUUUAUCAAGCAAAUUACAUUAUAAUUUUCACACCAAACCUCCAAAUUCACCAUGUACUUAUCCUAUAUAUUGCAUGGUGAACUACAGAGAACUAAAACAAGCUCUUCUUGAUUAAAGAUAGAUAAUGUCCUACUGACUCUUUUACUCCGAUGCCUUGAAAUGAGAAAUUUGGAGGUUUUCCACAUCAAGCUUCUUGAGAUUACUGCGCUUUCUCGUAGCAAAGAACUUUCCCCAGUUGUAUGCUCUAUACUUUGGUUUUCCCCCCUUCGUCAGCUCCUCCAACGGCUGCACCCAAAGAUGGUGCGCGGGAUUGGAAAAAAACGGAAUCGAGAACCUUUCCCUCUCUGAAUUCAGUAUCACUCUGUGCUCUACACUCUCAUAAGUGUCGUUGCUCCAAACCUGGUUUAAUAUCAGUAUAAUUAGUGGGUGCAAAAUUCGGUGAGCGAAAGAACUGAUAAGCAGGUACUUAUAAAUCAAAGUUCUUGGGUGGUACCUGAAUUAUAUCCCCAACAUUGAUGAUAUAAGCAUCUGGGGUGGGCUUCACUCGAAUCCAUUCUCCAUCGGUUUUUCGCUUUACUUCCAACCCUCCGACAUCAUCCUGGCCAAGGAUGGUUAAGGCUCCGGGAUCCUUGUGGCGACCAACGCCCAGAGCUAGGUGAGGGACAGGGCAAGGUGGGUAGUGAUUGAGGCGGACGAAGCUCGUUGAUUCUUCAAAGAAAAGAUUGAAUCUGUUUUCUGGCAAACCUAAGCUCAGAGAGAUGAGUCCCAUCAGCUUGAAAGCUAGUUUUUCCGUUUCUCUAGCAUAUUCUUCACAGAUCUCCCUGUAUAAAUCAGUUCAAUUAGAAUAAAAAAAACCAAGUAAUUCACUGAAGUGACUGUGCCUUAGCUGGUGAAAUUUGUACCUUAAUUCAGGAGGGUACUGAGGCCACCGAUUGGUCAGCUCUAUGAGCUCCUUGUCGUCAGGAUCAUCCGAAGCAGGGCCGAAGGCGAGGGUUCUCACCACGAAAUCAAAGACUUCUUUCCAGUCCCUAACGUUCUUGGUAUGCUCAAUAUCAAAGUACCCCAUAGGAUUCACCUCAUCUCUACUCACCUUCCUCUUCUCCUCCGCUGGCAGAGCGAAGAACUUCCUCGCGGCAUCCAAAAUUUUCCGGCGAGACUCCGAGGGCACCCCAUGGUUGAUGACUUGAAAAAAGCCCCAGUUCUUGCAUGCAUCAGCUAUUUGAGAAACAUGAUUGGAAGCAUUGGCGGAAGAGAGAUCAAUGAGGGGGAUGCCUUCAGCUUCGAUAACAGCGAGCUUAGGCCUAUGUUGGGCGUCUUGGACGAAGGCUGGAUCGACCUCUCCCAUGGCUGUGGUAGUGGUUAGAACUUAGAAAUGGCAAUUAUGCACUGGUAGCUGCAGGUGAAGAUGGUUACAGGACUUGGGCAACUCGGCAGGUGGUUUUUAUAGCUUAGGGGUGUUGGUUUAAUACCUUGAACCUGGACAUAAUAUGGGUUACGUGUUAAGUUUUAGUUCGGGGUGUGAGCUCAUGGAUUGCGCAUAUGUUAAUGAGAUUUGGUCAAGUGAUACCUAGCUAUUUCCAAAAUCUCUGUCAAUGAUUUAUUCACGGCACCCUCAAUUUUCAAAUAUUUCAUCCGUACUUGAUUUGGAAGGUUGAUUAGUAAAUCUGAUGGUGUAAUGUCUAUUUUUGAAUUCAAUGCUUUAUAUUUAACGGUGGAGAUAAGAAAAAUAGAAGAGUUGAUAACGUUGAAGAAAAAAUGCCAAAGUUUUAAGAAGGUAGAGUUUUGAUGAGAAAUAGGUAAAAUUAAAAUUGCAUUAUAAUAAUAUAAUUGAAUCAAAUCGUUAAUCACCCAUUUCAUCUCAUUCUUAUUCACAAUUGUUGAUAGUUGAUUCCUACAAAAUUCUAAAAAAAUCUUCCACAAAGACAAAUCACAAGAUGUUCAAUAACUAUGCUUUUGCACCAAAAAUUGUAUAAGGGAAAAAAAAAUGAUGCACAAAUAAUAAUAAUAAUAAUAAUAAUUGCUAUAUCUAAUAUUAUUUCAUAAGAAAACUAACUACAAUAAAUUUUAAAAGCAAAUAGCGUUUAACCAUAUUUUGAUUCUUUCAAAUAAUUUUUAAAAUUAAUAUUUUUUCAAUAUAAAAUUUUAAGAGUCUUUGUAUUUUAUAUAUAAAUUACUAAUAUUCUCUUAUUUUAAACAUAGAAAAUAAAAAUGUAACCAAAUGAAUUAGAAAAUAACAAAGUUGAAUAAAAAUUAGUCUAACCAUAUUAAUGCUAAUUAAUAAUGUUUGAUAGAAAACGCUUAAAUAUACCUUGUAUUUUUCCUCACUGGUCAACUCCUCCGAAGGCUUCACAUUCACCUGGUGUGUCGGUAAGAAGAAGAAUGGAAUCGAAACCCUUUUCUUCUUGUGUUGACCCACAUCGAGAUCGAGCUGUGUCUUUACAUCUUUAGUUGAGUUUGUUCGACUUUAAGUUGUGCCUUUAUGUUUCGAGUUUAGUUUGUUCAAUUUCGAGUUGUGCCUUUAUGUUUUGAGUUGAGUCUAUUUGGCUUCGAGUCACACCUUUAUGUUUCGAGUUAAGUCUCGCUUCGAGUCACACCUUUACGUUUCAAGUUGAGUCUCUUUAGCUUUGAACUGCACCUUUAUAUAUCUAGUUGAGUUUGUUUGACUUUUGAGUCGUGCCUUUGAGUUUUUAGUUUAGUCUGUGCGGCUUCGAGCCACACCUUUAUGUCUCUUGUUAAGUCAUAUUUGGCUUCGUUCUACACCUUUAUUGUUCAGCUUUGAGUCAUGCCUAUCUUUUCAAGUUUGUUAUGCUUCGAGCCACAUCUUUAUCCUUAAAAAGUUUGUUUGAGUUUAGUUGUGCCCUCACCCAUAUCCUUAGUUUUAAGUUUAUUUAGCUUCAAGCCAUGCGUUUGUCCUUGUUAAGUCAGUUCGGCUUUGAGCCAUGUCCUAGUUUUGAGUUUGUUCAUCCUCGAGCUGUAUCUUCCUUUCUUUUUUAGUUCAUUUAGGGUUUUCUCCUUUUGAGUUGAUCACUCCUUAUCUUGGUCGUCCUUAAAUUGUUCAUUGUGUCAUGAUUCAGUGUUUUUCAUUGCAUAUAUACUCCCCACAUUGUCUAUAUCUUUAUCUUGAUGAGUUUCUUCUCCAAUACAUGACCUCGAUCUUCGAGUUUAGCAUGUCAUGUGCUAAGACAAUUUCAAGUGCUCUUUUGUUCUUUGAUGCAAUUCACUUCAUACUAUUCAUCACUCAUGUUUCACUAUUAAUGCUCAUUUCAUUUGUGAUCUACAUCGGAGAGAGGCAUAUUUGUAGGUCCUUUAUUUUGUCCUAUAACACAUAUUUUCACAUUUUUUUUAUUUUUUUCUUGCCUUGUAUUUAUUUUUGGUGCUAGUUUUGGAUCAUUCUUACUUGAUCAUUCAUGGUCCCUUUCUUGUCCACUUUUACUCGACUCAUUAUUCAUUUUUUAGCCACAUUUUAGAGGCCAUGUUGGAGGAAUUUUGAGUCCAAGCUUAUUGUUUUUUAGAGACCCUUAGUAGGUGGCUCAUAUGAGGACACGUGUCCUCAUUGGGUAGGUUUUUUCAUUUUUUAAGAGGGGUUUUCUAGAGGCUUCUAGGGUACUGAGGACACUGUUCUCAUCUUGGCCCCCUUUUUUUUUUUUUCUUUUUUUUGUCCCUUGUUAGAGGGGUUUUCUAGAGGCUUCUAGGAUCAGCUAGGAGAGCACGUUGAUUGAUGCUUUGAUAUGGGUAACAGAUGCCACAUUUCAUCUUGCUGAACACCGGUUAGCUAUGGACUUGUUACUACUUUUCUCUUCUGUUUCGAGUUAACUUUGGAAAUGAAUCUGAAUAUAGACUGGUAUUUGCAGCUUGAUGUUUAGAGAAUCAUAUUUUAGCUGUUGUUUAAAAUUCAUUUUGGCAUGUUCGGUUGCUUCAAGCUCAUUGAUACAAUAAUGAAAUGAAGCUUUAUAUAUUUGUUACUGGGUUGGCUCUCUGUUUGGUUAUCUUUAAGUUCUGCAUCUUUUCUUUUCUCGUUGCCUUAUCUUCUCUAGGGGGUGUCGUUUGAGAAAUACAUAGUGGAAGAAAUGGGAAGCUGAAGGCUUAUCCUGGCAUCGACCUCGCGUUAGGGAACGACUUGAUCGAAGAACAUAUGAGUUUUUCAGAUACCCAGAACUCACAUCAAAAGAAGCCUCGGAGUUUAGGUCAAACACAUCAUCUGACAAGGAGUAUACCUUUGCCUCUGGUGAUUUUAUUGACUUCUGCAUGAUGGACAUCCGAGGGUGGGGACUGGAAGAGAAAUGAUGAAUCUGCCCGGCCAAGAUAGUUUGUCUAGAAAGGAACUUGUAUUAAAUGAUGGUUACCCACUAUGUUAGAUGCUGAAAUUUGGGUAUGAGUACUCCCGGUGGCAUCAGAAAGAUGAGUUGCACAAUCCUUCUCACAGUAGAAAGCCUGAACUCCGAAGUUGGGCUUUUUCAUGGCCGGACAAGAGGAGUGAUCACAAUAGUGCGAGCAAAGCCUGUCACGACCCAAAUUCUGGGUGAACUUAAGGUUUGACUUUUAAGGGUUGUACCUAUUCAAUCUACCAAUCAACCUUUGAUAACUUGAUUUUUUUUUCUCGAUAAAACAAUAUCUAAUCCCAAAUCAAUUUAUUAAGCUAAUAACUUGAUUUUUUUUUUUUUCAAUAAAACAACAUCUAAUCCCAAAUUAAUUUAUUAAGUUAAGAUUUACACUAUCAUAUUAUUUUAUUUUAUUUUUCAAAAAUCAAUCAUUACACUAUCACUUAUUCACAAGUAUAAUAAAUCUCUCAAACAUCUUAUCACCCAAAAUGAUAAGCCAAACAUUUACAAAAAAAAAGUUUUACAAAUUAAUAAAAUAUAGUGUAAGUUAUAAAAGUUCUUAUAAAUCAAAUUAAUAGUGCUAAAAUAUAAUAUAAUUGAAAAACAACUAUUAUUAUGGUUCUUUUACUUUUUGGAAUACUUCUUAUGGUUCCUUAAAAACUAUAUCUGCAUCUAAAAAUUUUAGAAAAUAAAAGGAUGAGUAUUUCCACAUUACUUAGUAAGGUGUUUUACGCCCACACAAAAUAUAAAUUCUAAUUCAAUAAAACACAAUCAUAUAUCAAAGUGUAAUUUUACAUCUAAUGUACUACAACUAUAUACAUUUAAACUAUUCAAAAUUAUCACUAACUAUAAUCAGACUCCAAAUAAUAUAAAUAAUAUUUAUUUUCUCCCAAAAACAUAAUAUGUAAUUUUGUUUCAAAAAAAAAUAUUAAAUAAAAGUUUUAGGGUUAAACCACCCUACAUUAAAUCUGAAAAUCUAACUGUUAAAACUAAAAUCAGAUUCCGUGAAAAUGUUCUUUACGUUAAAUAGAGUGUUCUAAAAUCUCAUACAAAACGGAGCUCAUUAUUUCUUCUCUUCCUUUGUGUUUCCGUUUGCGCUCUCUCUUUUAUAUUCUUCUUUCUUACCCCACAAGACAUUCCUAUUAUUAUUAUUUUUUUUCAUUUUUCUUUUCUCUCUCUUUUCAACUUUAAGCCACCGUUUUGCCCCUUUUUUUUUUUUUUUUAUUAUUCUUUAUCAACCAUACCUUGUUAAGAAAUUUAUUUAUUUUAAUCCAAAAAUCUACUUAAAUAUAAUUUCACAUUUUUCUUAAUAAAUUAUAUAUAUAUAUAUAUAUAUAUAUAUAUAUAUAUAUAUAUAUAUAUAUAUAUAUUAUUUCUUAUUAUAACAAAUUUAAAAUGUCACGCGUAUCAUUUUUUUAAUGAAUCAAAUUAUUAUUAUUUAUUUCAUAUUCUAUAAUUAUAAAUUAUACUCAAUAUAUGAUUUACUGUCUUACAAAAAAUAUUAUUAUAUUCUUAAUUAAAUUUACUACAAGUCUACUUUUUUUAAAAAAAAUAAUUUGACUUUAAUCACUUAAAAUAUUUUUAUUAUGAAAUUCAUUUAGGACAUGAUUUCAUUAAUUAUAUAUUAAAAAAAAAUUCAAUUUUAGAAAAAAUCUAAAGCAUAAAAUAAUUCUUCAACAUUAAGAAGCUAGAAUUCAUAAUAAUAUUUAAUCCUUUAAUUUUACCAAUAUUUAUUUACCAAUAAAAUUUAAGCAAUAUUCUAAAACUUAAUUCCAUUAGUUAUUUAGUCAUUCAAUUUAUACAAAUCAUAUUCUCAACCUUUGAUAUAACUUUUAUUUAAUUUACUUUAUUUUUCAAAUUUCUCAAUUGAAUCAAAAUUUCAAAAGUUAAAUUCACUAAGUAUUUAAUUAAUUUAGCCUUUUAUAUUCCCUAAAUUCAUAUAUCAUAAUUUACUCUUAAUUUAAUUUCAAUUCAAUUUUAUUUGAUGUUUUUUUAAUUCUAUAAGAUUUAAUUCUAAUUAUAAAAUUAUUGAUUUGUUAUAAAAUUAAAUUCGAUUUUUUUUAAUUAUCCAUUAUAACCAUUUGAUAUGAUAUAAAUUUUUACCAAGUUUUUCUCACUACAAUUCUCUAUAAUUAAAUUAAUGCUCAUAAUAUACUUAAUAUUCAAUUUUUCAAAAAUAAUAUCAAUAAUUAUUUGAUGGUUGAAUUUUUCUCCAAAUUUAAAUUUAUUUUUUAAAAUUUCUACUCUUUGCAUCUUACCUAAGAAAAUUUUAUACUAUUGACUUUUUAUUAACUUUUUCAAAAUAUUAACACUUGGAUUUUCGCCAUUCUUUUUUACUAUUCGACUAUAUGAUAACUUUGCUGAUCCUGAAUCUGACAUGUCAUUAAAACCCCGGUUGUUAUAGCGCCAGUCAAAUUAAGCCUGUUAUCCGAGGAGUGAAGCCACUGCCUUGUUCUUUCUCCGAUGGCCUGCUCAGCUCAUUCAAUCCCCAUCGCUCUCCUCUUUCCAAGUUCUCCAUUGUCAGUCUAGAGCCAACAAGGGUCGCAGAAAUCCUAAAGAUUGACCUACAUGGUAUUGUGAGUACCGCGAUGUGGAUGUUCUUAAUGUGUUGUCUACUAGAGCCAAAUGGGUGUUUGAUAAAACCCAGUAAAGGUGUAAAAAUUAUAUGACGAAGCUUGCAGAAAGACUUAGAGUUGAGGGAAGGCAUCUCAACGAAGUUGGGCUUUUGUAUUGUGAAUCUGGCAAAUUACCUAUAUUGCAUGGAUCAUCACUCUUUUCACGUGGAGGUAAACAGGUCCUUUGUAAUGUGACACUUGGGGCAUCACAAGCUGGUGAUGCUCAACGACUGGCUUCUCUGGACGGUCCUGCAACAAAGCGCUUCAUGCUUCACUGAAAUUUCCCGGAGUUCUCAAUUAAUGAAGUUGGCCAACUCCUUAACCUGCACUGUUCCGCAGCAGUCACAUAAAGAUUUGACAUUGAAAUUGAUCUGGUUUUUCCUUUGCCAAUGGUGGUGGGCGCUUUGUAUGUAGAUUCCGAAGGAACUUCCCAACUUGAUGGCUGUGAGUGGUAAGGUUGGAGAAGAUACUACUGGGUCUGCCCCAUUAGUUUUCCAUUGUUAAGGUAGUUUGGUGCACAGGUUCCUGGAUCAUCUACACCACUAGCACUUCCGGCCGCCUGUUUUGAUCAGUUUCUGGAUUUCCAUCUCCAAAUUGUGCAAGCAGUGACUGAUAUGGUGUCCAUACAAGCGGCUACUGAAAUGGUUCAAUCCCCAAAUGCUGAAGGGAAAGGAGCUUUUGGAAAAUAUCAUGAAGAAGACUCAUCCAUCUUACAUGAAAUUAUACACAACUCCAUGGACCAGAACCGGAACUCAGACUUAAAUUUGUCCACGAGAAGAUCAGUGUUAUACAAGUCAACUGCAGUCAUUCCUGAAAGAAGUGAUCAGAAGAGUAAACCUGGAAAAGCAGUGAGUGUAACAAGUUUUGUGACAUUGAACAAUUUGCAGAUGGUGUUCCCACAAGCUCCUUUCCCCUCUUCCCACGUGCAUGAAAUUCCUACGUGCAUGGGCCACCUUCUUAGGUGUGCAAUUCUGCGCAUAAUGCUCAAGUGUACUACCACCCUCUUCUUUUUUGAAAAAUUGAUUUUAAAUUUAAAUUUUUGACAAAAUUCAUUCCCCUUUUAAAAUCCCUCCUCAGUAAUUCUCUUCAAAUUAAUAAAAUCUAUUUUCAAUAAAUUUUUGCUGCCAUUUUCCUUUCGGCAUGGACCCUUUUUCUAUUUUCUUUGAUUUUUAAUAAUUUUCCAAUUUUUUUUAAUAAAUAUGAAUAAAUUCUAUGUUUUUAAAAAUAAUGGAAUUUUCUCCAAAUUUCUAUUAUCUUUUUCUCCAUGAUCAUUAGGAAGAUGAAAUUCCUAAAAUUAAUUCAUGCAAAUAAAUUGGACAUUGGUAGGCCCAACAUAUGAUUUUUUCUCCUUUGAUUAUUGUUUUUAAUUGCUAGGCUUGAUUGACUAACGAUUGAUCUUUGCCUUCUCCCUUAGCUUACUGCUCAAGUACGUUCGUCCUUUCUUUGCCUCUUUGUUUAAUUAUAGUCAAUGUUUUCAAAAUCGGACCGAUCAUUGAAUCGGAAAAGUUACUGGUUCACAGUUCACUAGUCGAAUCGGUGGUCGAACUGCGGUCGAAUCGAUGACGUCAUAAAUAUAUAAUUUAUAAAUUAUUAAAAUUAAAAAUAAUUAUAAAAAUAAAAAAAAUAAUUUAUAUGUUAUUUGAAAAUUUAAAUUUUAUUUAAAAAUAAGAAAAUUAGUUUCAAAUUAGAAAUUAAAAUUAAAAUCAUAAUUUUAAAUUUAAUUUUAAAAUUUUAAAAUUCAUUUUUAAAUAAAAACUUAUUUUAAAAUCAUGAAUUUAUUUAAAAUUAUAAUGUUUUCAUUAAUUUAAAUUAAAAUCAUAAGUUUUAAACAUCAUGAAAUAAAAAUAAUAAAUAUAAAAGAAAAUAAAUAAUAAUGAAAUGAGGUAAUAAAUAAUUAAAAAAAAAAUGGAAAAAGAGAGGAGAGGAGCACACAAAAAAGGGUUCCAACGGGGUUUUGGGGGGUGGGGUUUCCACUUUUAGGGCUAGGUGGGGGGGCCUUCCGAUGGGCAAAAAGGGGAAGAGCUUUUCGGCUUUUCCAGCGCGCGCGGGUGGGGGUGGCGACAAUGGGAAAAAAAAAAGUUGAAUCGGACGAUUCCAUCUGAAUAAUCCGGUUCAUUGGUCGGACCACCGAUUUAAUUGGUCCAAUUCUGGUCUAACCACUUUCUAGCCCAAUUGAUCAGACCAGACCGAAAUCAUGACUGAUUGAUUCGGUCCAAUUUUUAAAACCAUAAUUAUAACUCAAUCAUAAUACAUCAUUGAUCAUUACUUGGUAUUUGUUGACUUUCUAAUCAAUUGUCAUUCUUAUAUUAACUUGAUUAUUAGAGACUUGAUUUUAGGGUAUAGAGGGGUGUUAUGACUAAUCAUCCUACCUUCUCGAUAAGUAACCUGACCCUUGAACCCAAAUUCAGUUUUUCAUAAACUUGUCUUUUUCUUUCAAGUUUCAUACUUAGAAUUUUCAUUUUUAUUUUGUUUUCCAUUUAAAAAUAAAAUAAAGAUAAGUGGCCUAAAACCAUUUUCUAAAAAUCAAUUUUUCAUCAAUGCAAAGUGAGUCUUGUCCUUUUUUUUUCAAGUACGAACACGAUCGCAGGUUUACAAUACUAUUUUAAUAUAUAUAAUGAAAUAUAGAUAUUAACGCCAUCUUAAAGAUAUAAUUAAAUUUUUUGUUUAAAAUAAAUUAUAAUAAUUUAAAAAUAAUAUUUUAUUUAAAAUAAAUUUUAGAAUAAGCAAAGUUGAUAUGUGGACAUAGAGAAUCGUGAACCAUUGUAAAUGUAUUGAUUAUAUCUCUUUCUUCCCAUUUCAUUUUUACUUUAGUUUUUAUUAUUCGUAUCUUUUUCUACUAAAAUUUGAAAAAGAAAUUCACAUUCAAUUCAUUCACUUCUUCUUGGGUGUAUAUCAUAGGAUUCAAAAUGUUUUUAAAAAUUAUUAAAUUUGUUAAUUGUGACUACAUGCUUAUUUAGGAUCCAUUGAUCUUAAUAACUUUCUUCCCGAUAAAGGAGGAAAAUGACUAUUCCAUUAAUGCAGCAUGCAUUGCUGCUUAUUUAUCAAGCAAAUUACAUUAUUUUUUUCACACCAAACCUCAAAAUUCUCCAUGCAUAUACGCAUCCUAUACUGCAUGGCCAACUUCAGAGAGCUAAAAGAAGCUCUUAUUGAAUACAUGAUAGAUAAUGUCCCACUGACCCUUUUACUCUGAUACCUUGAAAUGAGAAAUUUGGAGGUUUUCCACAUCAAGCUUCUUGAAAUUAUUGCGCCUUCUCGUAACAAAGAACUUUCCCCAGUUGUAUGCUCUAUACUUUGGCUUUUCCCCCUUCGUCAGCUCCUCCAAGGGCUUCACCCAAACAUGGUGCCCGGGACUCAAAACGAACGGAAUCGAGAACCUUUACCUCUCUGAAUUCUCCAUCACCCUGUGCUCCACACUUUCAUAAGUAUCGUUGCUCCAGACCUGGUUUAAUAUCAGUAGAAUUAGCCAAAUGAGUGUAAAAUUCCUUGAGCCAAACAGUACUGAUAAGCAUGUACUUAUAAUUCAAAGUUCUUGGGUGGUACCUGAACUAUAUCCCCAACAUUGAUGAUAUAAGCAUCUGGGGUGGGCUUAACUCGAACCCAUUCUCCAUCGGUUUUUCGAUUUACUUCCAACCCUCCAACAUCAUCCUGAGCAAGGAAAGUUAAGGCUCCGGAAUCCUUGUGGCGACCAACGCCCAGAGCUAGGUGAGGAAUGGAGCAAGGUGGGUAGUGAUUGAGGCGGAUGAAGUUUGUUGAUUCUUCAUUCAGGGAUUAUUUCAUCCCUUUUAACCAAAUAUUUAACAUGAUCAAAGACUAUUCCCUAAAUGAAGGCAUACUGUAGCAAAUACCCUUAAUCUGAACAUUGAAAGUACAACUUAAACUAGUAUCAAACACUCUGUUUUUAAACCCAUAGCUACUCCAAAUAUCCCAAAUACUCUUUUCUAUGUAACCUCUCUUUGUCUCUUUCUCGCUCACACACACAUGCUUCCCCACAAAAAUACAUACACACAUAGAGAAGAACACAAUCUCUUAUCCGAUUCCCUUCCGAUUUAUGAUUCUAAGCUGGCGGGUCACUCUCUUAUUCUUUUGCUUUCUUGCGAUGGAGCUCCAUGCUCUCCUUUCCUCAUUUUUUUUCUUGGAUAAAUACUCUAUAAAACAUCCUCUCUCGAUGCUCUAUCUAAACUCACUUGCUCAUUUCACAUUUUUUUCUUUUUGGAUGCUUUCUUUAUGCUCCCAGGCAUAUGCCAGUUUUUUAUGACUAUUUUUGAAGUUGGGAUUCAGAAUUCACUAAAAUCUUUUCUCAAACUUGGAUUUUUCUCAACUCAACCCUAACUUCUUUUCUAUCAGUACCAAGGCUAGAGAAUAUAGUUUAUACCCUUGUAUUUCGUUAUGUACCAAGCCCACAAGAUGAUCAAUAAGUUUCUCUCUAGAUUUUACAUUGGAGUUGAUUGAUGACAUACCCUUAUUAGGUACUAUAUUCUCUUCCUUAGGUAUUGCUUUUUCCUUCCUUAGAUACUACCUUUGCAACCUUGGGUGCACGAUCGAAUCCAUCGUUUCAUGGCCACUUCAAGUAAGUCAGGAACUUAUGUACAUGUGUGCUACAUGUCUUAUAGGUAUUACCUUUACAUUCUGUAGGUACUACCUUUACCUUCCAUAGGUACAAAUAUGAUUAAUAAUAAGAAUUUUAACAUAAAAAAGGGAAAAAUCAUGUCUGAUAAUAAAAUUGCAUAUAUUUUCUUUCUUGCUUUUUUUUUUUUUUUUGGGUCUUUGCUUUGGUUUUUAUUUAUGUGUUUGUUUCUUUUAGUCUUUGUGUGUGUGUGUGUUUUAUUUUAUUUUAUUUUUUUCAUCCCUAUGCAGAAGAUGUAGAGGAAGCAACAUCACAUCAUAAGGUGCAUUUUUCUGUUCAUUUAAGCCUAAAGGUUCUGGAUUCACAAAAUGGUGGGAACUAAGGGUGAGAAACUGGAAAAAAAAAUGUUGGAUUGAGCUACAUUUGAUCAAUAGUGAAUUUGCAAAAAAGAUUGUAGGAGAGGUUUCUUGAGGUGGACAAGGUCAGAAGCAAGGAGCCUUUUCCUAGUUUUUGGGAAGAACUUAUUGUUAACGUGUGAAUUCAUUAAGGGUAAUUUAUGUAAGAUUUUCUAGAUUUUGCAAGUGAAUGCACCUUAGCUUUUCCUAUUGUAUUUGUGUUUUUUUAGGUUGAUUAUUUUAUUGAUCGUCACCACUCAAGGAAUGGAAGCAAUAGGGUCUCUAGAUGUACUGCGUAAAGGCGGGCAUACAGGCGUUGUUAGGAAUGUGUUUCCCAUGUCCAACAAGCAUAUUGACACCACCUAAAGCCAAGGCAUCUUUGGACGAGGAGUUCUAGCUUCUACUUCUGUGGACUUUGUAGAUGUCGUCUGGCUCUUCUAAAUAUUUAUUGUUAUGUAGUAGUUAUACACAUGUACUUUGUUUAAGUGAAUUGAUUAUUGGAUUUUUAGUUAAAUCAAAUUUAAGGGUAUGUUGUUUAAUUUACUAGUGAUCUCUUGUUUGUAAUUCUCGUUAUCAUAUAUAAAUCUUUGUUAGCAUUUUCCAAUUUCCUCAAUAGCAACUAUAUUAGUUUUCAGUGGAAUGAAUCUUGAGUAACUUGUAGUAUCAUUUUUGGUUUUGAAUUGACUAAUCUGUUUUGGAAGGAUGAAUUAGAUAUAUGAGCUUGAUUGCUAACAGUAGUUGAGUUUGUUUUGAUCUCGGGAUAUUUGCCUUGUUGAAUAGGACGUAGAUUUUGGGUCCAAAGAGUUGAAAAUUGAUGAGCUUAACCAAGACAUAGGAGAACCACAUGCAACACUAACCAGAGUUCCUACAACAAGCUAAUAACCAUGAUUUAGAAAUGUGAUUUCGUUAAAGGGAAGCAUUUCUAAUCUUAUUUGAAAGGAAACUUUGAUGUCUUCCCUAAUACACUAGAAUAUUAAUUUAAAAACAACAAUUAAGGUUAUAUUAACUAUUAUAAUAAUUUAUAAAUUAUAUAAAUAUGAUAAUAACUAUUAAAAUGAAAGUAUUAAAUGUAAAAAAGUUUAAUCUUGUUGGGUAAAAACUUCAUCAAUCUUUUAUUAUUGAACUUCUAUUAUAUAAUCAAACAUAGUGAUGAUCCUCGGUUGGAUUAAUCAACACUUGUUUCAUAAAUUGAACAACAUAUAACAUGAUCAACCAUAAACAAACAAGUAAACAUCAUACUAGAUAAAACUAUCUCUUAAGAUUUCUAUUAUUACAUGUUUAAAUUACAAAUCAUAUUUUUGCAACUUUCGUAAAAUUAUGCAAUAGAUAUGAUUAAAAUUACGAAACAUCGGAAAUGUAUAUUGAUUCAUUAUUCAGAUUCAUCAUAUCAUAUAUAUCCUUUAGUAGUCCAUAAGAUCAAAUAAUAACCAAAAUUCAAAAAAUAUGUUUUAUGAUCCAAAAUUGAUUGACACUAAUAUCAUUUGUUAAAUAAACUUUAUGUGAAAUAAUUAUUUUGGAAAAUCAAUUUGGAUGCAUAAUGCAUAAUAGGUAUAAGAAAUAAAGAAAUGACAAAAUAAUAAUUAUAUUCUUGUCUUAAUCCAUGAUACUGAUAACACUUGUAAUGUGAAUUUGAGUCAUUUUGUGAAUUGUUGGGUCAAGGUCUUCAACUCACCAUUCUCAUUUAGUAGAUGAGUCAAUUGUGUGGUAUAUGUUGUUAUAAGUAAAACAACUAAAAACAUAAGAAUGCAAUGUGACUUAGGACCUUAACUUUAUAAAAAAGAUUUAUAACUCUUAAUAUUCUCAUAAAAGAUUAUAUGAAAGUUAUACUCAUUAUUUAUAAACAUUAUACACAGAUUAAUGGACAAUGGUAAACUACCAACUUGAAUACAUUCAUGUAAUUGUAUAAAUUACACUUUUUCAUCUUCCUCUAUUAGUCAUAAACUUUAUGUACAAAUGAAAUCUCAUAAAGAUGGAGUUACACAAGUUGUAAUACCAUAUUCUUAUAAAUGAAAUUUUUCUAACUCUGUAUUUAUAAUUUUAAUCUUCUAUGUUAGAAGUUGAAUUUGUUCCACGUCGCCAAGUUAUUGGGUUAUUAUGUUGUUCAUAUAUGUAGAUUGGUCACCUCUCCAAGCUAGCUUUUGGGAAUGAAUUCUAUUCAAACCCAUUUAACAUGGUAUCAGAGCUUGGUUUGACUGUGGGUUGUGGGUUCGAGCCACCUCUCUGCAAUUCGCAUGUUUGUUCCUUAUUUGCAUGUUUGGAAGUCUAGAAAAGGUUAUUUGCAUUUGUUUGUCUCUUCACGUGUGGAUAUGGGACCACACAUAAGAGAGGGUGUUAAAAAGCUUGAUAUGUACGUAUAUUGAACCUAAAUCUUAUAAGUUUAAGCUUUUAGGAAAAUUAGUAAUUCAACAUUCUAUACAUAAAAUUAUUUGAUGUCCAAUCAAUUGAUUCACCUACCUAUCAAUUAAUAUACUUUUAAAUAAAAUAUAUUUCAAUCCAUUACACAAAUAUAAUUAAAACAAAAUACUAUAGUAAUGUGAGUAUGUGAUAAAUAAAUAAAAUAAAAAUAAUCACGUGUUACAUGUAAACUAUAUUCAAAGGAAAAACCCACUAUUAAACAAUCCAUUGUAUAAUGAUCAAUUACAAAGACCAAGUAUUACCAAACUUAAAAGUAUCUAAAUCAUACUCACUUUGCACAUUUUCUUUAUACUUGGAUCCUUUAAACACAUUUAUCCCAAUGUGGAUGCAUCUUGAGUUCUAAUCAAGGAAAUCAACCUUUGAGUAAAAUUUUCAUCAAGUUAAAGUCUCUUUAUAUCAUUGAGAACCAUAUCAAGAUUUCUUUUUGUUGGUUGCUUUCAAAGUCCCACUAGAAUUAGAAUGAACAUUUUAUAAAUUCUAGGACUUUAACAUAUGAAUUCUUCAAUGAGUCAAUCAAAUAUUAAAUUUUAUCUCCAUAGAUGGACCUCAAUGAAUUUUUCAACAAAUUAAAGGUGUUAACACUAAUUUCAUAUUAGAAAAAAAAAAAAAAUCAUGUGACACAUAUUGAUAUAUAUAUAUAUAUAUAUAUAUAUAUAUAUAUAGGUGUUGUCUGGGAUAAAUAGAUUGAAUUCAUGAGAAAAUUAUUCUUAAUUUUGUAAAAAUUAUAUAUAUAAGAAAGUUUUUAGACUUACUAAAACACAUUACUAAUCAAGUGGUAAUAUUUAUAUCUCAUUAUUUUGUAAUCAAGUCUCAUUCAUUUGUAUCACAUAUGAGUCCUAUUAUUUUAUACCUUACUCUUAUUAUAUUGUACUUUGAUCUUAUUUGUUUAUACAUCGAUUUCAUUUCUUUAUAUGUUCAUCAUAUUUAUUUAUAUCUCGAUCUUAAUUAUUUAUAUCUUUCAAUAGUUUAGAUUUCAAUACAUAUUUUUAAAUAUUUUAAUUGGAAAUUCAAUAUCUUACUAUUUUUCUAAAUAGCUACCUAUAAUCCUUUGUAGACUCAAAAUUCACUUCAAGCCAUCAAAAAAAUCGACCUCUCUUUGUAAGUUGCUAUACUCAUUGCUAAACUAUAAUUCCAAAAAUAGCAGAACUUUUCAUACUUAUUCUAGGCAAUUAGAGUCGAGAUGUUCCAGGCAUAUACCAUUGUCUUUCAAGAUUUGAAAGAAAUGUUACGAUUUCAGCAUGAAAUAAUGCAUGUCGAUUAACAAUAUUGCUCAGAUUCUUUAGGCAAAGGUCCCAGCCUAGAGAUUGAUAAUGUUUCUUUGAAGCAAAAUGACAAAAUGGAAUAACACAAGAAAGCCAGAACCAAUUAAGUGUCCACAGACAAAAAAAUUUAUUUAUUUAUUUUCUGAACCACCCCUGAAAUUGACACCUCCCAUACAGUCUGCAUUUCUGUGGCACUAUUUCCCUUAUUCCUAACCAUAAAUCUGCUGCCAUCUCAAUAAUUCACAUCCUUAUCCACUCCUUAUCUAGGGUUGUAACACUUUUUUCAAAAAGAUUUUUUUUUUUUUUUUUCUAAGGGGUGGAUAAGGGUCCUGAGACAAGCUGUGGAAUAAUUAUAAACCCACUUGGGUAAUGGUUUCAUUGUCAGGGUAAUACUAUUUAAGGUGAAAAUCAGCUGGGUCUAUCAUUCUUGUUUCCAUAUGACUGUUUCCAAGGAUAACUCAACCUUCAAAUCCAUCGAGCAGUCAUAUAAAAAUACACGCAGAUUUCAUAUUUUGAAGCUUGUCCUGUGUUCAGAUCGGAUAACUCACUCAUAUGCCUAAUCACCAAUCGCCAACUUGAGCGUAAAAAAAGCGUGGGGCGAUAUUAUUUGUAUAUGGGUUUGACUGUUUGAGAGAGAAAGGUGGGGUGUCCCUUGGAGGAGUCCAAAGGCCAUUUUUGAACCUGCCUUUGAUUAUCGCCAUGGCAAAUCAACAGCUUGUAGUGUAUAUAUAUAUAUAUAUAUAUAUUAAUGGAGACCAAGACUCAAAUAGAGAGAGAGACGCGGGAUGCGAUAAAGAGAACAGUAUAGCCAAGAGUAUAUAAGCAUUUCUAUUGCUGUAAUGGUGAUUCAGAGACUGGAAAUGUGUAUAUCACUGCUGAAAAUGGCAGUAGAGUUUGUGCUUGUUUUCGCGGAGGCAGUCGGGCUAGUCAUCAACCACAAUGCCACGCCGCUUUUGGCAAACUCAGCCUCAGUUGGCAAUGAUGUUUCUGUCCCUUUUAUCGGUUUUCUUCUUUGAAUUCUUCGUCUUGUAGUUUCCUUCCUUAGCAGAAUGCCCAUUGGCCAUUGUAUACGUUGAGGUUUCAUUUUUGUCUUGAUAGAUUUUGCCUUGGAAAGUGUCUGUACUACCAGCUAAAAGAUGUGAAUGUUUGAUAGGAGAGAGUACAUAUAACAUCUUUGUAAACUUCGAUUAAUUUUGGUUCUGGGUGAGCUUCAUCUUCUGCAAAUUCAUUUGCUGGUAGCUUUGGAAAUGAAUCUUCAGUGGUUUGGGUGGUGAUUAUUUGCUUGCUUCACACGAUUUUAUGUGUUGUUCCUUUGGUAAUAAUCUUGUUGGAUGGAUCAAGGAGGAGCGAUGAUCAGGAAAAUAAAGUCGGGAGAAAGAAAAGAUAUAAUGAUGAUUAAGAAAGGCUUUAAUAUACUUGCAAGAUCAGGAAAAAAUAUUUCUUGGUUAAUCAAUUAUUUUCUUGCUUGAUAUGGGUUUGAUACUUUUUGUCAAUUGGUGAUCAUUCUGGGAAGAUCAGGAAGAAGAAAAUGGGGUCUAGAUGAAGAAAAGCUAUAAUGGUGAUUAUUAAUUGAAAUCAGAUGAAAUAAAAGUCUGUUUCCAUCAUUCUUAAUAGGGUUUCAUAGUCCCCGCAGGACUUUAGUACUCAUCAAACUCAUAAAUUUUGAACAACUUUGAGCUAACCUUCUGCAUUAAUUUGGUGCAUCUGCGCAGUUGCAGAGUAUGAACACCCACAAAAUCUUAAUAUGAAUCUUUUGGGGCAAUAGCUUCUAUAUAUGAUGGAUGAUAAGAACAAAGCAAAUCUUGGGUUCUCCAUGGCCACGAUCAUUUAUCCGCCAUAUAAAAUGCAGAUUUUCCUAACACCAACCCCUUAUUUUAAUAAAGUCAAGUUAUUUUAAGGCCCCCAUUAUUAGACAUGCCCUAGAAGCAUUGGGUCUGUGAUUAAAAAAAUGUAGUAAUAUCAUUUAAAAUAUCUAACACUGAAAUUUUGAUAAUUUUGAAUGUCAUAGUGUGGAUUUGAAGAAAGAAAUCGUAUCCAAGAUCUCUUCCUUUUCCUGGGAAACAUUAGUCUUGGUCAAUUAUGAACUGUUACACGUUACCUAUCAUGAUCAUAUUUAUAUUAGCUUUGAUUUCUAUGGGGGUUAUAAUUUAUUUGUAUGCUAAUCAUAGAGGUGAUACAUGUGAUCCACAUGUCAUAUUUGGACUUGGAACCAAUCAUUGGAUUCCUUUGAUGAACUGGCAAUGGAAGAAUACUAAUUGCUCCGGUCCCUUUCUUUUUUCAACGUAGGAUGAUCAGGUCCUUUGAUCUCUUCCACACCCACUGGCUGUUUUUCUUUGUUCCUUUUUCAAUCAUCCAUAGCUGAAAAGCCUUGAUGCCCUCCUUGACUUUCCCAAGAUAAAACACCUUAUCUUCACUUUCUUUCUUUUCCCUUUAAAUUUGAUUUUAGAUCUGAAAUCCAGGGCUUAUGACCCUGUAGAAGAAAGACAGAUAUGAAGCUUGGGAUGAUUUGAACUUCAGUUUGAUUUUCUGCACACUGUUUAAAACUCCUGAAAUAUAGUUGUAUAUUGCAAUACAUUUAUAAUUGAUACAACUGAACCAUGAUGUUUCUAUUAGUAAAAAUUUCUUUGAAUCAAUCCACAGUUCAAAGUACCAAUUUCAAUUGAAACUUUUUUCUUUUCCUGCUUAUUCAAUUGUUUCGUUUUCCACAUAAUGGUAUGACAACAUCAAGAAUACUUCUCAGCAAUUGCCUGCAGGUGAACCCAAAGCUCUUUUGGCUGAGACAUCAUGACCAUGUGAUCAGAUCCUUUAAUCUCUUUAACAGCAUCAGGUGGGUUUUCUUCGAUCAUCCAGAGUUGAAAAUCCUUUUUCGCCAGCUUGUCUUCCUCAGAAAUAAUAAAGACACGUUUAACCGAGGCAUAUUUCUUCGACAACAUGAGAUCCUUUGACAUGUCUUCUUCACUGAACAAGCGUAAGGGUCUCAUCAACAUAGUCCCUAGUGCCAAGUCCUGGAAAAUUUGUGCCCAAAAUGAUAUAACAACAACAAUGAAAAGUCUCAUGAUUUUGGCUGUAAGGCCUGAAUUAAUGAAGUUCUCACCUCAGUUGGGCUCAACUGAUACACAUUCAGUGAUGAGAACAAGGGGCCAAAGGUGAAAGUGGUGGGAGGAUUGUUGGGGCCAUUAUCAUAUGUGAACUGGCUGUCUAGUAGAGGACCUUGUCUCCUGAGUGACUUCAAUAAGAAGUAGAAACCAGGCUAAAAGUCAGAAACAGGGGAAGCCUUCCCCUCUUAAUCAACAAGUAAAUUUCUGUAAAAGAAAAAUAGUAUGUAUGAAGUACCUCUUGAUUGAGAGUGGAAAUGUUGAGAGUGGGACCAGGCAUUGAGGCAGUAACAAAAACAGCUACAGAAACCUUUUCUGGGAACUUCUCCAUGGCCUGAGAAAUGGCCAACCCACCCAAGCUGUGUCCAACGAGAACCACCCUUUCAUCUGCAGGGAGUGACUCCAUGAAGUCCCUCAGUGGCUGGAAAUACUCAGAAAUAGAUCGCAGAUCACCCACUUGUUUUGGGUUAAUUCCAGAAGCAGCCAAGUCCAGAGCAGUGACUUUGUGGCCAGAUGAUUUUAGUAGUGCCACAAUCUUGUACCAAGACCAGGCACCAUGGCAAGACCCAUGAACUAGAACAUAGUGCUUGACGGGAUUAGCCUGUCUCCCCUCUGAUGCCAUUGAAUACACUGAAGAAACAAGAAAAAUCAGAAAGGAAACUAAAAUCGUAUGCUUCUUCCUUUCCUGCGUACUCCUUUCCUGUUACAGAGAUGGUCAGCACCCAAGCAUUUUAAAGGGCACAAUUGGCUUUCACUACAACUACUAAUCUAAUGGAUUAAAAUUUUUCCUGUGAAAUUGACUCUAGAAAUAAAAUAAGGAUUAAGGAUUCAAGAAUAUGUACACAUAGACUGCCAGGGUUUAAAAGAUGACACAUGCACCUGCGUCACACUCUUUUUCAAUGAUAAAGAAGUUAUGCAAAGGAAGAAAGAAUGAAAUAUACAGAGUCUAGUAGUUAACUCCUCCCCUUGAAUUCUUCUGUUGCCCGGAUUGGUUUGUAACUGCAAACAUUUUCUUUUCCCAAUGUGAUCUGUGGAUUGAGUUCUGAUCUCAAUUUGUUUUUGGCAUUUUUGGUUUUGCUUCUGCAAAUCUUGAGAUGUAUCUUUCAAUUAAUAUAAGUAAGUUAUGCAGUAAAGGUUUUUGGACAUAUAAAAUGUUAGCCAAACCUUUCCCAUGGCGGGUUGAAGGUACUUUGGGGUAGGCUUGGUCACGCUUGAUACCUCAAUCGGACUGAAACAUGAUGUUUUCACCCAUUUGAAUUGGUCAAAGCUGUGUUGACUGGCAUGAUUCCUUUAAUAAAGAAGUUGUUUUUGGAUUAAGGCCUACAACACCAAUUUCACUUAAAUACAUCUAUUUAAUAAUUAUGUAUUAACAUAAUUAUAAUCAAUUGAGUCGAAAACAAUUAAAUUAAAAAGUUAAUUAUAUUGACUUAAAUAAAAUCUGACUCAACCAGAUUAUUAAAUAAAUUACUCAACUUAUUACAUGUUUAAUAAUUAAGUCGUAUUUGGGUUUAUACUUUUAACUCAAUUAUUAUUCAUGUUAUAUUUGUGUUGACUUAUUAAGUCACAGUAUCUAAAUUUAAUUUGAUAUGACAUGAACACUACCCACCAACAUUAAUUGUAUCCCCUGUUUUAAGUUCCGGUGGCAUCAUGAGUUUGGCCUCUGUUUUGAGUGUUGAAUUAACCUUUCCCAUGGUUGUCAAGUUCUUCAUAAAUUAUUGGUGAUUGUAAUAAUUUCCUCAUAAAUUAAUGGCGCUAUAUGCUUCUUUAGGAUCCAUUGAUCUUACUAAUUCUCUUCCUGGUAUGGGAAGAAAAUGACUCUUCCAUUAAUGCAGCAUGCAUUGCUACUUAUUUAUCAAGCAAAUUACAUUAUUAUUUUCACACCAAACCUCCAAAUUCAUCAUGUACUUAUCCUAUAUACUACAUGGUGAACUUUAGAGAGCUAAAACAAGCUCUUCUUGAUUAAAGAUAGAUAAUGUCCUAUUGACCUUUUUACUUUGAUGCCUUGAAAUGAGAAAUUUGGAUGUUUUCUACAUCAAGCUUCUUGAAAUUAUUGUGCUUUCUCGUAGUAAAGAAUUUUCCCAAGUUGUGUACUUUGGCUUUUCCCCCUUUGUCAUCUCCUCCAAGGGUUGCACCCAAACACGGUGUUCGGGAUUGAAAAAGAACGGAAUCAAAAACCUUUCCCUCUCUGAAUUCACCAUCACCCUAUGCUCCACACUCUCAUAAGUAUCGUUGCUCCAUACCUGAUUUAAUAUCAAGAUAAUUAGACAAAUGGGUGUGUAAAAUUCCUUGAGCCAAACUGUACUGAUAAGCAAGUACUAAAGACGAUACAGGCUUUGAGAGUUAAAGGUCGUUCUUUCUAUAAAUCAAGGCAAUAAGUAUAUAUACAACAUACAACAUAGUUGCUGUUACAGGCUUACCAAAUUAAUUCCACAAUAAAGGAAACUAUACAUGGUUGGUUACCAAAACAAAAAUAGGAGAUUAGCUAUACAUAUUACUAAAAUAUAGGAUUUGAUAAAGAUUGAAGUGGACUUUCAAAUGAACCAUUUUCCUUAUCAUGACCCCUCAAGAUAGACUUCGAUUGAAUGCCUAGCUUGACGCACAAGUGUUGUAGAUGAGCUAAGGAUUGUGGCUUUGUUAAGGCAUCAACAAGUUGAUCCGCGAAAGCAAAAUGAGGCACGCGAAAAGUGUAAUCUUGAACUCACAAAAUGAAAAUAAAUAGCAAUAUGCUUCAUCCAAAAUGUAAAAUUAGGUUGGCGCAUAAGUAGGUGGUACCGACAUUAUCACAAUAGAUUGGCAUGGGUUUGGGAACUGAAAUACCCAACUCAAGUAAUAGGGAGUUAAGCCAAAGAAGUUUGGAAGAAGUUGUAGCUACAACAUGAUACUCUACCUCAGUUGAGGAACGGGCAACAAAUGUUGCUUCUUUGAACUCCAAGAAAUGACAUUAUGACCUAAAAACACAACAUGAGCACUAGUUAAAGUACGAUCAUCACGAUCACCAAUCCAAUCUACAUCGGAGAAGGCAUGAAGGCUAAGAGGGGAUCCUUUUCGAAGAAACAAACAAUGAUGCGUUGUACCUUUAAGAUAACGGAGAAGAUGUUUGAGUGCCAACCAGUGAGUGGUAGUAAGUCUAUGCAUGAAUUGAGAGAGUUUAUUGAUUGAGAAAGCAAUGUUUGGUUGAGUGAAGAAGAGGUACCGAAGACCACCAACAAUAGAUCGAUACUUAGUCGAAUUGGUCAAGGAUGUGCCAUCCACAAGGCUAGGUAUCUGAGAUGUUGACAUAGGAGUUGUGAAUGACUUGGAAUCCAUCAUUUUUGUGUGCUCCAAAAGAUCUAAAACAUAUUUGUGUUGAGAAAGAAAGAGACCAAAUGAGCUUGGAAUAACUUCAACCCCUAAAAAAUAAGAGGCAACACCUAAAUCUUUAAUGGAGAACCGAGUAGCAAGUGUGUGAACAAAAUGAUUGAGAGUACCAUCAUCAUUGCUAGUAACAAUAAUAUCAUCAACAUACACAAGUAGGAAAAUGGUAAAUAGAGACUUCUUAUGGAUGGACAAUGAAGUGUCAAAUUUGGGGUAGAAACUGCUUCACAAACCCUUGAUGGAGUAGAAACUGCUUCAGUUCUUGAUACAAGGCACAUGGUGCUUGUUUGAGGCUAUAAAUAGCUUUCUUAAGAUGACACACAUGGCUUGGAAACUAAGGAUCAACAAACCUUGGUGGUUGAGCCAUAAACACAUUUUUGGCAAAAGUCCCAUGAAGAAAAAGCAUUGUUCACAUCAAGUUGACAAAGUGACCAAUUGAAGGAAAAUGCAAGACUAAGAAUGAGUAGACCAGUAGUAGGUUUCACAACCGGGCUGAAUGUCUUAGCAUAGUCAAUACCAGGGAGUUGAUGAAAACCCUUGGCGACAAGAGGAGCCUUGUAUUGAGCAAUAGAGCCAUCAGGAUUGCGUUUGAUUCGGAAAAUCCAUUUGCAACCAACUAGAUUCUGUGACUUAGUAGAAGGAUUCAACUCCCAUGUGCCAUUAUGAAGAAGAGCAUCAAAUUCUUCAAACAUAGCUUAACACCACUCAAGAAGCUUUAAAGUUUGGGUAACAUAGGCAGGUGCAACAUCAGGAGUGGUAGAGACAAAAGCAUACUUGGUGGAUGGUUUGAAGACAUUAUUCUUGGAUCUUGUAACCAUGGGAUGGGUGUUGAGGGUAGGGGGUCGAGUGGGUGGGAUGGGGGAAGGGGUAGGAUGUGGGGUUGAAAGCAAGAUUGGGCUUGGAGGGAAACUAUGUUGGGAUUGUGUAGUCUCAGCAUUGGGGGGUAAUAUAAUUGACUGGCCAGCAAGAGUGGUAUCAUGAAUGGUCGAAUGCUUAACUGGAGUGGUACCUAAGAUUGUAUUGUCCUGUGAUGAGGGAAUUGAUACGAGAGGGAAUGGAAUAGAUGGGACUAUGGUGGGUGGAGGUUUCUCGGCAGUUGAAGAAAAGAGGACCAUUAUCUCAACAAAGGUGACAUGAUGAGAGGUGAAUAACUUGUGGGAAACUCGAUCAAGGCAAAGGUAUGCACUUUGUGUAAGAGAGUAACCUAAGAAGACACAUGGACGAGAUUUGGAUUGAAGUUUGUGGUCAUUAUAUGGGAGUAACUAAGGAUAACAAAGACAACCAAACAUUCAUAAUUUGUCAAGAAUUAGGUUUGUGAUUGAAUAAUUUCUCAUAGGAAGAGAGGAAUGAGAGGUUUGGUUUAAGCAUUCGAUUAAUAAGAUAGACUAUAGCUUAAAAGGCAAAGGGCCAAAAAGAAGUAGGAAUGGAUGCAUGAUGGAAAAGGAUGAGUCUGGUUUUGACAAUGUGUCUAUGAUGACGUUUGGAGUAACCAUUAUGCUUAGGAGUAUGAGGUGGGGUGGUGAGAUGAGUAAUGCUAGCAAGAGCAAAAUAAUCUUUUAACGCUAGAAAUUCACCACUAUUGUCAUAAUAGAUUUGAAUUAUUUUGGAACUGAAGUAGUUUUCAACUAGAGCUUUAAAUCGAACAAAAACAUCAUAGACAUUAGAUUUCUUUUGAAGUGGAUAUAACCAGACAUAUUUGGUGAAGUGAUCGACAAAGAUAACAUAGUAUUUAAAGUUAUCAUUUGAUACAAUGGGAGAACUCCAAACAUUUGAGUAAAUAGUUUGUAAAUGAGAUGAACUUGUAAUAGAUGAUGUAGAGAAAGGUAGUUUAUGACUUUUAUUGCACUUACAAGAAUUACAAGCAAAAGUAGAAAUAUCAUUAGAUGAUAAAGAAUGACUCUUAGAGGAAACUAAAUAUUGAAGAACUUUGGAAGAGGGAUGACCAAGUCGAUGAUGCCAAUUUGGAAGUGAAGUCUUAACAUUGGAAAAUACAAUCAAAGGUUUUUUCGUAGUAGGAGAAUUCAACCAUACAUAAAAACCACCACUAUAGAAUAUAGAAUAUAAUUUUAUAUUUAAUUAAUUUUGCAUUUAAAUAAUAUAUGAUAAAGAUAUUACUUUUAUAUUUAAAUAAUAUAAGAUGGUAAUGAGAUAAAAAUGAAUGUUUUUAUGGUUAUAGGAAUAAAGAAAAAUAAAAUAAAAAAGAUUUCAAUUACUUAAUUAAUAGUAAUCCUAAUUUAAUUUCAAUUAAUAUUAAUCUUAUUUAUAUCUUUCCUUUCUUGAAUAUACCAUAAAAAGAUUUAAGUAGUAAAUAAAUACAUGGGUAGAAGGAUACAUCCAGUCAUGAGGUGUACCUAUAUAUUAAUUUUAUAUUUAAAUAUUAUAGAAUAUAAUUUUAUAUUUAAUUAAUUUUGCAUUUAAAUAAUAUAUGAUAAAGAUAUUAGUUUUAUAUUUAAAUAAUAUAAGAUGGUAAUAAGAUAAAAAUGAAUGUUUUAUGGUUAUAGGAAUAAAGAAAAAUAAAAUAAAAAAGAUUUCAAUUACUAAAUCAAUAGUAAUCCUAAUUUAAUUCCAAUUAAUAUUAAUAUUAUUUAUAUCUUUCCUUUCUUGAAUAUACCAUAAAAAGAUUUAAGUAGUAAUCUGGGAUAGAUAUUAAUUUUAUAUUUAAGAAAUAUAGGAUAUAAUGUAGAGAAUAGAGAUACACAAACAUAUUUUAUAUUUAAGUAGUAAUCUUCAUGAGCUUUACACAAACAAAAAACUUAGAUGUUUACAUCAUCUAGAAGCCCCACUUCGCCUCUCUCUCAGCCCUCAGCCCUCAGGCUUAAGAAGUUGUCAUGAGAAACCUAACACAAACCUUUCUUAUAAUUAUUGUUCAUAGUCGUAGCUACCAAGAAUUCCAAGUUAGGAAGAAAAAAAGAAUCAUAAAUACAGCAAAAAUAACUUCCACUACAUGCGGCAGCAGGGGUACCAAAUUAGGGAAAUUAAGAAGUAAACCAUGCCCAAUCAAUUGCUGGGAAAUAUUAUUUGGAUAUCAAAUUAGGGAAGCUAUUAAGUGUGGUUUUUGUAGUGUUAAAUCAGAGAGAAAUUUAAUUAUAUUAUGAAUUUCAAAUUUAAUUAUUCUAAGAACAAUGAAUUACUCUAAUAGAAUUUAAUGUAUAAAAACAUUUCAAACACUCGCAACAUAUAUCAUUUUCAUUUUUUCCAAAAGCACCAAAACCCUAUAACAAUGAAAAUAAACCCAAUAACAAUGGAAAUAAACCAAAUAACAAUGGAAUCUCAAACCUAAUCACAAACAUUUCCAAAAUACCAACUAACAAAACCCAAAAAAAAAAAAAAAUUCCCAAAACUCACCAAAACCUAGAGAGAUGAUUUUCACGGGAGUUUCUUGGAGGUGGCUUCAGCUUUACCGACCAUAGCUUCCAUGGGGCUUCUUCAGCAUGGCUUCCAUAAGCUUUUUUUGACAAUAGCUUCCUCCAAGCAAUGGGGGUUGUGGGUAGGUUUUGUGGGUUUUAUGGCCGUGGGUUUUGGAGAGGAAGAGAAAAUGGGUUGGCAGGAGAGAGAAAGAAAGGCUUUAUAUUCGAUUAGGAAAGUGAUGUGGCCGUGGGGUAUACCCACAUGGUUAAAAGAAAGACAUUUUUCCAUUAGAAAAAAAUGUCUCAUGGCUUUUUUUAUUGUUAUUGUUAUACCCAAAAAAAAUAAUUUAAUUUUAUUGUUAUACCCUAAAAUUUUUUUAUUGUUAUUGUUAUUGUUCUGUGUUCAGAACUAUUAAUUUAAAAAGUUUUUCAAGUUUUAAAAUUAUCAAAUUUUUAAAAUUUACAAUUAUUUUAAAAUUUUAAAUUUACAAUUAUUUUUAAAAUUUUAAAUUUAAAUUAAUUUUGAAAGUUCAAUGUUUUACUCAAAGUGUUAUUCUAAAAUUUUUAUUAAGUUUUAUCAAGUUUUUUAAGUUUUAAAAUUAUCAAGUUUAAAAUUUAAAAAUUUUAUAUAAAUACAAAGAAUAAUUAAAAAUAAAAUAUAACAUAUAAAUGUUAUUUUUUAAAACAUAUUUAAAAACAUAAAAAAUAUAUAUUAAGAAUAUUUUAGGUUUCUAAAUCAACUUUUAUUUUAAAAUACAUCGGCAAAAAAAUUUUUAAAAAUGUUUUAAAAAACCGUUUUUUGUAUAAUUGUUUAUGAAAAUGUCAAAAUACUUCACAAAUAAACCAGUUCGAGUCCCCUCAGGGCCUCGUGGGAUUAGUCGAGAUGUGCUUAAGCUGGUCCGGACAUCCACGGUUAUAAAUAAAAAAUAAAAAUAAAAAAAUAAAAAAUACUUCACAAAUAAAACUAUAAUUUAUUGGUAUUUUUGUGGGCCUUAGGUGUUAGGAAAUGUUAUAUGUGCAUCCUACUCCUACUCUGUCUUCAUUAUUUUCAGUCCCUUUAUAUCUUAUACCAAUCUACUAUUAUUUUAUCAUAUGGUAUCAGUUUUUCAUAUUUGAUGAUAUUAAUUUCUACCUUAUCCCAUAUGCUUGUAGCUUAAUUUCAUUAUACAUUUGGACAACAGAAUUUCAGACUUCCAUUUGGUACUAAAUAUAAUAAACAUAAACAGAGAAUGAUGCAUUUAAGAAUAUUUUUCCAUGAAUUUUAACUUUAUAAAUUUGUUAAUUUUACAAAUUUAAGAAUUAUAAAAGUUUAGAACUUUUAUUUUUAAUCAUAAACAGAGGAUGUUAUUUUUGUAGUUAUAAAUUGUUUUUGUAUUGCAAAAAUCAUAAAGAUUAAAUAAUAUUUUAUGAUUGAAAAUUAAAUAAAACUAUAAACAAUUUUACUAGUAAUUGUUCAUAGUAAAAUUUAGUUAUCAUGACUAUUGAUACUUUAAAUAUAAUAAGAAUUAUUUAUCAUAUAUAAAAUCAAAAUUGUUUUUUAAUUUGCUAACUCACUUGCAUUUAAACUUUUUAUCAAAUAAUAUCAAAUUGAACCAUCAUAUUUUUAAACUAAUUUAUUAAACUUUAUUUUGCUUCUUAUUAAAACAUUAAUUAUAACAAGGAAAUUAAAUAAUUUUAACUAAAGAAAAAUAGGUAACACACUAAUUUGUUUCUUAACUUAAAAAAAAAUAGUAAUAUAACUUUAAACUUUUUAUAAUUAAUAAGAACUAUUAUUAUUACUAUUAAUGAUAAUUUCUAUUUAUGAUAUAUAUAUAUAUAUAUAUAUAAGAUUUUCUAAAAAAUUAUAAUAGGUAACCCAAAAAUUGUUUAAAAUAAAUAAUAGACUUUGGUCACGAUUGUGUGAACCCCGUGGCCAUAGGUUCAAAAUAUUUAAAAAAAACUCUAUGCAUUGGUAAUGGUCAAGCGAAAUUUGUAACUACAGGUUCUUAUACAGUCACGGUCAAUCAAUGGCGUGACUAAAAGUCACGGUCAAUCAAUCACGUCACUCAAAGUCACAAAAUAUCUAUUUAGUGACGGUUUCACAAAAACCUGUGACUAAAACAUCUUUUUCAUUACACUUUUUGUCACGGAUGAUAAAAUAACCGUGACUAAAGUUAUUGGCGCCAAAAUUUCCCUCCAUAAAUUUACAAAUAGUCACAGUUUUAAAUAAAUCCGUGACUAAAAUACCUCUUAUUAAUCCUUUUGGUGACGGUUGAUAAAAUCACCGUGACUAAACAUGUUUUUUUUUUUUUCCAAAUUUGAUUUAACACAUAUAGUCACAACCUUACCCAAUAAUAUCUUUGGUGGGCCGUGACUAAAGAUUCGUCAUUAAAAAUCUAUUUUUUUGUAGUGCUAGUUGGUCCAUGCAAAAUUCUUGCCCCCGUACAUAGACCAUUCACAUAAAAACAAGUGGGUAAGAAUUCAAUGAAAACAUUAUUUGUUAAGCAAAAUUGGGAAAUUGAAAUCAAGUUCUUUUUCAUGGUGAGAACACAAGGGAUAUUAUUAAGUUGAAGUAGCUUUAAUGCAGUUGGGAGGGUGGUGGAUCCUGUGUGUGUGAUUUCUAGACCUUUACCAUCACCAAUAAUUAUGUCGUCUGGGCCAGCAUAGUCGGAAUGCAAAGAUAGAUUCUGAAGAUCAUUAGAUAUGUGGUGUGAGGCACCAAAAUCCAAGACCCAAUUUGGAGAGACAACAGUUGGUUGAGUUGUCGCAUGUGUUUGUGCAGAAGAGGGGCGGUAACUGUAAUUGGGUGGAACACCAUGAUGUUGACUGGCAAUAUAUCGAAAUGAUGGACAUCUUUUCGCUGAGUGUCCUUGAACACCACACAAUUGACAAGUCCCCUUAUAUGGAUGAGGGGUGUGAUUCGAAGUAUUCGAGGUAGUCAUUGGUUGAGGUUGUUUGGAUGUACGGUAUUGAGACGAAGAGUAAGGCUGUUGAUUGAAGAAUCGAUGCGAUUGUGGUUGUUUGGUAGCAGCAUUGGUGGAAGCAGGCAAUGAGACAUUCCAAGAAGAAUACUUGGCAGAUUCUCAUAAAGUUUGAGCCUCAAGAGGAAGCAAUUUCUCAUAAAGUUCCUCAAAGGAAAAACAGUUUCAUGGGCAUGGAUGGUUGAGUGUAAAUCUUUGUACAUCUCAGGCAAACCAUGAAAUAUUUGAAUAAUGAAGUCCUCAGGGUCUAUGGUGACGUUCAUGAGAUAGAGAACAUCAACGCAAAUUUUAACAAAUUGCAUAUACUGUGUUAUGGACUGAGUGCCUUUGGACAAGUUGUCGAGUUGAGUCCGAUAAUGAAUUAUUCGGCUUCGAGAUGCUUUAGCAUAGGUGUUGUGAAGUGUAGACCAAGCCUCAAGGGAGGUUGUGGCUGAUGCAAUGAAUGAGAAAAUUGUUGGACUAAGUGAUGAAACAAUAGCAUUAAGAAGAUGGUCUUGACGAAUCCAAUGGGUGUAAGCUGGGUUUGGGGUUGUAGUACCCUUUUCAGAAGUAAGAGUGCUAGAAGGACAUGGUAAAGUGCCAUUGACAUAUCCCAGUAAAUCAUAACCGACUAGGAGAGUGUAAAAUUGGAGUCUCCAUGCAGAAAAAUUGUGUUGAGUGAGUUUGAUGGGGGUUUGGGAAGAGGCGUUUAUGGCUAUGAGGUUUUGAGUAGUGUAUAUAGAGAUGUUGGCAGCAGUGUCGAUGGAGGAAACAAUUGAGGGGGAAGGGCUAGAGCCUUCGUUGGUUUAUGGGUUUGGUGAGGCAUGAGAAUCAACUAUGUGAGCUAUGGUUGCUCUGAUACCAUAAAGACGAUACAGGCUUUGAGAGUUAAAGAUUGUUCUUUCUAUAGAUCAAGGCAAGAAGUAUAUAUAUAGUAUACAACCUAGCGUUACAGACUUACCAAAUUAACUCCACAAUAAAGGGAACUAUACAUGGUUGGUUACCAAAACAAAUAUAGGAGAUUAGCUGUACAUAUUACUGAAAUAUAGAGACGAUCACGGAGGAUUUGAUAGAGAUUGAAGUUGACUUUCAAACGAACCAUUUUCCUUAUCAGGUACUAAUUCAAAGUUCUUGGGUGGUACUUGAAUUAUAUCCCCAACAUUGAUGAUAUAUGCAUCUAGGGUGGGCUUAACUCGAAUCCAUUCUCCAUCAGUUUUUUGCUUUACUUCCAACCCUCUGACAUCAUCCUGGGCAAGGAUGGUUAAGGCUUCGGCAUCCUUUUGGCAACGAACACCCAGAGCUAGGUGAGGGAUGGGGCAUGGUGGGUAGUGAUUGAGGCGGAUGAAGGUAGUUGAUUCUUCAAAGAAAAGAUUGAAUCUGUUUUCCGGCAAACCUAAGCUCAGAGAGAUGAGUCCCAACAUCUUGAAAGCUAGUUUUUCCAUUUCUCUAGCAUAUUCUUCACAUACCUCCCUGUAUAAAUUGGUUCAAUUAGAACCAAAAAACCAAGUAAAUCAUUGAAGUGACUCUGCCUUAGCUGGUGGAAUUUGUACCUUAAUUCAGGAGAGUACUGAGGCCACUGAUUGAUCAACUCUUUGAGCUCCUUGUCGUCAGGAUCAGGCGAAGCAGGGAUGAAGGCGGGGGAUGACACCACGAAAUCAAAGACUUCCUUCCAGUCCCUAACGUUCUUGGUAUGCUCAGUAUCAAAAUACCACAAAGGAUUCACCCCAUCUCUACUCACCUUCCUCUUCUCCUACAAUGGCAGAGCGAAGAACUUCCUCGCCGCAUCCUCAAUUUUCCGGCGAGACUCCGAGGGCAUCCCAUGGUUGAUGACUUGAAAGAAGCCUCGAUUCUUGGAUGCAUCAGCUAUUUGAGAAACAUGGUUAGAGGCAUUGGCGGAAGAGAGAUCAAUGAGUGGGAUGCCUUCAGCUUCGAUAACAACGAGCUUAGGCCCAUGUUGGGUGUCUUGGAUGAAGGCUGGAUCGACCUCUCCCAUGGCUGUGGUAGUGAUUAGAACCUAGAAAUGGUGGUUAUGCACUGGUAGCUGCAGGUUGAGAUUGUGAAGGGGACUUGGGCCACUUGGCAGGUGAUUUUUGUAGUGUAGUGGGGUUGGUUUGGUUCAUUGAACCUUGACAUAAUGACAUAAAUGGGAUACGUUUUAUAAGUUCAAGGAAUCAUGGUAUUUGGAAAAUAUGAAUGAGUUGAAAAUUUUAAAAAAUAGGUUUAUAGGAGUAUAUUUUAAGGAAAAUAAUUUUCAAAUCAUAUCAUGUAUAGGAUAGUGACUUUGUACAUGUUUGAGGGGAAUCAUGUCAAAGUGCACUAUUUGAAAAACAUGGCUAAAUUGUAAACUUAAAAAAGUGGUUUCAUGGAGAGUACAUUAUGAGAAAAAUAAUUUCCAAAUCAUGUACUAAAAUAAUAACUGUAUCCAUGCUUCCAAAACUACUAUUCAACAUAUUUUCAUCAUGUCACAUUUUCCUAUGACGUCAUUGCCCUCAUUUCUUAGAAGAAAAACCCUUUCUGUUCUACUUUACUUUACACUGUUUGUUCCUAUAACCCUUUCCUUUUUUUAAUUUUAAUUUUUUUAAAAAAAUAUUUCUCAUCUAUUUUCUCGAUUUUUAAAAUUCUAUUUAAUUAAAAAAAUUAGAAUUUUUUUUAAAGUACAAUUCAUUUAUUUAUUUUUUCAUUUUAUUUAAAUGUGAUGUAUAAUUAAUACAUUAACAUAAAUUAGUUUUUAAUAUAAAAAUAUAUUCAUCUAUAAUAAUUAAAAAUCUAAUAAAUAAAUAAAUAAAUAAAUAUUAGUAUUUUAAAUAAUAUUGAUUUCGUAUAUACAAUAUUUUAUUUUGUUUCAUUAUUAUAGAUCUCAUUUUCUAUAUUUUUUAUUUCUAAUUUUUCUUAUAGAAUUUUAAACCUAGAUUUUUUAAAAAUGAAAUUUAAAAAAACACUAGAAAUUAAAGUUUUUGUUUUCUUCAAAAUAAAAACAAAAAAAAAAUAAUAUACAAAAAAAAAAUAUUAGUUUACCUUUAAUUUCAUUCAACAAAAAAUUAGUAAUGAUAAUUUUUUAAGAGUAUUUAAUUUUAAAAGUAAUAUUUGAAGAUAGGUAAAAUAAAAAUUUUAAAAGUGUUUGUAUUAAAAUUUUGAAUAUAAAUUCACAACUCCCAUCAUAAUACAUUGAUAUUUAAAAUAAAAAAAACCCCUAAUGAUUUUUUUUUAUUAUAUUAAACAUGUAAAAAAAGUACAUUUUUGUUUAAUUAAAAAUUUAAACCAUUAAAAUUGUUUUUUUCUUUAAUAAAUAAUGUUUUUAAAGAGUACAUUAUACCUAUUUUUUUGGGCAUGUUAUUUAAUAAUUGCUACCAAAGUCAUAACAAUGACAAUAAAAAACUAAAUAUAAUAGUGCAUAUUUGCUAUCUAUAGUGGUACUUUUAGUUACUAACAUUAUUAUUUUUAAGUAAAAAUAAUGUUAUUAUUUCCUGACAUAUUUGAUGUAGAGGUUGAAGUGAUGACAGUGCUAAAUAAGUUAGUACAUCCUAUUAUCUACAGUGAUAUUUUUAGUUACUAUUAUUAUUAUUUUUAGGUAAAGACAAUGUUACUAUCUCUAGUGAUACAUUUGAUGUAUGGAUUGGAGUGGUGAUAGAUGAUGUAACAACUGUGUAUAUGGGGUCAAUCAAGUGUAAUUGUCCUCUUAUUUGUAUAGAUCGCAACCCACCUCCGACAGUGGUUGAAAAGUAGUCUUGGAAGCAUAUCACCAAAGGGACAUUUUGAAUAAUAAUUUGGGAAAAAGCGUUCAUCAGACAUAGCCUAAAAAGUAUAUCCCAACAUUGCUGUUUAUUUAUCAAGCAAAUUACAUUAUUAUUGUCACACCAAACCUCCAAAUUCAACAUGUACUUAGCCUAUAUACUGGAUGGUGAACGGGCUAAAACAAGCUCUUACUGAUUACAGAUAGAUACUGUCCUACUGACACUUUUACUCUGAUACCUUGAAAUGAGAAAUUUGGAGGUUUUCCACAUCAAGCUUCUUGAAAUUGCUGCGCCUUCUCGCAGAAAAGAACUUUCCCCAGUUGUAUGCUCUGUAAUUUUGCUUUUCCCCCUUCGUCAGCUCCUCCAAGGGCUUCACCCAAACAUGCUGCCCGGGAUUGAAAGAGAACGGAAUCGAAAACCUUUCCCUCUCUGAAUUCACAGUCACCCUGUGCUCCACACUUUCAUAAGUAUCAUUGCUCCAGGCCUGGUUUAAUAUCAGUAUAAUUAGCCAAAUGGGUGUAACUGAGCCAAACAGUACUGAUAAGCAUGUACUUAUAAUUCGAAGUUCUUGGGUGGUACCUGAAUUAUAUCCCCAACAUUGAUGAUAUAAGCAUCUGGGGUGGGCUUAACUCGAAUCCAUUCUCCAUCGGUUUUUCGCUUUACUUCCAACCCUCCGACAUCAUCCUGAGCAAGGAUGGUUAAGGCUCCGCCAUCCUUGUGGCGACCAACGCCCAGAGCUAGGUGAGGGAUGGGGCAAGGUGGGUAGUGUUUGAGGCGGAUGAAGUUCGUUGAUUCUUCAAAGAAAAGAUUGAAUCUGUUUUCCGGCAAACCUAAACUCAACGAGAUGAGUCCCAAUAGCUUGAAAGCUAAUUUUUCCAUUUCUCUAGCAUACUCUUCACAUACCUCCCUAUAUAAAUCAGUUCAAUUAGAACAAAAAAGAUAAGUAAUUCACUGUAGUUAUUGUGCCUUAGCUGGUGAAAUUUGUACCUUAAUUCAGGAGGGUACUGAGGCCACUGAUUGGUCAGCUCUUUGAGCUCCUUGUCGUCAGGAUCAGGCGAAACAGGGAUCACGGUGGGGGUUGACACCACGAAAUCAAAGACUUCCUUCCAGUCCCUAACGUUCUUGGUAAGCUCCGAAUCAAAAUACCCCAAAGGAUUCACCUCAUCUCUACUCACCUUCCUCUUCUCCUCCAAUGGCAGAGCGAAGAAUUUCCUCGCCGCACCCUCAAUUUUCCGGCGAGACUCCGAGGGCACCCCAUGGUUGAUGACUUGAAAGAAGCCCCAAUUCUUGGAUGCGUCAGCUAUUUGAGAAACAUGGUUGGAAGCAUUGGCGGAAGAGAGAUCAAUGAGGGGGAUGCCUUCAGCUUCGAUAACAGCGAGCUUAGGCCUAUGUUGGGUGUCUUGGAUGAAGGCUGGAUCGACCUCUCCCAUGGCUGUGGUAGUGGUUGGAAGUUAGAAAUGGGGGUUAAGCACUGGUGGCAGCAGGUGUAGAUGGUGACGGGAAAUUGGGCCACACGGCAGGUGGUUUUUGUAGUGUGGUGGGGUUGGUUUAGUACAUUGAACCUGGGCAUAAUUUGGGUUACUUUUUAAGGUUUGGUUGAGGGUGUGACCUCAUGGAUUGCGCAUAUAUUAAUGAUAAUUGGUCAAGUGAUACUGCAGUCCCAAAGGGAAUCUCUCUCAAUGAUUUUGCCGACAGCUCCCUCCACAUUAAAAUGUUUCAUCCGUAUUUGAAUUGGAGUCUAAUGCUCUGAUCAAAGAUACCUUUCGCUUAGUCGAUCAGUGUUUGAUUACUAAAUAAGAUGGUGUCACAAAUAUUUUUGAAUUCUAGGUCAAAGUUAACGAGUGCAAAGGUUAUCAAUUUGAUAAGAUAAAUUGUUUAGAAACACUUUUAAAAAUGAUUCUUGAAAAAAUAUUUUUUUAAGUUUAAAAACCAUUUUUAAAUUUAGAAUAAAGGUUUAUUUAAAAACUUAUAUUAUUAUAAACUUAUUUUUUAUAUUUUUAAAAAAUAAUUUUUAUAUAUAAUAUUUUAUUUUCAAUCAUUUUUUACAUUUUUUUUAAAAAGGUAAAACUACUAAAAAAAAUACUUAAAAUAAGUUAUCAACAAAUGUCUUAUUGUCAUGACAAUUUUCAAAAACAUGUUUUAGAAACAAUUGAAAAUCAAAGUAUUUUCAUAUUCCUUUAUUCCCAAAAACAAAAAAUUAUUCUUGGUAACGGUUCCAAAUGUAUCCUUCAUUUGUUUAUCUUAUUAUAUAAGUUUUAAAAUAAAAUACAAAAAAUAAUUUUCAAUGAUAAUUUGUUACGGUUUUAUCCAAAAUUUUUAUAUUUUUAAUCAAUUAAUUUAUUGAUACGUAUAUUUCUCAUGAGACCUUUUUCUCACUAAAAACAUUACUUUUUUAUAAGACAUUUUUAAUAAAUUAAUUUUGAUACGUAGAUUAAAAAUGUCUUAUAACAAUAUAAAUUAAUUAAAUCAUUAGUUGGCCAUUUGGUCUCAUGCUUACACAACGACUUCUCUCAUGGCUGCCUAACAUGAAUGAACAACUCUCUACAACAAGUAAGGUACACUUAAUUAAAAAAUUAUUUAAUUUAAAGAUGUUCGAGAAUGAGAAUUUCAAGUAGCACUUGAAUGAAUUUAAUGAGACCACAAAUUAAUUAAAUUCGAUGGUUAUUAAAUUUGAUGAUAAGAUUCAAGCCUUAUUAAUCCUCGGUUAAUUGCUUGAGAGUUGGAAAGACACAAUCACCUCAAUCAAUAGUUCAUCCAAAAAAUCAAAAUUGGUGUUUUCGAAUGUAGUAGACAUGAUUAUAACCGAGGAGAUCAAGAAGCAUGAAGAAGGUUUUUCAAAUUCAUGAUCAACAUUAAAUAUGGAGAGCAAAGCUAGAAAUCAUAAUAAAGGUAAUAGGCGUGAUAAAUCCAAAUCGAGGAAUGAUAGGUUGAAAUACAAAAAUUCCAUAAAUUCCUAACAUCAGACGAGUAAGAACAAUAUCAAAUGUUGGAAUUGUGAUUGGAGCUAAAAUAUGUGCUCAAAUGACAUAUAUUUGAUAUGAUUUAUAUAUCAUAAGACACUCAAAUCAUCUGACUCUACCCAAAUUGAUACUAAGGUCCUAGCCAUGAGUUUAACUUGUAUUUUGGAGAUUUAUCUCAGGUUUAAGAAAAGAAAAUGGUGUAAGGUGAAUCAAUUUAGAUUUUGAAAGAAUAAGAAGGGGUUAAAUGAGAAAAUGAACAAGUCAAGACUCAUGAAAUAUGAAGAAAGGAAAGACGAGGAUAUCGUGAGUUUGGGAGAUGAGGAAUGACCAUUAUCAUGAAGUAAGAAAUAAGGCAUACAAACAUAGAAAAUGAGGCAUGAAACAAAAUUCAUCAAGUUUGCAUGGAAAUUUGGGACUCAAAAUCUGGUAAUAACAUAUACUCUGACUUUAAAAUGAAAUUUGGAGCAUUUCCCAAAGUCCAUUUUAGGCAAGCUAUAUAUUGUUUUGAAGCAUGGGAAGUUAGGAAUUCAAAGCUUCAAACAAUGUCCAAAUUAGAGCUAAAUAAGGAAGUUAUGCACAUUUAAAGCAAACUAGUUAGAGAGAAAAACUGAGUUCGAAAUUGGUCACUUGGAUUUGAAAUGGUUUUUGUCCAUUUAAAACUCAAAGAAAUGAAAGAAAACUUUUGGCAUUGGCUAAGUUUGAAUCUCUUUACCUAUUUCAAACAAGAGGCAUACAUUUCAAAGUCAAAUGAACAUACAUGGGCAGUGAGUGAGUUCAAAAUUCACUAUGAAUUUUGAACUCACCUUGUUGAUUUCAAAUUGGACCAUUUAUUUCCCACUUAUGAGUUCAAAAUUGAUUUGAACUCACCCAAAUUUCGAACUCAACCAUUAGUGACCGAUUUUAGGCUCUGAGACAUGUCAAAACGAGUUUCAAAUGCCUUUAUCCAAUUCAAAACGCAUCAUACUCAUUUAGAACUCGUAAUUUUUGGGGUUUUUUUUAAAGGUUAUUUAUGACUUUUCGUUACAAUAAGUGGCCAAUGAGAGUGUACCACAUGUUAGGUCAUUGAAGUUACUAUAAAAACUCUUUUAGUUAUAGUGUUUAGGUGAUCUUCCAAGAGUUAGACAUUUCGUGGGGAAGAAUACGAGAACUUUUGGUUUAUUUAUUUUCUUCUUUAUUGAAUGUAUUGUUUUUAGUUUCCUUUAUUUCAAAUUAUGAAUUUUUACUUUAUUAUGGAUUGUGAAUGUGACAUUACCCCCAUGAGAGGAUAAAAAGCUAACUUGGGGCUUAAACAUAAAAACUAACGGUUAGAAAACUUAUAGGGACAUUAGGUAAAUUAUUAUAACAAUAAGAUUAAUUAAUGGUUGAGUUACAAUUUAUUAAUUUUUUAUCCUAUCAUUGUGAGUUAGUUUAGAGAAUAAUAUAGUAGGUGAUUAUUCGAUACUAGUGAUUCUUGGUAACUCUUGAUCAUUAGUAAUCCUGAUUUUUCUUAUAGUUAUCUGCCCCAAAACGAAGUUAGAAGGAGUAGGAAAUGUUAAAAAGCCAAACCUUAAAUUGAUAAUAAUUUCAUUCAUUUGAUGUGUUGACAAAUCAGAGGGUUGGCUGCAUCCAUCAACUCUCUUUGUGUUCGCCGUGAGCACUUGGGUGAAUGCACUAUAAGGUUAGAGUAUGCACAUUUCUUAACAGCAAUUGCUUUUAGGAGAAUUGGUAGUGCCUGAGGUCCUACAUGAUAGUUUUAAGAACUUGUUUUAAAAAGAAAAAUUAAGUUUUAGAUGUACUUUUGAGUUAUAGGGCUCAAGUUGAUUGCAAGCGGCCAAGAAUCCCAAAACCCUAAGAUCACUCUAGUUAAGAAACCUUUGUUAUCUCUAUUUCUAUACCUUAAGUUAUAUUGUGGAAAACCUCAAACUUAAAUCAAUUAAAUUAAAAAUCAAUAUUCGUUUUGUUAUUAAUUUAGUUUUUUUUUUUUUUUACUUAGUUUCACUUCAUAAAAGUUAAUUCACAUAUUGUUUUUCGCUUUAGGAUUUAAAUAAAAACAAUUCAUUUAUCCUAGUAUUGAAAAAUUCCAUAUGUUAGUCCCUAAGGAUGAUACCCAAAGAAUUACAAAAACCAUAGUGACUAUUUCUCUAGUUUUUUCUUAACCAAAGUUACUAUGUAAAAAGGCUUAGUAUUUUACAUAAGAGAGAAGAUUGAUCAAAUUGUGGAAAGAAGAGACAUUAUAAAAAUGAGUGUAAGGCUGCCAAGAAGGAUAAGGAUGGUGACAACAAGACCAAUGCAAAUGUUGUGUCAAAAGAAUUAGAUGAUGCUCUUAUCUGCUAUUUAGAGAGAACAACAUAAUCGUGGGUAUUAGAUUCAGGGGCAUCGUUCCAUGCUACCUCAAGUGGAGAAUUAUUUGAGAAUUAUGUCUCAGGUAAUCUAGGGAAGAAGUAUCUAGGUGAUGACCAAGCAUGUGUUGUUAUUGGCAUAAGUGAAGUGCAUAUCAAAUAUUUGAAUGGAUUUGUAUGGAAUUUGGACAAUGUGAGGCACAUUUCAAACCUGAGAGAUAAUUUUAUUUCCAUUGGGUAGUUAACAAAAGAUAGUUAUGUGACAACUUUUUUAGGUGACACAUGGAAUAUCUCAAAGGGAGCUAUUUGCCAUGGCAAGAAGAAUGAUACUCUUUACAUGACAAUGAAUGGUUGUGGGUUUAUUACAAUUGUUGAGAGCAAAGAAGAUUCGAAUUUAUGGCAUUAAAGGCUUGGUCACAUGAGCAAUGAGGGGUUGGAAAUUAUACACUCAAAUGGGAAGUUGUCAAGUUUGAAAUAAGUUGACAUUGACAUGUGUGAAAAUUGCAUACUUGGGAAACAAAGAAGGGUUAGCUUUAAGAAAGUUGGAAAAACUCCAAAAGAAGUAAAACUGAAGUUAGUUUAUACAAAUGUUUGGGGACUUGCUUCAAUUUCAUCUAUCGGUAGAAGAUUUUUUUUUGUGACCUUCAUUGAUGAUCAUUUGAGGAAAGUGUGGGUAUACUUUAUGAUACACAAAUGAGAAGUGUUUGAUGUAUUCAAGAGACGGAAAACAAUGGUGGAGAAUAAGACAUGUAUGAGAGUCAAGAAGUUACGGUUUGAUAAUGGUAGGGAGGAUGAAGAAUUUGAGUUCAAGAAGAUCUAUUAUGAAAAUGGAAUUAAAUUAGAGAAGACCGUGCCAAGGACACCUUACCAGAAUGGUAUAGCAUAAUGAAUGAACAAGACAUUGACUGAAAGAGAAAAAAAACGUGUAUACAAGCAAGGUUGUCAAAGGAGUUCUUGGCAAAAGCAAUCAACAAAACAACUUACUUGAUCACAAAAUACUGGAAAAAGUGUGAACUAAAAAAAAGGUAAAGUUUUCUCAUUUGAGGGUAUUUGGUUGUGUAUCAUAUAUAUAUAUAUAUAUGUGUGUGUGUGUGUGUGUGUGUGUGUGUGUGUGUGUGUGUGUGUGUGUAUACAUAUUAGUGAUCAUGACAUAAACAUACUUGAUGCUAAAUCACUAAAAUGUACUUUCUUAGCUAUGGUGUUGAUAAUUUUGGUUAUUAGUUUUGGGAUGACCAGAGUAAGAAAGUGAUUAGAAGUAAGGAUGUCGAUUAGAAGUAAGGAUGUCAUAUUUAAUGAGAAAGUUUUGUAUAUGUAGAGAGAUGCAACACAUUCCAAUAGUCUGGUACAACUUGAACCUAUUUACUUUGAGCCAAAUGAUGUCCCAUUGAAUAACAUGACAAAUAAGACAGGUCAUAAUCAUUAGAUUGAGGAAAAUACUGCAUAAGAUGUUAAUAUAUCACAAGAUCUAGUUUCAAUUCCUACUUUGAGGAGAUCUAACAAGCCACAUGUACCAAAUAGGAAGUAUUUAAAUUAUUUGCUACUAAUAGAUGGAGGUGAACCUAAAUGUUAUGAUGAGGCAUGUCAGAUGGAAGAUAAUAGAAAGUGGGAGCUUACGAUGAAAAAUGAAAUGAAGUCCCUUAUUCUUAACCAGACUUGGAAGCUAGUCGAGUUACCAAUGGGUAAGAAAGUUUUUCAUAAUAAGUGGGUGUAUUAAAUUAAGUAGGAGCAUGGUGGUUCUAAGAGAUAUAAGGCUAGAUUGGUGGUCAAAGGGUUUCAAUAGAAGAAAAAUGAUUGACUAUACAUACAUUUUCUCUCUAGUUGUGAAACUAACUAUUAUUCAAUAUGUUUUGAGUAUUGUAGCAAUAAAGAGUUUACAUAUAGAACGGUUAGAUGUGAAGAUAGCUUUCCUCUAUGGUGAUUUUGAUGGGGAAAUUAGUAUAUAUGCAACAACUAGAGGGUUUUGUAGUGAAGGGUAAAGAGAAUCUGGUGUGCAAAUUAACUAACAGUCUGUAUGAUUUAAAACAAGCCCCAAGACAAUGGUAUAGAAUAUUUGGUAGUUUCAUGCAAAAGAAUAGGCAUCUCAAGUGCAAUGCAGACCAUUGUUGUUACUUUAAGAGAGUUGGUUCUAUCUAUAUUAUUUUGUUACUUUAUGUUGAUGGCAUGUUAGUAGUUGACGCAAAUCUAGAUGAAAUUAACAAGUUGAAGAAAUAGUUGUCUAGUGAAUUUGAAAUGAAGGACUUGGGAGCAACAAAGUAGGUACUUGGGAUGAAGAUUAGCAAAGACAAAUAAACGAGCAUCUUAUGGUUAUCUUAGGCUAAGUAUAUAUACUCAUAAAGUAUUGCAAAUAUUCGACAUGAGUAAUGUAAGGCAAUUAGAACAUCAUUAGCAAAUCAUUUCAGGUUGUCUAAUUAAGCAUUGCCCAUGGGCAGAUGAGGAAAAAGACUUCAUGGCUAAGGUUUCAUAUGCCUUAGCCAUUGGAAGUUUGAUGUAUGUUAUGAUAUGCACGACACUAGACAUUGCCUAUGCAGUGGAAGUUGUGAGCAAAUUUAUGUCAAAUCUAAGUAAGUAGCAUUAUGAAGUAGUGAAAUGGAUGCUUAGGUACUUACAGGGUACUACAAAAAAAUGUCUAUGUUUCGAAAGGGGUGAGUUAAAAUUGCAAGGAUAUGUGGAUGUUGAUUUUGCCAAUGAGAUAGAUAAUUGGAAAAGUACUACAUGGUAUGUGCUCACUUUGGGUACUAUUGCUAUUAGUUUGAUUUCUCAAUUGUAGAAGAUUGUUAUUUUAUCUACAAUUGAAGUAAAAUAUGUGGCUAUCACAGAAGCUAGAAAAGAAAUGAUUUGGCUAUAGAGUUUGUUAGCAAAGUUAGGAUUCAAAUAAGAUAUGAAUGUUUUGCAUAGUAAUGGCCAAAGUGCAAUACAUUUGGCUAAGUAUUCAACAUUUCAUUCAAGAACUAAUUAUAUUACACUUCAUUAUCACUCCAUCAGGUUUUUGCUUGAAGAUAGGGUGUUAACAUUUGUGAAGAUACAAGGUAGCAAGAAUCCGGUUAACAUGUUAACUAAAAUAGUGAUAAUAGAAAAAUUGGAGUUGUGUGCAACUUCAAUUGGUCAAUAAUGAGAAUAGGUUGUUUGAGUGCACCCUCAUACCCAUUAAUCAUUGAAAGAGAAUGUUUACUUGUGUUUUAGUCUUCAAGUGGAAGAUUGUUGGAUUGUGAAGCUUGAAUCAGUUUUAUUAUGCCCCGAUCAACUUGUAGGGAUUGAAGGGCGCAAUGCUCUAUGGAGAAUUUAUUUAUUUAUUUUUAUGUAAUGAUUGACAGGUUUAAUCUUAUUAUAUAUUUUAACCCUUUUAUGUUUUAAGGUUUUGUUUUUUAAUGUGUAGUUGCAAUUGAGAGGUUUUUUGAGAGCUUUGCUAUUCCACUCCUUCUCAUCCCUUUUAUAGUGAAUUGUUGUAUGUUGGUGUACUCCAUUGAUGUAGGGAUCAAAUUGAUCGUAAAACCAUUUUUUUUUUUUUUUUGUUUCUAUUUAUACAUGAGUGUGUGCGUGAUUUGGUUAACAUCAGUUAUCUUAAUAAUUCUAUUCCUGGAAUAGGAAGAAAAUGAUGAUUCCAUUAAUGUAGCAUGCAUUGCUGCUUAUUUAUCAAGCAAAUUACAUUAUUAUUACACCAAACCUCCAAAUUCACCACGUACGUAUCGUAUAUACCGCAUGAUAAGAUUUAGAGAGGUAAAACAAGCGCUUAUUGUUUACGGAUAGAUAAUGUCCCACCGACCUUUUACUCUGAUACCUUGAAAUGAGAAAUUUGGAGGUUUUCCACACCAAGCUUCUUGAGAUUACCGCGCUUUCUCGUAGCGAAGAACUUUCCCCAGUUGUAUGCUCUAUACUUUGGUUUUUCCCCCUUCGUCAGCUCCUCCAAGGGCUGCACCCAAAGAUGGUGCGCGGGAUUGAAAAAGAACGGAAUCGAGAACCUUUCCCUCUCUGAAUUCAGUAUCACUCUGUGCUCCACACUCUCAUAAGUUUCGUUGCUCCAAACCUGGUUUAAUAUCAGUAUAAUUAGCCAAAUAGGUGCAAAAUUCGGUGAGCGAAAUAACUGAUAAGCAGGUGCUUAUAAUUCAAAGUUCUUGGGUGGUACCUGAAUUAUAUCCCCAACAUUGAUGAUUUAAGCAUCUGGGGUGGGCUUCACUCGAACCCAUUCUCCGUCGGUUUUUCGCUUUACUUCCAACCCUCCGACAUCAUCCUGGGCAAGGAUGGUUAAGGCUCCGGCAUCCUUGUGGUGACCAACGCCCAGAGCUAGGUGAGGGACAGGGCAAGGUGGGUAGUGAUUGAAGCGGACGAAGCUCGUUGAUUCUUCAAAGAAAAGAUUGAAUCUGUUUUCUGGCAAACCUAAGCUCAGAGAGAUGAGUCCCAUCAGCUUGAAAGCUAGUUUUUCCGUUUCUCUCGCAUAUUCUUCACAGACCUCCCUGUAUAAAUCAGUUCAAUUAGAACAAAACAAACUAAGUAAUUUACUGUAGUGACUGUGCCUUAGCUGGUGAAAUUUGUACCUUAAUUCAGGAGGGUACUGAGGCCACCGAUUGGUCAGCUCUAUGAGCUCCUUGUCCUCAGGAUCAUCCGAAGCAGGGCCGAAGGCGGGGGUUCUCACCACGAAAUCAAAGACUUCUUUCCAGUCCCUAACGUUCUUGGUAUGCUCAGUAUCAAAGUACCCAAAAGGAUUCACCUCAUCUCUACUCACCUUCCUCUUCUCCUCCACUGGCAGAGCGAAGAACGUCCUCGCGGCAUCCCAAAUUUUCCGGCGAGACUCCAAGGGCACCCCAUGGUUGAUGACUUGAAAAAAGCCCCAGUUCUUGCAUGCAUCAGCUAUUUGAGAAACAUGAUUGGAAGCAUUGGCGGAAGAGAGAUCAAUGAGGGGGAUGCCUUCAGCUUCGAUAACAGCGAGCUUAGGCCUAUGUUGGGCGUCUUGGAUGAAGGCUGGAUUGACCUCUCCCAUGGCUGUGGUAGUGAUUAGAACUUAGAAAUGGCAAUUAUGCUCUGGUAGCUGCAGGUGAAGAUGGUUACAGGACUUGGGCAACUCGGCAGGUGGUUUUUAUAGCAUAAUAGGGGUGUUGGUUUAAUACCUUGAACCUGGACAUAAUAUGGGUUACGUGUUAAGUUUUAGUUCGGGGUGUGAGCUCAUGGGUUGCGCAUAUGUUAAUGAGAUUUGGUCAAGUGAUACCUAGCUAUUUCCACGGCACCCUCAAUAUUCAAAUAUUUCAUCCGUACUCGAUUUGGAAGGUUGAUUAGUAAAUCUGAUGGUGUAAUGUCUAUUUUUGAAUUCAAUGCUAUAUAUUUAACGGUGAAGAUAAGAAAAAUAGAAGAGUUGAUAACGUUGAAGAAAAAAUGCCAAAGUUUUAAGAAGGUAGAGUUUUGAUGAGAAAUAGGUAAAAUUAAAAUUGCAUUAUAAUAAUAUAAAUUAAUUAAAUCGGUAAUCACCCAUUUAAUCUCAUUCUUAUCCACAAUUGUUGAUAGUUGAUCCUACAAAAUUCUAAAAAAAUCUUCCACAAAGACAAAUCACAAGAUGUUCAAUAACAUAUAUGCUUUUGCACCAAAAAUUGUAUAAGGGAAAAAAAAAUGAUGCACAAAAAAAAAAAAAAAAAAAUUCUAUAUCUAAUAUUAUUUCAUAGGAAAACUAACUAUAAUAAAUUUUAAAAGCAAAGAGCGUUUUACCAUAUCUAAAUAAUAGAUUAUUAAAUUCUUUAUUUUUCAAUUGGAUAUUUUUUUUUAAAUUAGAAACAUCUAUAUAAAAAUAAAAAUCACUUUAAAAAAAUUUUAAAUUUAAGAUAAUAAAUUUUUUAUAAUAUUUUAAUUCUUUUAAAUAAUUUUUAAAAUUAUUAUUUUUUCAAUAUAAAAUUUUAAGAGUUUUUGUAUUUUAUAUAUAAGUUACUAAUAUUCUCUUAUUUUAAACAUAGAAAAUAAAAAAUGUAACCAAAUGAAUUAGAAAAUAAAAAAGUUGAAUAAAAAUAGUCUAACCAUCUUAAACCUAAUAAUGUUUGACAGAAAACACUUAAAUAUACCUUGUAAUUUUCCUCACUGGUCAGCUCCUCCGAAGGCUUCACAUUCACAUGGUGCGCCAGUAAGAAGAAGAAUGGAAUCGAAACCCUUUCCUUCUUGUGUCGACCCACACUGAGAGCGAGCUCCAGCCACGAGCACGAUGGAUGGUGAUUGAGUCGGAUGAAGCAUUAGCCUUCAAAGAAUUCAUUCAACCGAUCCCCCACCAAGCCUAAGCUUAAGGAGAUGAGUUCCAAGAACUUGUAAGCUAAUUUUUCUAUUUCUCUAAUAUAGUUUUUCCAAAUUUUCCUGAAAAUAAAUCAUUAUAUAAAAUAUAUCAAUACUCAAAAUAAAUUUAAUAAAAUCUUGUCUUGCCUUUAUGUCUCUAGUUGAGUCUGUUUGGCUUCAAGCUGUGCAUUUAUGUCUCCGGUUGAGUUUGUUAGGCUUUGAGUCGCACCUUUACACCUCUAGUUGAAUAUGUUCGACUUUGAGCCAUGCCUUUACGUUUUGAGUUGAGUCUAUUCGGCUUUGAGCCACGCCUUUACAUUUUAGUUGAAUCUGUUCGAUUUCAAGCCGUGCAUUUACAUCUAUAAUUGAGUCUAUUCAGCUUCAAAUUGCAUCUUCACAUUUUUUGUUGAAUCUGUUCAGCUUCAAGCCACUCCUUUAUGUCUCUAAUUAAAUUUGUUUGGCUUUAAGUUUCACCUUUAUGCCUUUAAUUGAGUUUGUUCGGCUUUUAGUUGCGCUUUUACGUUUUGAGUUGAGACUAUUUGGCAUCGAGUUGCAACUUUAUGUUUCAAGUUGAAUUUGUUUAGCUUCAAAUCGUGCCUUUACAUCUCUAGUUGAGUUUGUUCGACUUCAAGUCAUGCCUUUAAGUCUCUAGUUGAGUUUUUUUAGCUUUGAGCUGCGCCUCUACAUCUCUAGUUGAAUUUGUUUGGCUUCGUAUCACAUCUUAUGUUUCGAAUUGAGUUUAUUCGACUUCGAGUUGUGCCUUUAUGUUUCUAGUUGAGUCUAUUCAGCUUCAAGCUGCACCUUUACUUUUUGAAUUGAGUUUGUUCGGCUAUGAGCAAUGCUUUUACAUUUCAAGUUAAGUCUGUUUGGCUUUGAGUUAAGCCUUUACGUCUCUAGUUAAGUCUAUUCAACUUCGAGCCGCAUCUUUCAUUUUUGAGUUGAGUGUGUUUGGCUUUGAACCACACCUCUAUGUUUCAAAUUAAGUCUAUUCAUCUUCAAGUCGCACUUUUAUGUCUUUAGUUAAGUUUGUUCAGCUUCGAGCAAUGCCUUUAGGUUUGAAGUUGAGCCUAUUUGACUUCAAGCCACACCUUUACAUCUCUAGUAGAGUUUGUUUGGCUUCAAGCUAUGCCUUUUUGUUUCGAGUUUAGUCUGUUCAGUUUUGAGCCAUGCCCUUACGUUUCAAGUUAAGCCUAUCCGGCUUCAAGUCGCGUCUUUACAUUUUGAGUUAAGACUAUUCGACUUCAAGCUAUGUCUUUACAUCUUUAGUUGAGUUUGUUCAACUUCAAGCUACGCCUUUACGUUUUGAGUUAAGUCUAUUCGGUUUCAAGUUGUGUCUUUAUGUUUUGAGUUGAGUCUGUUUGGCUUUAAGUCACACUUUUACGUUUUGAGUUGAGUCUCUUCAACUUUGAACUACACCUUUAUAUAUCCAGUUGAGUCUGUUCGAAUUUGAGUCACACCUUUGAGUUUUGAGUUUAGUCUGUUCGGCUUUGAGCCACACUUUUACAUCUCUUGUUGAGUCAUAUUUAGCUUCAUUCUACGCCUUUACAUUUCCAAUUGAGUUUAUUUAGCUUUGAGUUGUGCCUAUGUUUUAAAGUUUGUUCAAUUUCGAGCCACAUCUUUAGCCUUAUUAAGUUUGUUCAAGUUUAGUUGUGCCCUCACCCAUAUCCUUAGUUUUAAGUUUAUUCAGCUUCAAGCCAUGCGUUUGUCCUUGUUAAGUAAGUUCGGCUUCGAGCCACGUCUUAGUUUUGAAGUUGUUUAUCCUUGAGCCACACCUUCCUUUCUUUUUUAGUUCACUUAGGGUUUUCUCCUUCCUCGAGUUUAUUAGUGCAUUCGAGUUCAUUUUUCUUUAAGUUGAUCACUCUUUAUCUUUGUUGUCCUUGAAUUGUUCAUUGUGUCACAAUUCAGUGUUUUUCAUUGCAUAUAUACUCCCCACAUUGUCUAUAUUUUAUCCUGAUGAGUUUCUUUCCCAAUACGUGACCUCGAUCUUUGAGUUUAGCAUGCCAUGUGCUAAGACAAUUUCGAGUGCUCUUUUGUUCUUCAAUGCAAUUCACUUCAUACCAUUCAUCACUCAUGUUUCACUGUUUGUGUUCAUUUCAUUCGUGAUCUACAUCGGAGAGAGACAUAUUUGUUGGCCCUUUACUUUGUCCUAUAAUACAUAUUUUCACAUUUUUUUAUUUUCCUCUUGCCCCAUACUCAUUUUUGGUGCUCGUUUUGGAUCCUUCUUGUUUGAUCAUUCAUGGUCCCUUAUUGGUCCACGUUUACUUGACUCAUUAUUCAUUUUUUAGUCGCAUUUUAGAGGCCAUGUAGGAGGAAUUUUGAGUACAUGCAAGCUUAUUUUUUAGAGACCCUUAGUAGUUGGCUCAUAUGAGGACACGCCUCCUCACACUACUACAAAAAUCAUUUAUGGUGUCACUAUUUAUAGUGACACUUUUAAAAUAAUGACACCAUAUAGCUUAAAAUCCACAAAGGUGACACAUCAUAUAAAAAUUUUCAAUUAGGAUCAAUGAUAUUAAUUUUAGGUUUAUAAUGUCAGUUGCCAAAAAAUGACACCAUAUAAAAUAUUUUUUUUCUAAAUAUUAUAACUCAAUUGGCCCACUUUGAGAAUAAUGAUAGUAUAUAAAAAAAUCAUUGUUUCCACAUACCCACAAUCCAAAAAAAUUUCAUUCCAUAACCCUAACCAAAAUUUUUUUCUACCUCUUCUCACACCCAUAGUUAACACACAACUGUUCUUCUCUGCUUUGUGGACUCUCAGGUAACCCAAAAUCUCUUAGAUCUAUCAUUUUCAUUUAUUUUUUUAUUAAUGUCAAAAUCUUUAUGAACACAAUUGAUUUAUGUUUAUUGAUUUAAUAUAUUUGUAAUAUGGAUUGUGUAAAUAGUGUUUUUUUAUUGAGUUGUAGGAAAGUAAAAACUAGGUUUAACAUUCCACCAUAUCUUCUGGUUCAUUGUUAAACCCAUAAACCCCAAAAUGAAUGAAAAUAAGAAAAAUGAAUUAUUUUUAAAUAUCUUUUAUACUCAAGAUAAUAUAUAAACAUUUUACAAUACAAAAUUUUUUUUUGAUCUUGUAGGAAAUUUCCUUUGAUAGGAUUUUCUGUUUGUUUUCAAGGAAUAUUGUAGUAUAUUGUGAUGAAGAUAUUGAUUGGUGUUAUUUGAAAAAUAAUUUUUUAGAAAAUUAUUCUCAAUAUUAUCAUCUCCCACAAAAUGAAAAAUGAAAUAGUUUUCAUAUCAUAUUGGAGUCGGUUUGGAAUGUUGGAAUUAACAAUGAGAAAUUAAUUUUAUUUUUUAUUUAUUAAUGUAAAUGAAUUGUUUUUUUUUUAAAUUUAAAUAGGAAUGAAAAUUUUUAUAAUUAUAAAAAUGAUCAAAUAUUAUAUUUUGAUUUUUUUUUCUAUUCUUUUACAUGGUAUUAUGGUUAAUAUCUCAUCUUGUUCUAUAUAUAUUUUUUAUAUUCUUAAAAUAUGUUUUUUGCUUUUUGUUUUUACUUUCUUUUCUUAUUGUUUUUAUAUGUGUUGACCAAAAUUUAGAGUAAUUUGAGAUUGGCGAUAAAAUUUUCCUUUCAAGGUUAGAAAAUUUCUAUAAAAUCAUUUUAUUACAUAAUUUUUUCAAUUCCUUCCAUAAAACUCUUCCUUUUUCCUUUUUUAAGAAGAUGUUUGAUAAUUUUCUUUUGAUUUCUAUGAAAUUUCCUUUUAUUGGACUGUUUGUUUAUUUUCUAAGAAUAUUAUAGUAUGUUAUGAUGAGGAUAUUGGUUGGUGAUAUUUGAAAAUUAAUUUUUGAGAAAAUUAUUCUCAAUAUUGUCAUCUGCCACAAAAGGAUUUUAAAAGUAUGUUUUAUUUUUGCCUUCUUUUCUUAUUGUUUUUAUAUGCAUUGACCAAACUUUGGAGUAAUUUGAGAUUGAUGAUGAAAUUUUCCUUUCAAGGCUAGGAAAUUUCUAUAAAAUCCUUUUAUUACAAUUUUUUUUUUUUUCCUAUUCCUUCCAUAAAACUCUUCCUUUUCUUCAUUUUUCUUUUUUGAUGUUUGAUAAUUUAUUGAUCUAAAGAAUAUUAAAAGUAAAAAAUUUAAAAUAUUGAAUAUUUUUUCCUUUGAUGUUGUUAUUUUAUUAUUAUUUUUAUUUGAACAUAUUUUUCAUAUCCAAAUUUUCUAUUAAUUAUUUUACUUUUAAAAAAAAUAUCAAUUGAAGUUAUGACUGAAAAAUCAAUAAUUUUUAUGAAAGGUUCUUUAAUUCUUUCUCAUACUAAUUUUUCUCUUAACAUUUCUUAAUAGUGAAUUAGGUUUUUUUGUUUUAUAUACACAAUUUUCAUGCUUGUUAUAAUAUCAUGUCCUAUCAUAUUAGUAGUUGAAAACAUUUUUAUAUUUUGUUACUAAAAUUUUAUUUUAUAUAAUUUACAUGAAUUUUAAUGGACAUUGUUAUUUCACAAAAUGAACAUUAAAAAAAAUAUUGAAAUUAAGAAAAUCCUUCCAAGAAAUAAAAAAAUAUAAAAAGAAUUGGAUGUUAAAAAUGAUUUUUAAAAGCAUUAUGAAUUAUAAAAAAUAAAUUUAAAAGAUUAGUAUUUUCUAAAAUUUUAGAUUUAUAUUUUGAUUUUGUAGUUUUGAUUUAUUUCAUAUUUUCUUGAAUUGUUUUUAUUUGAGUUCAAAUGUGACUACUUUGUUAUGAGAUUCAUUAAAAGGAUAAUUGUUGAUUCUACAGUUAUUGCAUUAAAGGUUUUACUCAUUUAAUGAAUUGUACAUAGUUUCAUACUUCUAAUUAUUGUGAUAUUAAUGUUAUUUUCAUUUGAUUUUAGUUUGAUGACAAAAAACAUAUUCUCAAGUAGACUUUGAUGAAAUAAGAGGAGAAUGGAUUGCUUUUGUGUUAUAACUAAUCAUGAAUCAUGUUGAUGUAUCGUGAUCAUGCAUGGUGAGUCCCUUAGUUGUUAUAUAAAUUUUCCAUUGGUAUUGUAUAACAUUACUUAUUCUUUAUGAACUAUUUUUAUAUCAAAAUAGGAAAAAGAAAAAAGGAAACAUUAGUACUUAGAUUUGUUUAUUUUUUUAUAACAUCACUAUGGACCCCGCAUUUUCGGCUCGAUGCGUUUCCCACUCGAUGGCGAGCUCGAUUUUUAAUUUUGAAAAAUGAUUUUUAUUCAUUAAAAAUGACUUGGAGUCGCCACUUAUUUUUGUUUUAUUUUUAAAGGGUAAACAAAAUAAGAAAAAAAAACCCUAAGUGUGACUCCUUAUUUUAGAAAAGGCGAUCUACGAAAAAACCGGAUUGGGCUCGGGGGUUAGGUUACUUAUCGGGAAGGUACGGUAAAGACCGUAGCACCCCUCUAAGUCCCUAAAAUCGGGUCUUUACUAAUAGAAUGAAGCUGACGUGGCAGUCAACAAGAAAAUCGAUGAAUAGUCAAAUCAAUCAUGCACAAUAUGAGAAGCAAAACAUGUAUAAAGAAUGAGCGAAAUAUGAAUAGAUGCGUACCUGGACGGCAAUCACGAACGCGCUAUCAUGAAACAUGGUUAGUGAACAAUGAACAGAUAUAAUUAAGCGCAUAUCAAGGAAUAGAGUAAAUCAAUCAUGCAUAGCAAAUAAAUAAAUCAAUUAGUUAAUCGAUUAUAAAUCACAUAUGUGGGGCCCCACCAAAGUCCAUUUAUUUUGCAUGAUUUAAUUCCAAUAACUCCAUUACUUGGAAUUACGGAAAUGAAUUCUUGCUUAUUUUAAAACGUUUUAAAACGAAGGAGAUGUGGAAAUUAUUUGCUAGAAGGAAAGAUGACAACAAAAUUUUAUUGGAAAUGAGAUUUUUGAGUGAUCCUAAAAAUUCUAAAGAUGAAAAUUUGAAAAAUAAAUAAAUAAAUAAGAAUAAAAUAAAAUUAUUUGAAAAUCUAGAAAUUGGAAACUAUUUGAAAACGGGAAAUUUGGAAAUUAAUUUAAAAUUGAAGAUAAAGAAAUAAAUAGAUAAAUAAAAAAAUAAAUAAAGGACACGUGACUCAAAAUGUGGUCAUGCAUAGUUGCUUGUAAAUUGGACAGCCAGUUGCUUCUCAUACUCUCAGCGUCAAGAUGUUCCUUGAUGUAGUUGCCCCAUGUGUCAUCCUUAGCCGUGAUAAUGCAUGUGUUUUCAUCCCAAUUAAAGUCACUUUGAUCAAGAAGUGCCUUGAUAGUGACAUAUUGCAUCCUCAAGACAUCAUACCGAUUCCUCAGUUGGUCCUUAUCCAUGGAUUCCCGCGAAAUAAAUCUGUUACCAGAACAUUGUAACCAUUGCAUGCAACGCGAUAUGCGGAGUCCCUUGUGGAUGAAUUUUCGAAGCCAAAGGCAUCAAACAAGAGCAGUAUCCCUGCCAACUGCGUGUUCAUCCAGCCGCUCAAUCACGCCACUAACAUGGGCACAGCGGAAAGCAUCAACACAACCUUAAUUCCUCUCUUGUAGCUGUUUAGCAGAUCCAAGUCUGUACAAGACUUGAUCUAUGGCAACGUCAUGAGGAUAUAGCCGCGGGGUAGCAUAUGAAUCCAAUCAAUGGGAAAUGGGCAUUAGGAAUGGUGGUCAGGCUUUGCAUGAUUUCAUACACGUGAAUGAGUGAUGCUGGGACCUUCAUGGAGGCUUUGAGUGGAUCUUUGGGCGGCGGUGUAGAAAGAGAAAGGUAGCAGGAAGAAAAGAAUGGGUGUGGGCUUGGUGGUAUGAAACGUGUGGUGUUAAAGAGGAAUGUGGCGUACAUGAGGAAAGACAUGGUGAGUGGAAUGAGCUAUGGGCAUGAGAGAAAUAGAGAAAAUGGGUAUGAAGGUUAAUGAGAGAGAACGGGCGUGUGAGGGUGGUAAAGGAAAAUGGAUGAUGGAUGCACAUAGGUGGAAAUGGGAAUGGAUUUGAUAAAGCAUGAAGGUAGGAAUGGGAUUCGGGUGAUAUUAGAUUACCAUGCAUGGAGAAUGUAUACGUGGAGGUCUAUUAUGCAAAGGAACUAAAAACGGGUCAAGUGAAGGGCUGUUUAGGGAAUAUGGCAUCAGUUUCAGGUUGAGGGGAUGGGGCCCUUGGGCCAUUUGGCUACCCACAAGUAUGAUCUACAAAAUAGGGUCCUUAUGUCAGGGUCAACUUUCGGAUUUUUGCAAAGCUGAUGCUACCAAUUUAAACUCUGAUCAAUCAGUGUCCGCGAUCUUGAGUCCUUCAAGCUGAUGCAACGCGUCUUUAGGAAGGUAGAGCCUCCAAUGAAUACUUUAGAUUUCGAUUUUUGAACAAUCAUGGCAGAACCCUUCAUCGAUUGGCAUUAUCAUUACCCUGGGAUUGCAGCAAGAUGCAUGGAAGGCUUCUUCACUAUUAUCACAAAUGAGCAUAUACAAUAUAUUUUCUGAAUGACCACACGAUUUACAUGGUUGGGAUGAGUUGCUAUUCCCACUAACUCCCAGAACUUCAAGAAGCUCCUGACUCCUCAGUAUAGAAAUGCGUGUAAUCAUUACCCUCUUGUUUGGCAUGACCUGUGCAUACCCAAGAAUGACACCUACUAACCAACCAAUUGAUCCUUAUUGCAUUUAGAACUCAUCUGCAUCCCCUAGUCAAUUUCAGUUUCUGACAGUUAAACCAAAAAUCCCCAGUCUCAGCAAUGACAGUAGUCUCACUUGACAACAUUUUCUGUAUAUGCUGGAACAGAACAUAAACCCUCAAAGGCUCCUCGGGAUCAGACGUAGGAGACUGUCCCUCAGGAACGUAAACUCUAUGGUAGAACUCAUAGGCAGUGAUAUUGCAUUCGAGCCUCUUGGAGAAUGACUUGAAGAAAUCUUUCAUCAAAAUGCACCCAAGCUCAAGCCCAUAAGCACACCAAACACCAUUAUUGGGUUCGUUACAUCACCAUGCUACGGAGUUUAUACAACAGGAAGCUCUAACUGAUGAUGGUUCUGGUAGUGAUUUGCCAAUGGGAACUUGGCCAUCAAGUGAACCCGAUAUCAGAAGCUGAAGUUAUUACCUUGUACUCUUCUAUUCCCCCAUUAUCAGCAAUUCCAAUGGAAACAGUAGGAGAGCCUCAAGACUGUGUAUCCAUUCAAUAACUCUGUUUCUCAGUCAGGAUGCAAAAAACUCCCCAAUGAUUCUACAGCUGCAACCACAGGAGCCCCACUACUACCAGUUCCUUCACCCAUUCUGACAGCAACCAAAACCAGACCAAUGACUUGAACUUUAGACUUCCCCAAUCCAUUAAAUCCAGAAACCACUUGGAGUUAGAAACAUUUUCUACCUCAUCCUAGAACUUUCAGGUAUUUUACAAAGUAAUGGUCGGUAUUUUUCAAAAGCAAAAAGAAAAAAAGGUAAGACUCAAGAAACAGAGCAAACUCAGAAUUCGUUAAUCAAGACUCCAUCUCAUGCUGCACUCAAUGGAUCUAAACAGGUGAGACAAGCAGGGAGCAGUGGCAUGAUUAAUCAAUCUCAAAAAUAAUCCAUAUAUCGGUUAUUGACAGGAAAAAACAAAGAAAGCAGAAAAGAACCCAAACAGAGCAAAUACAAAAACAAACUCAAAUUCAGCAAAUCAAUCCACAAUCAAGAAAAACUAACAAUGCUCAAGUAGCCUGAGAAAAAUGAUGAAGAACAGUGAUAAUGAAAAAUACCCUAAAAAAAAGAACACGAUACUUCAUACCUGUGAAACUCCUCUCCGAUGAAGCUCACCUACCAAACCAAUCUGCUCCCAUCCUUGGCACUAGAACCCCUCUCCGUAGCAGCCUAAGCUCAAGGAAAUCCCUCUCCAGACCGAUCUCUUCUUUCUUCUCAAGUUCUUUUCUCCUCCUCUCAAAAUAUCUCUCCCUGAAAAACGGCAGCCAAAACCUCCCUCUGCAGCUGGCCUGCCCCCGUAACAGAAUACCCCCCUCUAGCUUUCUCACUACCCUCAAAAGCACCCUCUCUCUCCUGCAGCUGCAAGCCUCCACUACCCCCAUGCAGCUGGCAGCCUCUACUCCUCUAACGGCCAGCAGAUUCUCCUUCUAGAAAAUUCUUUCCCUUUUCCAGGUGUCUUUCCCUGAUUGGCCCAUCAAUUCCACUAUAGUGAUUCUACAGUGACCAAUCCUAAGAAGGCACGUGGCCUUAUGAGAUUGCGACACUUGGCAAACACAGGCUGCCAAAAAGUGAGCCCCCAAAUGGGGGUCUACAAUCACAUUUUUAUUUUCAAUAAGAACUCUAAAACUCAUUAAACUAUAAAAUGCAGAUAUACACUCUUGAGAGGACAAUAUGAAGAAUAAAAAGAAAUAAGAAAGAAGCAACAAGAUUUGGAUUUUUAGAUGUGACUCUUAUGUCAUACAUUAUACGACAUAAAUGUUAUUUUAUUUGGAAUUGAGAAUUGUGGGUUUUUUUAUGCAACUCUUGUGUCAUUUGGUUAGCCGGUUUUAUGCAUAUGAAACGUAAGUAUACAUGAAUGUUGGGAUGCUUAACAUUUCUAAAUCAUGUUUUAAUGUGUAUUCACUUUUCUUUUUUAGUUUUGGUGGGUUUGAUAUACUAUGUUUUGUGAACAUUUGAUAUACAAAUAUUAGUGGAUGAUGUAAUGUAUUAUAGGUUAAUCCAUAAGCAUAAAGAAAAUAUAAGUUAAAUGUAAUAUGAUUAUUAUAUUUAUGGACAAAAUUUACACACGUUGAUCUUAUUUAUUAAUAAGCAUUACAAAAAUCUAUAGGCUAGUCAACAAAAAACAACCAUAUCUUCUAUAAUCAUUUACAAUGAAGUGACACCAUAAUUCAAAGGUGAUGCAUUUAACGUGACAUCAUAACUCAAAGGUGAUGCAUUUAAUAUGACACCUUAUAUAUCUCACAUAACUCUAUAUCAAAUUAAGCAUCACUAAAAAUAUAUGGUGUCGCUUCUAAAUGCGUCACAAUUUAUCUGUUUUGGUGUCGCUUCCAAAUACGUCACCAAUUGGUACCCUCUAUGGUAUUGGUGGAUAAGGUGACGCUAUGUUGUAGCGACACCCUAUGUUUAGGGUGACUCGUUAUAAAUGUCACCAUAUAUGUUUUUCCUUGUAGUGUCAUUGGGAAGGUUUUUUCCAUUUUUUAGAGGGGUUUUCUAAAGGCUUCUAGGGUGAGGACACUGUUCUCAUAUUGGCUUUUUUUCCCCCUUUUUAGAGGGGUCUUCUAAAGGCUUCUAAGGUCAACUAGGAGAGCAUGUUGAUUGAUGCUUUGAUAUGGAUACCAGAUGCCACAUUUCAUCUUGUUGAACACUGGUUAGCUAUGGACUUGUUACUGCUUUACUCUUCUGUUUCGAGUUAACUUUGGAAAUGAAUCUGAAUAUAGACUAGUAUUUGCAUCUUGAUGUUUAGAGAAUCAUAUUUUAGUUGUUGUUUAAAAUUCAUUUUGGCAUGUUCGAUUGCUUCAAGCUCAUUUAUACAAUAAUGAAAUGGAGAUUUAUAUAUUUGUUAUUGGGUUGGCUCUCUGUUUGGUUAUCUUUAAGUUCUGCAUCUUUUCUUUUCUCGUUGCCUUAUCUUCUCUGGGGGGUGUCGUUUGAGAAAUACAUAGUGGAAAAAAUGGGAAGCUGAAGGCUUAUCCUGGCAUCGACCUCGCGUUAGGGAACGACUUGAUCGAAGAACAUAUGAAUUUUUCAAAUACCCAGAACUCACAUCAAAAGAAGCAUCGGAGUCAAGGUCAAACACAUCAUCUGACAAGGAAUAUACCUUUGCCUUUGGUGACUUUAUUGACUUCUGCAUGAUGGACAUCCGAGGGUGGGGACUGGAAGAGAAAUGAUGAAUUUGCCCAAGAUAGUUUGUCUAGAAAGGAACUUGUAUUAAAUGAUGAUUACCCACUAUGUCAGAUGUUGAAAUUUGGGUAUGACAACUCCUGGUGGCAUCAGAAAGAUGAGUUGCACAAUCCUUCUCACAGUUGAAAGCUUGACCUCCGAAGUUGGGCUUUUUCAUGGCCAGACAAGAACAGUGAUCACAAUAGUAUGAGCCAAGCCUGUCACGACCCAAAUUCUAGGUGAACUUAACCAUGACUCCAAAUCAAAGGUUUAAACUUAAAGGUUACAUCUAUUCAAUCUAGUAGUCAAUCCUGAUAACUUGAUUUUUUUUUCUUGAUAAAACAAUAUCUAAUCCCAAAUCAAUUUAUUAAGCUAAUAACUUGAUUUUUUUUCUCAAUAAAACAACAUCUAGUCCCAAAUUAAUUUAUUAAGCUAAGAUUUACUAUAUCAUAUUAUUUGAUUUUAUUUUUCAAAAAUCAACCAUUACACUAUCACUUAUUUGCAAGUAUAAUAAAUCUGUCAAACAUCUUAUCACCCAAAAUGAUAACCCAAAUAUUUACAAAAAAAAGUUUUACAAAUUAAUAAAAUAUAGUCUAAGUUAUAAAAGUUCUUAUAAAUUAAAUUAGUAUGUGCUAAAAUAUAAGAUAACUGAAAAAAAAAAAAAAAAAAAAAAAACCAUUAUUAUUAUGGUUCCUUAAAAACUAUAUUUGCAUCUAAAAAUUUUAGAAAAUAAAGGGAUGGACAUUUCCACAUUACUUAGUAAGGUAUUUUACACCCACACAAAUUAGAAAUUCUAAGUCAAUAAAACACAAUCAUAUAUCAAAGUGUAAUUUUACAUCUAAUGUACUACAACUAUAUACAUUUAAACUAAUCAAAAUUAUCACUAACCAUAAUCAGACUCCAAAUAAUACAAAUAACAUUUAUUAUCUCCCAAAAACAUAAUGUGUAAUUUUGUUUCCAAAGAAAAAUAUAAAAUAAAAGUUUUAGGGUUAAACCACCCUACAUCAAAUUUGAAAAUCUAAUUGUUAAAACUAAAAUCAGACUCCGUAAAAAUGUUCUUUAUGUUAAAUAGAGUGUUUUGCUAAAAUCUCAUGCAAAACAGAAUUCAUUUGGCUUGUCGGAUGACAACCCAAAUAUUUGUUGCACCUUCCUUGUUUCUUCUCUUCCUUUGUGUUUCCGUUUGCACUCUUCUCUCUACGGAUCUGGUAAAUAGGGUAGCCCCUGGUACGCUUGGGGCUGGAUUGAAUCCUAUUCGAACUAUAUCUAACUUGAUCUUGUCCAAGCUAGGAAGGUUUUUGGUCUCGAUGACAUUGGAAGUUUCAUCAUUGCUAAAGAAAGGGGCGGCCAAAAAGGCUUAGCGACGACCCUCUCUCGACUUAAAGGAAACGACUUGUCCCAUCCAAUGCCCUACUUUUAAGUGCUCGGUAUGUUCACUUAAUCAAAUCUAGAAGAAGCUUGGCCUCUGUAGAGCAUGAAAAGGCUAGUUUUGAAGCUUUUAAUCGAGGACUUAUUUGCCCUAAAGCCUGACUUCUUAGGAAGAGAAAUGGGCUUGACUUCUUCAUCAACCUCGGAAUCGCAUUCUAUCACACUGGUGGUACUUCUUGUUGAAUUAAAAGAUUGGAUGAGUCUUUUUGUACCCACCCGCCACCCCUGUUUGAGAGUGAUUAAAUAUCAUAACUUCCUUAAUGGACCUACGGACUAGCUAAGGUUUACUUACAUAGUUGUUCUUUCUUUUCUCAAUUUCAAGUUAAAGUUAGCGUUUUUCAGCUUACUGUUUGCUUUGGUUGAGUAGCCGCCUUAUGACCCUUUGCUUUUGAAUGAAAUCAUCUAGAACCUCUCAGAUCGGAUUCCAAUCACCUUAGUGAGUCUCCUAGGUGCGAAGCCAUUCUUUAAGCCCAAAACAAAAGGAGAAGUGAAGUCACUAUCUAGACAAAGGGGCUUGCCUACUUAUAAGGUAGGAGUUCACACCGGGGAAUCGCUUUCUUAAUUAAUUAAAAGCGAGCCAAACUCACCACCUCAUGUACCAAAGUCAAACGGUUGUUCUUCCUUCCCCGCUCCCUUUUUCUCUACAUAUGUGAUGGCGGGCAGAGCGCUCUAUAUGACCGGUGGUGGGUUACCAGAGAAGAUGGGACAACUUCUUUCUCUCUUGCCUUGCUCAAUCUUCCUUUUCUGAUUGAAAGUAGCAAGCCACACCACUACUGGUACAGAGGUCGGAUAGAAGGUUGCUUUUUCUAUAUGUUCAGGCGAAGAACAUCUACGGCACAGUCUUCGCCAAGCAAGAUGAUGUAACUCCUCAAAACAUAAAAAGAGCUCUUAUAUAUGUAAAAACAUGAUAUAUGUGUAAAUGAAUUAUAGCCAUUUUCAAAUAGAUCAGGAUCGUCAGAUGUUUGAAAUGGAAAGUCAAUUUUUCUAUAUGCAUGUAGAUAUCUAUAGGGGAUUAUAUGAAGGGGAUGUUAUUAUUUUAGAUAUAAUCAAUUCCCUUCUCGGAGCCCACUAAGAUCCGGAUCUCCUACGGAAAUGAUUUAGAAGAUCCAAAACCAAAAAUAGUGGUAUUUGCUAGCAACAACAUAAUGGAGGCAGUCAAUCAAUAUAUAUUGAUCUAAAAUCUGAUUCAAAUCCAAUAUAGCACCUAUGGGUACAUAAAAGAAAGGCAAGAGAGAAAAGAAGUCCAUACUUUUCAACAAAGCUUUAAGUGAGUAGGGGUGUAGCAGAUUCAUGCACGUCGAAUAUAAAUGCAGUUGGAUGAGUAGUCGCGGAUUCACAAUGCCGGUUAAAAAGCCAAUCUUAGGGUUGCAUUCACUCCCCUUCUAUAUCUUGCAUCUAUAGUAUUUUUGUCCUGGUGGAUCUCUUUAUCAUUUAAUAAAAGUUUGGAAUCUUGGGUUACUAAUUGGUGGAAUACUAGGCAAUCUAAAACUUUUUUGAAUGAUAUUCAAGAAAACAAUCAAUUUCCCAUCAUUUGCACUAUGAAUGGAAAUGAAAUUCUAGAUCUAGAAUCAGAUGAAUGUGCAACAGUCAAUUUCCUCCCUCACAACCUAAUUGUCCACUAAAAACAACCUUUUUUACUAUACGCUAUUUGGCCGCUAGAAGAACUUCAGUUCUUAUAGGUAAAUGCUCAAUACCCAAGUAGGCCUACAAAGUUGAUCAUGAUCAAGUGCUUUUUGGGUCGUCUUAGACCUUGCAAUAUCUCUCCGGCCCUCUAGCACUCUGUUAUGGCUCAAUCACUUACUCUAGUUCUGGAGUUCUAGGUCCUCUAGCUAUUAGUGCAGGUAGCUCUCCUUCUGGUAAUGCAUUAUAGGUUGUCUUCCUUCCACCUUCCUGUUUUCAAGAAAGCUUAUUUUCUUUCUAAGAAAAAUCAUACAAUCUCGUAUGAGAACGGGAUUGAUGGGAGGCAUAUGCUCCCAGGCUACACAAUGUCUUACAGGGCUUACCCAGUUAGAAGGUAUGUAACUAAAGUCUCAAGAGAAUUGAAAUCGACGAGAAAUCAGAAUCAAUGUUAGAGAUUAGACUUGGCAUGGAAAAAGGAGUAUAGUAAGAUGAUAGAGACCUCGCACGAGAUGCUUACUCGGAUUCAUGCCCAUAAAGAGUAGAAGAUUCAACACAAGUGCAAGAAUAGGUUUCACAGUUAAGAAAGGUUGAGAUUCAGGUGAGUGAGUGAGUCCUCACUGACUUGAGCGAUUUCGAUCACCUAGCAGUUUAUUUGGUAGGUAACAUCGCUAAAGCAUAUCAUCUGAUCUACAAAUGAAGGAAAUCAAAGUGAGACGACACCGUCCUCUGUAACGCAACGAUAGUUGGCCCUUUAUCAUCAACUAUUUGGUAGACUUGGUAAAAGAUGUAAGGCUUUAGCUAGUACACGAAAGUGCAUACCAUGAUUCUUCUGUCUAUCAAUAACUGCAUGCAUUGCACGAUGGAUGUGAAGAAGUAGGCCAUUAUCUCGACAAUAAUGAGCCAAGCUAGUAUUUGCAGUGAAUCCCCCUGUUAAGUAGUCACAUUAAUGGAACAAGAACACAUUAGCGUAUGAAACAGAGCUGAAAGCGCGAGUGCACAAUCUCAAAAACGGCAAAUUCACGUUCUACUUCCUCAAUCUCGAACUCUGUCUAUUGGGAUGAGCUCCCCUUACCUGCGCUAUUCUAUGAACGAACUUCCUUUAUAAACCAUAAAACUGGAACAAUCACUGUUCCAGGGUCUGUCUCAGAGUUCUAUCUCGUGCUUGACAUCAAUUGCAUCCAAACCUUUAAUCGGGUAUACUUUCCACAAUAACAAGCGAGUCAUAGUUAGGUAAAAGUUAUACAGAAAGAUGACAUCGUUGGCGAACUUGAAGCUAGUUAGGUAAAUCCCCUUAUAUUCUUCUUUCUUCUCCCAUAAGACAUUCCUUAUUAUUAUUAUUAUUAUUAUUUUCAUUUUCUCAAUUUCUUUAUCUUUUCAACUUUAAGACACCAUUUUGCACUUCUUCUUUUUUAUUAUAAUUAUUAUUCUUUAUCAACCAUACCAUGUUAAGAAAUUUAUUUAUUUUAAUCCAAAAAUCUACUUAAAUACAAUUUCAUACUUUUCUUAAUAAAUUAUAUAUAUAUAUAUAUAUAUAUAUAUAUAUAUAUAUAUAUAUAUAUAUAUAUAUAUAUAUAUAUAUUAUUUCUUAUUAUAACAAAUUUAAAAUGUCACAUGUAUCAUUUUUUUAAUAAAUCAAAUUAUUAUUCUUUAUUUCAUAUUCUACAAUUAUAAAUUAUACUCAAUAUAUGAUUUAUUGUCUUACGAAAAAUAUACUGCUAUAUUCUUAAUUAAAUUUAUUACAAGUCUACUUUUCAAAAAAAAAUUAAUUUGACUUUAAUUACUUGAAACAUUUUUAUUAUGAAAUUCAUUUAGAACAUGAUUUCAUUAAUUAUAUAUUUAAAAAAAAUCAAUUUUAGAAAAAAAUCUGAAACAUAAAAUAAUUCUUCAACAUCAAGAAGCUGAAAUUCAUAAUAAUAUUUAAUCCUUUAAUUUUACCAAUAUUUAUUUACCAAUAAAAUUUAAGCAAUAUUCUGAAAUUUAAUUCCAUUAGUUAUUUAGUCAUUCAAUUUAUAAAAUCAUAUUCUCAACCUUUGGUAUAACUUUUAUUUAAUUUACUUCAUUUGUCAAAUUUCUCAAUUGAAUCAAAAUUUCAAAAGUUAAAUUCACUAAAUUCAUAUUUAAUUAAUUUAGCCUUUUAUAUUCCCUAAAUUAAUAUAUCAUAAUUUACUCUUAAUGUAAUUUCAAUUCAAUUUUAUUUGAUGUUUUGUAAUUCUAUAAGGUUUAAUUCUAAUUAUAAAAAUUAUUGAUUUCUUAUAAAAUUAAAUUCAAUUUCUUUUUAAUUAUCCAUUAUAACAAUUUGAUAUAAUCUAAAUUUUUAUCAAGUUUUUCUUACUACAAUUCUCUAUAAUUAAAUUAAUGGUCAUAAUAUACUUAAUAUUCAAUUUUAGAGACUAUAAUAUCAAUAAUUAUUUGAUGGUUGAAUUUUUUUCCAAAUUUAAAUUUAAUUUUUGAAAUUCCUACUCUUUGCAUAUGACGUGAUGGAAUUUUUAUACUAUUGACUUUUUAUUAACUUUUUCAAAAAAUUUCUUAAUUAAAUAUUAACACGGGGAUUUUCGUCAUUCUUUUUUAACAUUUGACUAAUGAUUUUAUGAUAACUUUAAUCUGACAUGUCAUUAAAAAUCCGGUUGUUAUAGAGCCAGUCAAAUUAAGCCUGUUAUCCGAGGAGUGAAGCCACUGCCUUGUUCUAUCUCCGAUGGCCUGCUCAGCUCCUUCAACCCCCAUCGCUCUCCUCUUUCCAAGUUCUCCAUUUUCAGUUUAGAGCCAACAAGGAUCGCAGAAAUCCUUAAAGAUUGACCUACAUGGUAUCGUGAGUACCGCGAUGUGGAUGUUCUUAAUGUGUUGUCUACUAGAGCCAAAUGGGUGUUUGAUAAGACCCAGUGAAGGUGUAAAAAUUAUAUGACGAAGCUUGCAGAAAGACUUUGAGUUGAGGGAAGGCAUCUCAACGAAGUUGGGCUUUUGUAUUGUGAAUCUGGCAAAUUACCUAUACUGCAUGGAUCAUCACUCUUUUAACGUGGAGGUACACAGGUCCUUUGCAAUGUGACACUUGGGGCACCACAUCAAGCUGGUGAUGCUCAACGACUGGCUUCUCUGGACGGGUCCUCCAACAAAGCGCUUCAUGCUUCACUGAAAUUUCCCGGAGUUCUCAAUUAAUGAAGUUGGCCAACUCCUUAACCUGCACUGUUCCGCAGCAGUCACAUAAAGAUUUGACAUUGAAAUUGAUCAGGUUUUUCCUCUGCCAAUGGUGGUGGGCGCGCUUUGUAUGUAGAUUCCGAAGGAACUUCCAACUUGAUGGCUGUGAGUGGUAAGGUUGGAGAAGAUACUACUGGGUCUGCCCCAUUAGUUUUCCAUUGUUAAGGUAGUUUGGUGCACAGCUUCCUGGAUCAUCUACACCACGAGCACCUCCAGCCGCCUGUUUUGAUCAGUUUCUGGAUUUCCAUCUCCAAAUUGUGCAAGCAGUGACUGAUAUGGUGUCCAUACAAGCGGCUACUGAAAUGGUUCAAACCCCAAAUGCUGAAGGGAAAGGAGCUUUUGGAAAAUAUCAUGAAGAAGACUCACCCAUCUUACAUGAAAUUAUACACAACUCCAUGGACCAGAACCGGAACCCAGACUUAAAUUUGUCCAAGAGAAGAUCAGUGUAAUACAAGUCAACUGCAGUCAUUCCUGAAAGAAGUGAUGAGAAGAGUAAACCUGGAAAAGCAGUGAGUGAAACAAGUUUUGUGACAUUGAACAAUUUGCAGAUGGGUGUUCCCACAAGCUCCUCUCCCCUCUUCCUACGUGCAUGAAAUUCCUACGUGCAUGGCCACCUUCUUAGGUGUGCAAUUCUGCGCAUAAUUCUCAAGCGUACUAUCACCCUCUUCUUUUUUGAAAAAUUGAUUUUAAAUUUAAAAUUUUGACAAAUUCAUUUCCCUUUUAAAAUCCCUCAGUAAUUCUCUUCAAAUUAAUAAAAUCUAUUUUCAAAAAAAAUUUGCUGCCAUUUUCCUUUUGGCAUAGACCUUUUUCUAUUUUCUUUGAUUUUUAAUCAUUUUCCAAUUUUUUAAUAAAUAUGAAUAAAUUCUAUGUUUUUAAAAAUAAUGGAAUUUUGUCCAAAUUUCUAUUAUCUUUUUCUCCAUGAUCAUUAGAAAGAUGAAAUUCCUAAAAUUAAUUCAUGCAAAUAAAUUGGACAUUGGUAGGCCCAACAUAUGAAUUUUUCUCCUUUGAUUAUUGUUUUUAAUUGCUACACUUGAUUGACUAAUGAUUGAUCUCUGUCUUGCUCUAGCAUACAUGAGAUUAUUUUGUGCUUGUUAUUGUACACUAACCAUGUUUCUCACGAAGCGCUCAACUUAUUCUCAAGUACGUUCUUUCCUUUUCCUAUUCGUUUAGUUAUAACCAAUGUUUUCAAAAUCGGACCGAUCAUUGAAUUGGAAAAGUUACUGGUUCACGGUUCACUGGUCGAAUCGGCGGUCAAAUCACGGUCAAACUAGUGAUGUCAUAAAUAUAUAAUUUAUAAAUUAUUAAAAUUUAAAAUAAUUAUAAAAAUAAAAAUAAUAAUUUAUAUAUUAUUUAAAAAUUAAAAUUUUAUUUAAAAAUUAGAAAAUUAGUUUCAAAUUAGAAAUUAAAAUUAAAAUCAUAAUUUUAAUUUUAAUUUUCAAAUUUUCAAAUUCAUUUUUAAAUAAAAAAAAACUUAUUUUAAAAUCAUGAAUUUAUUUAAAAUUAUAAUAUUUUCAUUAAUUUAAAUUAAAAUCAUAAGUUUUAAACAUCAUGAAAUAAAAAAUAAUAAAUAUAAAAGAAAAUAAAUUAUACUGAAAUGAGGUAAAAAAUAAUUUAAAAAAAUGGAAAAAGAGAGGAGAGGAACAAGCAAAAAAGGGUUCCAACAGGGUUUUGGGGGGUGGGGUUUCCAUUUCUAGCGCCAGGUGGGGGCCCUUCCGGUGGGCCAAAAGGGGAAAAGCUUUUUGGCUUUUCCAGUGCAAGGGGUGCCGAUGGGGUGGGGGGUUCCAAUGGGCAAGAAGAGCUCUUCCAGCGCACGCGGGUAGGAGUGGCGACAAUGGGGAAAAAAAAAAAGUUGAACCGGAUGGUUCCAUCCGAACCGUCCGGUUAGUCGGCCGAACCACCGAUUUAACUAGUCCGACCACUUUCCAGCCCAAUUGACCAAACCAGAUUGAAACCGUGACCAGCCGAUCCAAUCCAAUUUUUAAAGCCAUAAUUAUAGCUCAACCAUAACACAUCAUUGAUCAUUACUUGGUAUUUGUUGACUUUUUGAUCAAUUGUCAUUCUUAUAUUAACUUGAUUAUUAGAGACCUAAUUUUAGGGUAUAAAGGGGUAUUACGAUUUAUCAUCCUACCUUCUCAACAAGUAACCUGACCCUUGAACCCAGACUUGGUUUUUCAUAAACCCGUAUUUUCCUUUCAAGUUUCAUACUUAGAAUUUUUUUUUUUCCAUUUAAAAAUAAAAUAAAGAUACGUGGCCUAAAACCAUUUUCAUCAAUCCAAAGUGAGUCUUGUCUUUUUUUUUUUCAAGUAAGGACACGAUCACAGGUCUACAAUACUAUUUUAAUAUAUAUAAUGAAAUAUAGAUAUUAACGCCAUCUUAAAGAUAUAAUUAAAUUUUUUGUUUAAAAUAAAUUAUAAUAAUUUAAAAAUAAUAUUUUAUUUAAAAUAAAUUUUAGAAUAAGCAAAGUUGAUAUGUGGACAUAGAGAAUCGUGAACCAUUGUAAAUGUAUUGAUUAUAUCUCUUUCUUCCCAUUUCAUUUUUACUUUAGUUUUUAUUAUUCGUAUCUUUUUCUACUAAAAUUUGAAAAAGAAAUUCACAUUCACUUCUUCUUGGGUGUAUAUCAUAGGAUUCAAAAUGUUUUUAAAAAUUAUUAAAUUUGUUAAUUGUGACUAUAUGCUUAUUUAGGAUCCAUUGAUCUUAAUAACUUUCUUCCCGAUAUAGGAAGAAAAUGACUAUUCCAUUAAUGCAGCAUGCAUUGCUGCUUAUUUAUCAAGCAAAUUACAUUAUUAUUUUCACACCAAACCUCCAAAUUCUCCAUGCAUAUACGCAUCCUAUACUGCAUGGCCAACUUCAGAGAGCUAAAACAAGCUCUUAUUGAAUACAUGAUAGAUAAUGUCCCACUGACCCUUUUACUCUGAUACCCUGAAAUGAGAAAUUUGGAGGUUUUCCACAUCAAGCUUCUUGAAAUUACUGCGCCUUCUCGUAACAAAGAACUUUCCCCAGUUGUAUGCUCUAUACUUUGGCUUUUCCCCCUUCGUCAGCUCCUCCAAGGGCUUCACCCAAACAUGGUGCCCGGGACUCAAAACGAACGGAAUCGAGAACCUUUCCCUCUCUGAAUUCACCAUCACCCUGUGCUCCACACUUUCAUAAGUAUCGUUGCUCCAGACCUGGUUUAAUAUCAGUAGAAUUAACCAAAUGAGUGAAAAAUUCCUUGAGCCAAACACUACUGAUAAGCAUGUACUUGUAAUUCAAAGUUCUUGGGUGGUACCUGAACUAUAUCCCCAACAUUGAUGAUAUAAGCAUCUGGGGUGGGCUUAACUCGAACCCAUUCUCCAUCAGUUUUUCGCUUUACUUCCAACCCUCCAACAUCAUCCUGAGCAAGGAAAGUUAAGGCUCCGGAAUCCUUGUGGCGACCAAUGCCCAGAGCUAGGUGAGGAAUGGAGCAAGGUGGGUAGUGAUUGAGGCGGAUGAAGUUUGUUGAUUCUUCAAAGAGAAGAUUGAAUCUGUUCUCUGGCAAACCUAAGCUCAGAGAGAGGAGUCCCAACAGAUUGACAGCUAGUUUUUCCAUUUCUCUAGCAUAUUCUUCACAUACCUCCCUGUAUAAAUCAGCUCAAUUAGAACAAAAAAACUUAAGUAAUUCACUGUAGUGACUGUGCCUUAGCUGGUGGAAUUUGUACCUUAAUUCAGGAGGGUACUGAGGCCACUGAUUGAUCAGCUUUUCGAGCUCCUUGUCGUCAGGAUUAGGCGAAGCAGGGAUGAAGGCGGGGGAUGACGCCACGAUAUCAAAGACUUCCUUCCAGUCCCUAACGUUCUUGGUAUGCUCAGUAUCGAAAUACCCAAAAGGAUUCACCUCAUCUCUACUCACCUUCCUCUUCUCCUCCAAUGGCAGAGCGAAGAACUUCCUCGCCGCAUCCUCAAUUUUACGACGAGACUCGGAGGGCACCCCAUGGUUGAUGACUUGAAAGAAGCCCCAGUUCUUGCACGCAUCAGCUAUUUGAGAAACAUGGUUGGAAGCAUUGGCGGAAGAGAGAUCAAUGAGGGGGAUGCCUUCAGCUUCGAUAACAGCGAGCUUAGGCCUAUGUUGGGUGUCUUGGAUGAAAGCUGGAUCGACCUCUCCCAUGGCUGUGGUAGUGGUUAGAACUUAGAACUUAGAAAUGGCGGUUAUGCACUGCUGGUGUUAGCUGCACGUGAAGAUGGUGAGGGGGACUUGGCCACUUAGCAGGUGGUUUUUGUAGUGUAGUGGGGUUGGUUUAGUACAUUGAACCUGGACAUAAUUGGGGUUACGUUUUAAGUUUUGGUUGGGGGUGUGGGCUCAUGGGUUGCGCAAAUGUCAAUGAUAAUUGGUCAAGUGAUACCAAGUUAUUUCCAAAAUCUGCAGCCGCAAAGGGUAUCUCUCUCGAUGAUUUUGGCAACGUACAGCACUCUCCACAUUCAAAUGUUUGAUCAAAGAUACGUUUUGUUUAGUGUCGUGUAUAUUUUCGAAUUAAUUACUUCAUAUUUAGGGAUACGUUUUGUUGAGUAUCGUGUAUAUUUUCGAAUUAAAAACUUCAUAUUUAGGGAAAAGUGUGCUUCAAUACGCUAAUAUAAAAAUAUCAGCAAAAUAAGAUCCUAAUUUUUCAUAUUUUAAGGUUUAUAAUGCAAUUGGAAAUUAUUUGGAGAAUUAUGCAUUUUCAGCUCAUGUGUAUUUCAAAUCCAAAAUGCUCUCCACCUUGCCAGCCAAGUCUUACACGUUGAAAGUAAAGAGAGAAAAAAUCUUCAAAAAGCCACCAAAACCAAUUUCUCUUUCUUUUUGAGUUAUUUGAUUCAAAAGAUCAAUAAAAUCCAAUUUUUAAAAUUUAACCCUUUGUUCUUUUUUUUUUCAUUUUGAUAAAAAUAUCUUUACCAUUUUCUUGUAGAAAUAACAUUUUUUUUAAACCUAUAUGUAAAUACUUGAAAUGGUAAGAGACGUGUACAUUAAAAAAAAGUUAUUUUUCAAGUAAAAAUAUAGAAAGGAUUAUUUCAUCCCUUUUAACCAAAUAUUUAACAUGAUCAAGGACUAUUCCCUAAAUGAAGGCAUACGGUAGCAAAUACCCUUAAUCUAAACAUUAAAAGUACAACUUAUCUAGUAUCAAACACUCUGUUUUAAAACCCAUAGCCACUCCAAAUAUCCCAAAUAUUCUUUUCUAUGCAACCUCUCUCUCUCUCUUUCUCGCACAAACACACUAAAAUAUUUUCUCAAACUUGGAUUUUUCUCCACAACUCAACCCUAACUUCCUUUCUAUUUGUACCAAGGCUAGAGAAUAUAGUUUAUACUUGUAUUCCUUCAUGUACCAAGCCCACAAGAUGAUCAAUAAGUUUCUCUCUAGAUUUUACAUUGGAGUUGAUUGAUGAUAGUACCCUUAUUAGGUAGUAUAUUAUCUUCCUUAGGUACUGCUUUUUCCAUCCUUAGAUACUACCUUUGUAACCUUGGGUGCAUGAUUGAAUCCAUUGUUUCAUGGCUACUUCAAGUAAGUCAGGAACUUAUGUACAUGUGUGCUACAUGUCUUAUAGAUACUAAAUUUACAUUCUUUAGGUACUACCUUUACCUUCCAUGGGUACAAAUACGGUUAAUGAUAAGAAUUUUAAUAUAAAAAAGGGAAAAACCCUGCUUGAUAAUAAAAUUGCAUAUAUUUUCUUUCUUUCUUUCCUUUUUGAUUGAUUUUUUUUUUUUUUGGUCUUUGCUUUGGUUUUUAUUUAUGUCUUUGUUUCUUUUAGUCUUUGUGUGUGUGUGUUUUAUUUUAUCUUAUUUUCAUCUCUAUGCAGAAGAUGUAGAAGAAACAACAUCACAUCAUAAGGUGCAUUUUUCCGUUCAUUUAAGACUAAAGGUUUUGGAUUCACAAAAUGGUGGGAACUAAGGGUGAGAAGCUGGAAAAAUGUUGGAUUGAGCUACAUUUGAUCAAUGGUGAAUUUGCAAAAAAGAUUGUAGGAGAGUGUAGACCCUCAAUUUUGUCCCUUUAGCACAUGUUUUAAAGUCCAUUACCAAUACUUUACAGUAAUCUCUUGGUAGCCCAUAGCUACUCACGCUACUUACCUUUCUUGAGCCACCUCGGAGACUCUAGUUGAGGGAUUGCCUAACCCCUUAUUGUGACCCUUGGCAGUUUUGAUUUAGACUUAAGGUUUUCAUUCCUUCUUAGGAUAGCUCUUAGGUGCACUUUUAGGUCCACUUAGGCAUCACCCUUGGCUAAUUUAGACAUUUUGGGCCCGUUUAGACACCUUAAACUCGCCUAGAUUCACCUUAGACCCGCUUAAGCACUUCAUUGGGGCUCAACAUUUUUAUAUAAUCUCUUGAUCAUUAUUGCAUGCAUUUGAUGAUUAUAUUUUCUUUGUUUAUUCAUUUAUUUGUUUGUUUAUUUAUUCAUCCAUUUAUUUAUUCAUUUUUUAAUUUCUAUUACGUCUUGUUUUUUUUUUUCUUUCUUUCUUUCAUUUAUUUACCUACUUAAUAGAGAAUUGUUUAGAUAUUAAAUAUGCAUACAACCCCCUUAUUGAAUGAUGGAAUUGUACAAUCUGAUAUCUCAUUUUCUCUUUCAUUUUCUUUUAAUCGUAUUUCACUUUAUUACCAAUUUCAUGACUUUCAUUAGUUGCUUCUCUUUUCCUUUGAUUUUUUAAUCUUAUCUUAUUUUGUUUUGCAUAAGGAGCACCAUCUUGGGGAGUACAAGAGGAUCUACAUUACUGGUUUGAUCAACAUAUGUUUGAGACUAAAAGCCUUCAAGAUGGCAAAAGAUGGUCAUCACAGCCCCAUGCUUCUUCUUCCCAUCUCUCAUAAUUGAAGCCUCUGUACAAAACUUCAUCAUAUCCUGAACAAUAGCAGCCACAGCAGUUGCAGCCACAGCAGCUGCAGCCACAGCAACUGCAGCCACAACAGCUGCAGCCACAGCAGCUGCAGCGACAGCGGCAACCACAGUUAAUGCUGCAACAGCAGCCACAGCAGCAUAGACUGCAUCAUCCAGUUCAACCUUCAUUUGGUCAUUUAUCAGGGUUGCAGCCCCAACUAUUUAAUCCCCAUCUUUCCCCAGCUCCACUCAUCAUGAACAAAUAUGAAGCAAUGCUUGGGAUAGGUAAUCUGAGGGAUCAAAGACCCAAGUCAAUGCAAAAAGGUAGACCAAAUCAUCGGGUUUCUCAACAGGGCUUGGAUACUAGCAGUCGGAAGAGUGAUGUUGGUGGCCACAGUUCAGAUCCAAGUAUAUGACAGCUGAUGAAAUCGAAAGUAUCCUUAGAAUGCAACGUUGCGGAACAGAUGGAUGAGUAGAAAGGAAAAUAGCAUGAAAAUAGAAAGGAAGUGACCACUUUGUGCACAACACGCAUAUAGUGGGCUGUAAGGGGGAUUCUUUUUUGUUUAGAAAGAAAAGUCAACUUGUAUCACUUACUAAACGAGAUGUGGCUGCAUCCUUGAGGGAAUCUCCCAAUGAGCCACCAUGUAUGCACUUUCCUUAUCCAUGUGCAUUGAAAAAGGAUAUAGAAUAUUCAAUAGAGGAAAGGUGCUGCCAUAUAGAAGGAAGGUGCUGCCAUAUAAACAUGUCACAGAGAGAACACACGGUGGACUUUUCUUUUGGGAGCAGAAAUUCACAUACAAAAAGUAAUCUUUUUUAGAGGAGAUGAACACACGCAAGAGUUUUUUUUUGGGAGCGGUAGAGGACCUGAACGACUAAUUGGGCUGCCAUUUUGACACAUCAAGAAAGUAUUUUUCCAAUACAAUACAGGUUAGUUUUCGAUUUUUGAUACCGUAUUUCCUUUUUUUUUUAGUUUGGGUUUUAGUUGUUUGGUUUAAUUAAUUGUUUGUGAUAAAUUCUUUUAAAUCUCGAUUUCGAACAAUCUUUUAUUUUUCUUAUAUUAAAUGUCUAUCUUUUAUGAUUGCAAUUCAUUAGUUCUAUGCUAGUUUAUUUUUAAUUUACAUGAAAGUUUAAAUAAAGUUUAUAUUUUUAAUUCCAAUUAGUUUAUUUUUAAAUUUGAAUGAGUUAUCGAUCUUAAUUAUUUAGUUUAAUUGACCUUGUGAGAUAAAAUUUAUAUUUUUAAUUCUAAUUAGUUUAAUUUUAGUUUAUUUUUAAUUUGAAUGAGUUAUCGAUCUUAAUUCUUUAGUUUAAUCGACCUUGUGAGAUAAAAUUUAUAUUUUUAAUUCCAAUUAGUUUAAUUUUAGUUUAUUUUUAAUUUGAAUGAGUUAUCGAUUUUAAUUCUUUGGUUUAAUUGUCCUUGUGAGAUAAAAUUUAUAUUUUUAAUUCCAAUUAGUUUAAUUUUAGUUUAUUUUUAAUUUGAAUGAGUUAUUGAUCUUAAAUCUAUUAGUUUAAUUGGACUUGUAAGGUAAAGUUUAUAUUUUUAAUUCCGAUUAGUUUAAUUUUAGUUUAUUUUUAAUUUGAAUGAGUUAUUGAUCUUAAAUCUAUUAGUUUAAUUGGACUUGUAAGGUAAAAUUUAUAUUUUUAAUUCUAAUUAGUUUAAUUUUAGUUUAUUUUUAAUUCGAAUGAGUCAUUGAUCUUAAUCUAUUAGUUUAAUUGGUCUUGUAAGGUAAAGUUUAUAUUUUUAAUUCCGAUUAGUUUAAAUUCUAGUUUAUUUUUAAUUUGAAUGUGUUAUCGAUCUUAAUUCUUUAGUUUAAUCGAUCUUGUGAGGUAAAGUUUACAUUUUUAAUUCCAAUUAGUCUAAUUCUAGUUAUUCAUGUGUUUCUUGAAAUCUAAAUGUUAGUUUUUGAAUGAUAAUUUUGUUAGUUUGUUUGAUUAGGAAGUCAUAAAUUUGUUGUCUUAGUGAUUGUUGGUCAAUUUUUUUUUAGGACCACUGGAAACCCAUGAAGGUUGGCCUUUACUCUCACCACUUUAAUUGAUAAGAUUUUCUAAAAUCUUUAUUUCGUGAUCUUUGUUUCCUUUUGUUUUGAUUGAUAUUUUGUUUUCUAUUUUUGUUAUUUUAAAAAUUAAUUUCUUUUAUUUUAAAACAAAACUCUUUUUCUCAAAAAAACCCUUUUUAAAAUUUUUUUUUUAUUAUUCAUUUAAAGCCUCUAGAAUCAAAAUCUAUUUUCUUUUUUAAAAAAUAACAUGCAACCAUAUCUUAAUCAGUUUGCAUCCUUCUCAAUUUUCAACAAAAAUAUCCUUCUCAAUUUUCAACAAAAAUUUUGGUUUUAAACAAAACGCGAAUCAAAGCUUGUGGUCCCAAAUAAAUGGAACAAUUUUAGGCUAAAUUCAUGUAUAUUAAUUUGGGGAAUUGGUGAAACCCCUACAUAAGAAAAUCUUUUCAAAAUUUACUUUUGCUACCACCCUACUAUUUAUCAUAAUCAUAUUUACUUUUUUUCUUUUUAGGAAUUGUAUACAAGAUAUGUAUGAUAAUUAAUUAUUCCGAGUUCUGAUAAUUUUUGCUAAUUAAUUAGAUAAGCAUGCUAGGAUUUAUUAUUUAUUAUCUAUUAUCUAUUAUCUAACCCUCAUGUUCUGAGGAAGUGCAUUAGGAGUUAUAUAUGCUAUCCAGGUACGUUCCCAAAAUCUCAUGAAUAUGCAUGUCAUUACCCUUGUUUGAUGCCAUACUUGAUUGCCUCGAUGCUUGUUUGAUCAUCCUUGAUAAAAUGCAUGUCGUGUGUCAUAUUUCUGAAUUAACCAUUGAUGUUUAAUGAUAGUGCUUAAGAAGUGGUUCAGGUACGCACCCUAACUCUCCUUUAUUGUGAUUGAUCUCCUUAUUUAGCAUGCUACUUUCUGAAAAUCACCUAGCUUACUUAAGUAUCCAUAAUUAAUCAAUUAAUUGCCUCAUUUCCCCAAUUUAGUCAGUAAAGACCUCUUUAGGGCUUAGAAGGGUGCUACCUCCUAGAGGUACCUUCCCAAUAAGUAACCUGAUCCCCGGACCUAGACUCGGGUUUUUCAAAGACAUGUUUUUUUCAAAAAUUAUGGAGUCACAUUUUAGGGUUUUUCUUUCUUGUUUUAUUUUCCCUUUAAAAUAAAAAUAAAAUAAGUGGCGGCUCCAACUUUUCCAAAACUAAAUAAUUUUUCACAAAUAAAAAAAGAGUCUCGCCAAUCGAGUGGGGACGCAUGUGAAAAAUGCAGGUCCACAGAGAGGUUUCUUGAGGUGGACAAGGUCAGAAGCAAAGAGCCUUUCCCUACUUUUUGGGGUUGGUUCCUUGAGUUCUUAGGAAGAACUUAGUUAACGUGUGAAUUCAUUCAGGGUAAUUUAUGUAAGAUUUUCUAGAUUUUGCAAGUGAAUGCACCUUAGCUUUUCCUAUUGUAUUUGUGUUUUUUUAGGUUGAUUAUUUUAUUGAUUGUCACCACUCAAGGAAUGGAAGCAAUAGGGUCUCUAGAUGUAGUGCCUAAAGGCAAGCAUACAGGCGUUGUUAGGAGUGUGCUUCCCAUGUCCAACAAGCAUAUUGACACCACCCAAAGCCAAGGCAUCUUUGGACUAGGAGUUCUAGCUUCUACUUAUGUGGACUUUGUAGAUGCAGUCUGGCUCUUCGAAAUAUUUAUUGUUAUGUAGUAGUUAUACACAUGUACUUUGUUUAAGUGAAUUGAUUUUUGGAUUUUUACUUAAAUCAAAUUUAAGGGUAUGUUGUUUAAUUUACUAGAGAUCUCUUGUUUGUAAUUCUCGUUAUCAUAUAUAGAUCUUUGUUAGUAUUUGCCAAUUUCCUCAAUAGCAACUGUAUUAGUUAUCAAUGGAAUGAAUCUUGAGUAACUUGUAGUAUCAUUUUUGGUUUUGAAUUGGCUAAUCUUUUUUGGAAGAAUGAAUUAGAUAUAUGAGCUUGAUUGCAAGCAAUAGUUGAGUUUGUUUUGAUCUUGGGGUAUUUGCCUUAUUGAUAGGACAUAGAUUUUGGGUCCAAAUAGUUGGAAAUUGAUGAGCUUAACCAGGACAUAGAUUUUAUCCCCUUGGGAGAACCACAACACUAACCAGUGUUCCUACAAAAGCUAAUAACCAUGAUUUAGAAAUGUGAUUUCCCUAAAGGGAAGCAUUUCUAAUCUUAUUUGAAGGGAAACUUUGAUGUCUUCCUUAAUACACUAGAAUAUUAAUUUAAAAACAACAAUUAAGGUUAUAUUAACUAUUAUAAUAAUUUAUAAAUUACAUAAAUAUGAUAAUAACUAUUAAAAUAAAAGUAUUAAACAUAAAAAUGUUUAAUUCUGUUGGGUAAAAACUUCAUAAAUAUUUUAUUAUUGAACUUCUAUCAUAUGAUCAAACAUAGUGAUGAUCCUUAGUUGGAUUAAUUAACACUUGUUUCAUAAAUUGAACAACAUAUAACAUGAUCAAUAAACAAACAAGUAAACAUCAUACUAGAUAAAACUAUCUCUUAAGAUUUCAAUUAUUACAUGUUUAAAUUACAAAUCAUAUUUUUGCAACUUUCGUAAAGUUAUGCAAUAGAUAUAAUUAAAAUUAUGAAACAUUGAAAAUGUAUAUUGAUUCAUUAUUCAAAUUCAUCAUAUCAUAUAUAUACUUUAGUUGUCCAUAAGAUCAAAUAAUAACCAAAAUUCGAAAAAUAUGUUUUAUGAUCCAAAAUUGAUUGACACUAAUAUCAAUUGUUACAUAAACUUUAUGUGAAAUAAUUAUUUUGGAAAAUCAAUUUGGAUGCAUAAAGCAUAAUAGUUAUAAGAAAUAAAGAAAUGACAAAAUAAUAAUUAUAUUUUUGUCUUAAUCCAUGAUACCGAUAACACUUUUAAAGUGAGUUCGAGUCACUUUGUGAAUUGUUGGGUCAAGGUAUUCAACUCAUCAUUCUCAUUUAGUAGAUGAGACAAUUGUGUGGUAUAUGUUGUUAUAAGCAAAACAACUAAAAACAUAAGAAUACAAUACAACUUAGGACCUUAACUUUAAAAAAAGAUUUAUAACUCUUAAUCUUCUCAUAAAAGAUUAUAUGAGAGUUAUACUCAUUAUUUUUAAACAUUAUAUAUAAAUUAAUGGACAAUAGUAAACUACCAACUUGAAUACAUUCAUGUAAUUAUAUAAAUUACACUUUUUCAUCUUCCUCUAUUAGUCAUAAACUUUAUAUAUAAAUUAAAUCUCAUAAUGAUGGAGUUACAAAAGUUGUAAUACCAUAUUCGUAUAAAUGAAAAUUUUCUAACUCCAUAUUUAUAAUUUUAAUUUUCUAUGUUAGAAGUUGAAUUUGUUCCACAUCGCCAAGUUACCGGGUUAUUAUGUUGUUUAUAUAUGUGGAUUGGGCACCCUCUCCCUUUAAGCAAGCUUUUAGGGAUGAAUUAUAUUCAAACCCAUUUAACAUGGUAUCAGAGCUUGGUUUGACUGGGGGUCGUGGGUUCAAGCCACCUCUUCGCAAUUCGUAUGUUUGUUCCUCAUUUGCAUGUUUGAAAGUCUAGAAAAGGGUAUUUGCAUUUGUUUGUUUGUCCCUUCACGUGUGGAUAUGGGGCCACACAUAAGAUAUGGUGUUAAAAAGCAUGAAAUGUAUAUUGAACCCAAAUCUUAUAAGUUUAAGCUUUUAGGAAAAUUAGUAAUUCAACAUUCUAUACAUAAAAUUAUUUGAUGUCCAAUCAAUUGAUUCACCUACCUAUCAAUUAAUAUACUUUUAAAUAAAAUAUAUUUCAAUCCAUUACACAAAUAUAAUUAAAACAAAGUACUAUAAUAAUAUGAGUAUGUGACAAAUAAAUAAAAUAAAAAUAAUCACAUGUUACAUGUAAACUAUAUUCAAAGGAAAAACCACAAGUCAUCCCCACUAUUAAACAAUCCAUUGUAUAAUGAUCAAUUACAAAGACCAAGUAUUACCAAACUUAAAAGUAUCUAAAUCAUACUCACUUUGCACAUUUUCUUUAUACUUGGAUCCUUUAAACUCAUUUAUCCCAAUGUGGAAGCAUCUUGAGUUCUAAUCAAGGAAAUCAACCUUUACUUCAUCAAGUUAAAGUCUCUUUAUAUCAUUGACAACCAUAUCAAGAUUUCUUUUGUUGGUUGCUUUCAAAGUCCCACUAGAAUUAGAUUGAAAUUUUUAUAAUCUCUAGAACUUUAACAUAUUAAUUCUUCAAUGAGUCAAUCAAAUAUUAAGUUUUAUCUCCAUAGAUGGACCUCAAUGAAUUUUUCGACAAAGGUGUUAACACUAAUUUCAUAUUAGUAAAAAAAAAUCAUGUGACACAUAUUGAUAUAUAUAUAUAUAUACUAAUUUCAUAUUCAUAGAUUGAAUUCAUGAGAAAAUUAUUCUUAAUUUUGUAAAAAUUAUAUAUAUAAGAAAGUUUUUAGGCUUACUAAAACACAUUACUAACCAAGUGGCAAUAUAUUUAUAAUUUAGGUCUCAUUAUUUUGUAAUCAAGUUUCAUUCAUUUGUAUCAUAUAUGAGUCCUAUUAUGUCAUACCUUACUCUUAUUACAUUGUACUUUGAUCUUAUUUGUUUAAACAUCGAUUUCAUUUCUUUAUAUGUACAUCACAUUUAUUUAUAUCUCAAUCUUAAUUAUUUGUAUCUUUAUUUAACAGUUUAGAUUUCAUUACAUAUUUUUAAAAUUUUAAUUUGAAAUUCGAUAUCUUAGUAUUUUUCUAAAAUAGCUACCUAUAAUCCUUGUAGAGUACUCAAAAUUCACUCCAACCCAUAAAAAAAAAUGACCUCUCUUCGUAAGUUGCUAUACUCAUUGCUAAACUAUAAUUCCAAAAUUAGCAGAACUUUUCAUACUUAUUCUAGGCAAUUAGAGUUGAGAUGUUCCGGGCAUAUACCAUAUUCUUUCAAGAUUUGAAAGAAAUGUUACGAUUUCAGCAUUAAAUAAUGCAUGUCGAUUAACAAUAUUGCUCAGAUUCUUUAGGCAAAGGUCCACAGACAAAAAAAUUAUUUAUUUAUUUUCUGAACCACCCCUGAAAUUGACACCUCCCAUACAGUCUGAUCUGCAUUUCUGUGGCACUAUUUCCCUUAUUCCUAACCAUAAAUCUGCUGCCAUCUCAAUAAUUCACAUCCUUAUCCACUCCUUAUCUAGGGUUGUAACACUUUUUUCAAAAAGAUUUUUUUUUUUUUUUUUCGAAGGGGUGGAUAAGGGUCCUGAGACAAGCUGUGGUAUAAUUAUAAACCCACUUGGGUAAUGGUUUCAUUGUCAGGGUAAUUCUAUUUAAGGUGAAAAUCAGCUGGGUCUAUCAUUCUUGUUUCCAUGUGACUGUUUCCAAGGAGAACUCAACCCUCAAAUCCAUCGAGCAGUCAUAUAAAAAUACACGCAGAUUUCAUAUCUUGAAGCUUGUCCUGUGUUCAGAUCGGAUAACUCACUCAUAUGCCUAAUCACUAAUCGCCAACUUGAGUGUAAAAAAAGCGUGGGGCGAUAUUAUUUGUAUAUGGGUUUGACUGUUUGAGAGAGAAAGGUGGGGUGUCCCUUGGAGGAGUCCAAAGGCCAUUUUUGAACCUGCCUUUGAUUAUCGCCAUGGCAAAUCAACAGCUUGUAGUAUAUAUAUAUUAAUGGAGACCAAGACUCAAAUAGAGAGAGAGACGCGGGGAUGCGAUAAAGAGAACAGUAUAGCCAAGAGUAUAUAAGCAUUUCUCUUGCUGUAAUGGUGAUUCAGAGACUGGAAAUGUGUAUAUCACUGCUGAAAAUGGCAGUAGAGUUUGUGCUUGUUUUCGCGGAGGCAGUCGGGCUAGUCAUCAACCACAAUGCCACGCCGCUUUUGGCAAACUCAGCCUCAGUUGGCAAUGAUGUUUCUGUCCCUUUUAUCGGUUUUCUUCUUUGAAUUCUUCGUCUUGUAGUUUCCUUCCUUACCAGAAUGCUCAUUGGCCAUUGUAUAUGUUGAGGGUUCUUUUUUGCCUUGAUAGAUUUUCUAAAGGAUGUGCAUGUUUGAUAGGAGAGAGUAUAUAUACACAUCUAUGUAAACUUUGAUUAAAUUUUGUUCUGGGUGAGCUUCAUUUUCUGCAAAUUCAUUUGCUGAUAGCUUUGGAAACGAAUCUUCAGUUGUUUGGGUGCUGAUUAUUUGCUUGCUUCACACGAUUUUAUGUGCUGUUCCUUUGGUAAUAAUCUUGUUGGGUGGAUCAAGGAGAAGAGCGAAGAUCUGAGGGAAAAUAGAGUCUGGAGAAAGAAAAGAUGUAAUGAUGAUUAAGAAAGGCUUUAAUAUACUUGCAAGAUCAGGAAAAAAUAUUUCUUGGGUAUCAAUUAUUUUCUUGCUUGAUAUGGGUUUGAUACUCUUUUUCAAUUGGUGAUCAUUCUGGGAAGAUCAAGAAGAAGAAAAUGGGGUCUAGAUGAAGAAAAGCUAUAAUGGCGAUUAUUAAGUGGAAUCAGAUGAAAUAAAAGUCUGUUUCCAUCAUUCUUAAUAUGGUUUCUUUUGUCAAAAAUGGAAGAUGACUUGAUUUUCAUAGUCCCAGCAGGACUUUAGUACUCAUCAAACUCAUAAAUUUUGAACAACUUUGAGCUAACCUUCUGCAUUAAUUUGGUGCAUCUGCGCAGUUGCAGAGUAUGAACACCCACAAAAUCUUAAUAUGAAUCUUUUGGGGCAAUAGCUUCUAUAUAUGAUGGAUGAUAAGAACAAAGCAAAUCUUGGGUUCUCCAUGGGCACGAUCAUUUAUCCGCCAUAUAAAAUGCAGAUUUUCCUAACACCAACCCCUUAUUUUAAUAAAGUCAAGUUAUUUUAAGGCCCCCAAUAUUAGACAUGCCUUAGAAUCAUUGGGUCUGUGAUUAAAAAUGUAGUAAUAUCAUUUAAAAUACCUAACACUGAAAUUUUGAUAAUUUUGAAUGCCAUAGUGUGGAUUUGAAGAAAGAAAUCGCAUCCAAGAUCUCUUCCUUUUCCUGGGAAACAUUAGUCUUGGUCAAUUAUGAACUGUUACACGUUGCCUAUCAUGGUCAUAUUUAUAUUAGCUUUGAUUUCUAUGGGGGAUAUAAUUUAUUUGUAUGCUAAUCAUAGAGGUGAUACAUGUGAUCCACAUGUCAUAUUUGGACUUGGAAGCAAUCAUUGGAUUCCUUUGAUGAACUGGCAAUGGAAGAAUACUAAUUGCUCCGGUCCCUUUCUUUUUUCAAAGUAGGAUGAUCAGGUCCUUUGAUCCCUUCGACUCCCUCUGGCUGUUUUUCUUUGUUCUUUUUUCAAUCAUCCAUAGCUUAAAAUUAAAGCCUUGAUGCCCUCCUCGACUUUCCCAAGAUAAAACACCUUAUCUUCACUUUAUUUCUCUUCCCUUUAAAUUUGAUUUUAGAUCUGAAAUCCAGGGCUUAUGACCCUGUAGAAGAAAGACAGAUAUGAAGCUUGGGAUGAUUUGAACUUCAGUUUGAUUUUCUGCACACUCUGUUAAAACUCCUGAAAUAUAGUUGUAUAUUGCAAUACAUUUAAUUGUUUGAUACAUCUGAACUAUGAUGUUCUAUUAGUAAAAAUUUCUUUGAAUCAAUCCACGGCUCAAAGUACCAAUUUCUAUUGAAACUUUUUUUCUUUUCCUGCUCAUUCAAUUGUUUCAUUUUCCACAUAAUGGUAUGACAACAUCAAGAAUACUUCUCAGCAAUUGCCUGCAGGUGAACCCAAAGCUCUUUUGGCUUAGAGAUCAUGACCAUGUGAUCAGAUCCUUUAAUCUCUUUAACAGCAUCAGGUGGGUUUUUUUCAAUCAUCCAGAGUUGAAAAUCCCUUUUCCCCAGCUUGUCUUCCUCUGAAAUAAUAAAGACACGUUUAACCGAGGCAUAUUUCUUCGACAACAUGAGCUCAUUUGACAUGUCUUCUUCAAUGAACAAGCGUACGGGUCUCAUCAACACAGUCCCUAGUGCCAAGUCCUGGAAUAUUUGUGCCCGAAAUGAUAUGACAACAACAAUGAAGGUCUCAUGAUUUUGGUUGUAAGGCCUUAAUAAAUGGAGUUCUCACCUCAGUUGGGCUCAACUGAUACACAUUCAGUGAUAAGAACAAGGGGCCAAAGCUGAAAGUGGUGGGAGGAUUGUUGGGGCCAUUAUCAUAUGUGAACUGGCUGUCUAGUAGAGGACCUUGUCUCCUGAGUGACUUCAAUAAGAAGUAGAAACCAGGCUAAAAGUCAGAAACAGGGGAAGCCUUCCCCUCUUAAUCAGCAAGUAAAUUUCUGUAAAAGAAAAAUAGUAUGUAUGAAGUACCUCUUGAUUGAGAGUGGAAAUGUUGAGAGUGGGACCAGGCAUUGAGGCAGUAACAAAAACAGCUACAGAAACCUUUUCUGGGAACUUCUCCAUGGCCUGAGAAAUGGCCAAUCCACCCAAGCUGUGUCCAACGAGAACCACCCUCUCAUCUGCAGGGAGUGACUCCACGAAGUCCCUCAGUGGCUGGAAAUACCAAGAAAUUGAUCGCAGAUCACCCACUUGUUUUGGGUUAAUUCCAGAAGCAGCCAAGUCCAGAGCAGUAACUUUGUGGCCAGAUGAUUUUAGUAGUGCCACAAUCUUGUACCAAGACCAGGCACCAUGGCAAGACCCAUGAACUAGAACAAAGUGCUUGACGGGAUUAGCCUGUCUCCCCUCUGAUGCCAUUGGAUACACUGAAGAAACAAGAAAAAUCAGAAAGGAAACAAAAAUCAUAUGCUUCUUCCUUGCUUCCAUACUCCUUUCCUGUUACAGAGAUGGUCAGCACCCCAGCAUUUUAAAGGGCACAAUUGGGUAGGUUUUCACUACAACUACUAAUCUAAUUGAUUAAAAAUUUUCCCGUGAAAUUGACUCUAGAAAUAAAAUAAGGACUAAGGAUUCAAGAACACGUACACUUUGACUGCCAGAGUUUAUGUCUUUUCAUAGAUGACACAUGCACCUGCGUCACACUCUUUUUCAAUGAUAAAGAAGUUAUGCAAAGGAAGAAAGAAUGAAAUAUACAGAGUCAAGUAGUUAACUCCUCCCCUUGAAUUCUUCUCUUGCCCGGAUUGGUUUGUAACUGCAAACAUUUUCUUUUCCCAAUGUGAUCUGUGGAUUGAGUUCUGAUCUCAAUUUGUUUUUGGCAUUUUUGGUUUUGCUUCUGCAAAUCUUGAGAUGUAUCUUUCAAUUAAUAUAAGUUGUGCAGUUAAGGUUUUUGGACAUAUAAAAUGUUAGCCAAACCUUUCCCGUGGCAGGUUGAAGGUACUUUGGGGUAGGCUUGGUCAUGCUUGAUACCUCAGUCUGACUCAAACAUGAUGUUUUCACCCAUUUGAAUUGAUCAAAGUUGUGUUGACUGGCAUGAUUCCUUUAAUAAAGAAGUUGUUUUAGGAUUAAGGCGUACAACACAAAUUUGACUUAAGUAGAUCUAUUUAAUUAUUGUGUAUUAACAUAAUUAUAAUCAAUUGAGUCGAAAAUGAAUUAAAUUAAAAAGUUAAUUUUAUUGAUUUAAAUAAGACCUAAUUCAACCUGAUUAUUAAAUUACUCAACUUAUUAUAUGAUUUGAACACUGCCCACCAACAUUAAUUGUAACCCGUGCUUUGAGUUCAGGUGGCAGCAAGAGUUUGGCCUUUGUUUUGAGUGUUGGAUGAAUGUUGGAUUAACCUUUCCCAUGGCUGUCAAAUUCCUCAUAAAUUAUUGGUGAUUGUAAUAAUUUCCUCAAAAAGUAAUGGUGCUAUAUGCUUCUUUAGGAUCCAUUGAUCUUAAUAAUUCUCUUCCUGGUAUAGGAAGAAAGUGACUAUUCCAUUACUGCAGCUUUCAUUGCUGCUUAUUUAUCAAGCAAAUUACAUUAUUAUUUUCACACCAAAUCUCCAAAUUCACCAUGUACUUAUCCUAUAUACUGCAUGGUGAACUUCAGAGAGCUAAAACAAGCUCUUAUUGAAUACAUGAUAGAUGAUGUCCCACUGACCCUUUUACUCUGAUACCUUGAAAUGAGAAAUUUGGAGGUUUUCCACAUCAAGCUUCUUGAAAUUACUGCGCCUUCUCGCAGCAAAGAACUUUCCCCAGUUGUAUGCUCUGUACUUUGGCUUUUCUCCCUUCGUCAGCUCCUCCAAGGGCUUCACCCAAACAUGGUGCCCGGGACUGAAAAAGACCGGAAUUGAGAACCUUUCCCUCUCUGAAUUCACCGUCACCCUGUGCUCGACACUUUCAUAAGUAUCGUUGCUCCAGACCUGGUUUAAUAUCAGUAUAAUUAGCCAAAAGGGUGCAAAAUUUCUUGAUCCCAACAGUACUGAUAAGCAUGUACUUAUAAUUCAAAGUUCUUGGGUGGUACCUGAAUUAUAUCCCCAACAUUGAUGAUAAAAGCAUCUGGGGUGGGCUUAACUCGAACCCAUUCUCCAUUGGUUUUUCGCUUUACUUCCAACCCUCCAACAUCAUCCUGGGCAAGGAUGGUUAAGGCUCUGGAAUCCUUGUGGCGACCAACGCCCAAAGCUAGGUGAGGGAUGGGGCAAGGUGGGUAGUGAUUGAGGCGGAUGAAGUUUGUUGAUUCUUCAAAGAGAAUAUUGAAUCUGUUUUCUGGCAAACCUAAGCUUAGUGAGAUGAGUCCUAACAGCUUGAAAGCUAGUUUUCCCAUUUCUCUAGCAUAUUCUUCACAUACCUCCCUGUAUUAAUCAGUUCAAUUAGAACAAAAAAAAAAAAGUAAUUCACUGUAGUGACUGUGCCUUAACUGGUGAAACUUGUACCUUAAUUCAGGAGGGUACUGAGGCCACUGAUUGGUCAGCUCUUUGAGCUCCUUGUCGUCAGGAUCAGGCGAAGCAGGGAUGAAGGCGGGGGUAGGCACCACGAAAUCAAAGACUUCCUUCCAGUCCCUAACGUUCUUGGUAUGCUCAGUAUCAAAGUACCCCAAAGGAUUCACCUCAUCUCUACUCACCUUCCUCUUCUCCUCCAGUGGGAGAGCGAAGAACUUCCUCGCGGCAUCCUCAAUUUUACGACGAGACUCCGAGGGCACCCCAUGGUUGAUGACUUGAAAGAAGCCCCAGUUCUUGCAUGCAUCAGCUAUUUGAGAAACAUGGUUGGAAGCAUUGGCGGAAGAGAGAUCAAUGAGGGGGAUGCCUUCAGCUUCGAUAACAGCGAGCUCAGGCCUGUGUUGGGUGUCUUGGAUGAAGGCUGGAUCGACCUCUCCCAUGGCUGUGGUAGUGGUUAGAACUUAGAACUCAGAAAUGGUGGUUAUGCACUGCUAGUGUUAGCUGCAGGUGAAGAUGGUGACGGGGAUUUGGCCACUUGGCAGGUGGUUUAGUACAUUGAACCUGGACAUAAAUUGGGUUACGUUUUAAGUUUUGGUUGGGGGUGUGAGCUCACGGGUUGCGCAUAUGUUAAUGAUAAUUGUUCAAGUGAUUUUACCGACAUAAAACAAAAUCUGCCGCCCCAAAGGAAUCUCUCUCAAUGAUUUUACCGACAGCACUCUCCACAUUCAAAUGUUUCAUCCGUAUUUGAAUUGGAGUCUAAUACUCUCAUUGUUUAAUUAACUCCAGCUUGAUUAAUGAAUCCAGUGGUGUCGUGUAUAUUUUCGAAUUCUCUGCUUUAUAUUUAAACCUUCUUGGUUUUUAUGUUCUCAUCCAAUGGUUUAAAACCCAAAAACGAUGCAAAGAGAAAAAGAGAAAAAAAAAAAUAUACAACACAAUUGGAAUUAAAAUAUAUGUAAUAAAAAAAAUAAAAACUAAUUCAUUUUGAGUUUUAUUUUUCAAAAUAAUAACUCUAAUAUAAUAACUAAAUAAAUAAACAUAUAGUAAUUAAAUACAUAAUAACUAAAUAUAUUAAUGUCUUCUCAUAAUUGAGACUUUACAACAUAUACUCAAUUUUUAAACAAUUCUAAAAAAAUAAGUGAAAAUAAUUAAAAAUACUUAAAAUAUGUUACCAACAAAUACCUUAUUGUCCUAACAAAUCUCAAAAACCUUAUUUAGGACCAAUUGAAAAUCAAAAAAAAAUUCAUAUUUCUUUACUCUUGAAAAAAAAAAAUGGUUCUUGAUGACAGUCUCAAACAUAUCCUCCCAUUUGGUUAUUUUAUUGUAUAAGUUUUUCAAUAAAAUAAAAUAAUUAAUGAUAGUGUUUGUAAGGAAAAAUCAAAAUAUCAUACAAAAUUAAUACACAUCUUUUUAUUAUUCAAUAUUUCUAUAUCAUAUUUACAUUUUUUUUUAUAAAAAAAUUAUAUAUAUACAAUGUUUUAAAAACCGGAUCGGAUCGGCCGAUCCAACCGAUGACCGGUCACAUUUUCGGUCCGAUCCACUCUAUUAAACCGUUUAACUAUUGGAUCGGUUACGAACCGCCUAAACCAACGGUCAAACUGGUGAACCGAACAGUCCAUAUUGGCCCAUCAUUUUGCAAGUCCAUUGUAUAAAAAAUUAAAAGUUGUAGGCCAAAAACCAUACUAGGCCAUGUCUUAACAUGACAAAGCCCGCACCCAAACCAUUUAAGUAGGCUCAGUUUUGAGCCCACAAGGUGGGCAUGCUGUUGCUUUCAAUGAGGAUACUUUUUAUAGGCAUCCUUUGCACCCUUAUUUCUCUCACAAUCCGAUGUGGGAUUGCAAACUAAUAUGAUAAUAUCAAUGAAAAAAAUUUAACAAAUGCAACAAGAGGGAGGAUUUGAAGUGGGACCUCAGGUUUUGUAAAUAAACUAGGACACCACUCGGCUACUUAUUUGAUAUGCCAAACAAAACAAUAUAUGUUGGAUUUUAAUUUUUUUUUAAUAUUAAAUAAAAAUAAUAUAAUAUUUUUAAAAAUUAUAAAAUUAGUUAAAUUUUUCAUUUUGAAUAUAUUCACAUUUAAAUAUUGUACACAUUUCAUUUAAUAUGAUUUAAUUUGAUAAUAUCAAAUAUAUAAAAUAAUAUUAUUGAUUUUUAAUUUAUUCAUAUAUAUUUUAAAAUUUUUAUAAUUAUUUUUAAUUUUAAUAAUAUAUAAAUUACAUAUUUAUGACGUCAUCGGUUCGACCGCGGUUCGACCAUCGAUUCGACCGCGGUUUGAUCGGUAAACCGUGAACCGGUAACUUUUUCGAUUCAAUGACCCAUCCGGUUCUGAAAACAUUGUAUAUAUACAUAAUUUUAUCAUUUUUUUAAGUUAUAUUUAAAAUUUUCAUAUAUUUAAUCAAUUUACUAAUAUCAAUAUUUCCUUACAUAUUUUAAUAGUCGUAACCAUACAAAAGAUUGUCAAAUUAAAGGAAACAACACAUGAAAUGAGGAUGUGGAAAAAAAAAACACGAUAACAACGAAAUCAUGAUUUGUUUUUUAUUAUUCAAUAUUAUUAUAUCAUAUUUACAUUUUUUUUAUAAAAAAAUUAUAUAUAUACAUAAUUUUAUCAUUUUUUUUAAGUUAUAUCUAAAGUUUUCAUAUAUUUAAUCAAUUUACCGAUAUCAAUAUUUCCUUACAUAUUUUAAUAGUCGUAACCAUACAAAAGAUUGUCAAAUUAAAGGAAACAACACAUGAAAUGAGGAUGUGGAAAAAAAAAACACAAUAACGACGAAAUCAUGAUUUGUUUAAGGCGAAGGAAAUAAUAGUGAGAUAGACAAAGCUUAUAAUAACAAAGUACUGACAUUAUUAAUAUGUGGAAUUUGGUUUUCAGUUUUUUUUUAGAUUUUUAUAUAUUAUAUCUAUAAAUCUUAAUUCAAAUCUAAGUAAUACUUAAUAGAACUAUGAUGUUUGUUUUUUUUUUUUUUUUGUUUCUUUUAUCUAAAUCUUAAAGCAAUUUGCUUAAAAAUUGAAAUCAUUUUUAAAAUUAUUUGUUUAUUUCAUUUUAAUAGGAAAAAUAAAUAAUUUUACUUUUAACUAUGUAUACCUUAGUGAUGGGAUCAAAUUCCCAACGCAAUCAGUUUGAAUAACAACAUAUGAUUGAAGACGAUCAUCGCUAAAAGCUCUAUAUUCCCCAACCCAAUCAGUUUGAGCUCAAAACCAAGCUGCAAUUCAACCUAGUUUUGCAAUGGAUUGCAUCAGAUUUGUUUCCAAGAAGAUAAAAAUAAAACGAAACUUGGAAUAAGCAUCAAUGAAGUGAAUGUGAAACUGAUAGCCAAUAGAGGAUUGUGUAUUUGACACUCCCCAAAAAUCUGACUGCAUUAAUUUGGAGCAGUUCCGUAUAUUGAGUUGCAGAUAAUGGAAAUGGGAAUUCAUGGAUUUUGCCCAGACAACAUGUUGAAUUGAAACUACUCAAUUCAACAGAAAAGAAGCUACCAUGAUGGAGGUUGAGGAGUACUCCAUUGUUGGCAGUGGAGGCUCUCAUACCGUCUGAAGAAGCUAAACCAAAAGAAAUUCCAGCAGAAAAGAAAUGCUUUUUCCCUCAUCUAAAUAAUUGAUUACAAAAUUCUAUACAUAGCUAAUUGUAGAACAAACUUUAAUUAUCUGGAACUGUGAUAACAAACUACUAAUUGGGUCAACCAACUCUCUUGGCAUGAUUUAUUUAGAGUCCAACACCAUGAUUUUUCAGGGACUAAAAGUGGAAAAUGGUCUUACAACAUCAUUGUUCGGAAACUCUGAAAUGAUGAAUCUGAAUGUUUUCGACAGUUUGCUUCUUGAAAUCACUCCUGUUUCUAGUUGCCAUGAACUUUCCCCAGUUGUACUCUUUAAAUUUAGGGGGGUUUUCCUCAUUGGUCAACUCCUCCAAUGGCUUCACAUUCACAUGAUGCACCGGUAAGAAAAAGAAUGGAAUCGAAAACCUUUCCUUCUCACUAUUCGCCACCACCAUGUGCUCCACGCUCUCAUAUUUAUCAUUGCUCCAAACCUGUAUAGUGUUGGAUAAAUAUUGAGAAAAAGUAACACCAAUUUCUCCAACAUGUUUUUCUUUUUUUUUAAAUAAUAAUAAUAAGAUACAAUAUAUAAGACCUAGCUAUUAUAAUACCUAUAAAAAAAACUCAAACCAAUCACAACAUGUCAUGUAUAUAAUUAAGUUUAUUUACUUCGUAUAUGAUUUCAUUUUUCUAGAUCUAGUCUCGAUACUUUUAUCCCUAUCCAAUGCUCUAGAUUUUAUCCUAUACUUUUGAGGAGGUUUUGAAUUGAUAACCUACAAUUUUCCAAUGUGUACAAAUGAAAUUGAAGUCAUUUGAUGGAUCAUACCUGAAUAAUAUCACCAACAUCAAUGAUAUAAGCAUUUGGAAUAGGCUUUACUCCAAUCCAUUCACCAUCAACUUUUCCCUUCACUUCCAACCCUGUGACACCAUCUUGAAAGAGAACGGUUAAAGCUUUGGCGUCCUUGUACCGACCCACAACGAGAGAGCUUCGGCCACGAGAACGGCGGAGAGUGAUAAUUGAGUCGGAUUAAGCUGGUUUGCCAUUGGAAUAACUCAUUCAACUAGUCCCCGGCCAAGCCUAAGCUUAAGAAGAUGAGUUCUAAGAACUUGUUGGCUAAUUUUUCUAUUUCUCCAACAUAUUCUUUCCAAAUUUUCAUGAAAAUAAGUCAUUAUAUAAAAUAUAUCAAUACUCAAAAUGAAUUUAAUAAAAUCUUGCCAUGCCUUUACGUCUCUAUUUGAGUUUGUUUGCCUUUGAGUUGUGCCUUUACGUCUCUACUUGAGUUUGAUCGACUUUGAGUCGCAUUUUUAUGCCUCUAGUUGAGUCUAUUUAGCUUCAAGUCGUGCCUUAACAGUUCGAGUUUAGUCUAUUCGGCUUCAAACCGCACUUUUACAUCUCUUUCAUCUUUGAGCCACGUAUUUAUGUCUCUAGUUGAUUUUGUUUGACUUUAAGCUGCACCUCAUGCCUUUAGUUGAGUCUGUUCAGCUUCUAGUCGUGCAUCUAUAUUUCAAGUUGAGUUUAUUUGGCUUCAAGUUGUGUCUUUACGUUUCAAGUUGAAUCUAUUUGGCUUCAAGUUGAAUCUAUUUGGUUUCAAGUCGCACCUUUACAUCUCUAGUUGAGUCAGUUCAACUUUGACCCACGUCUUUACAUUUCUUGUUGAGUUUGUUCAACUUCAAGUCAUGCUUUUAUGUCUCUAGUUGAGUUUGUUUAGUUUCAAGCCACAGCUCUACAUCUCUAGCUGAGUCUAUUCUGCUUCAAAACAUGCCUUACAUUUCAAGUUGAGUCUAUUCGGCUUCAAGUUGCGCUUUUGCAUCUCUAAUUGAGUCUAUUCGACAUUGAGCUACGCCUUUACUUUUCAAGUUAAGUCUAUUUAGCUUCGAGCAACGCCUUUAUAUUUGGAGUUGAGUCUGUUAGGUUUCAAGCUACGCUUUUACAUCUCUAGUUGAGUCUAUUCGACUUUGAGUCAUGCCUUUAUGUUUUGAGUUGAGUUUAUUCAACUUUGAGUUACAUUUUUGCGUCUCUAGUUUAGCAUGUUCAACUUGAAGCAAUGUCUUAACGUUUCAAGUUGAGUUUGUUCGGCUUUGAGUUGCGCCUUUACGUCUCUAGUUGAGUUCGGCUUCGAGUUGUGCCUUUUUGUUUCGAGUUGAGUUUGUCUUAACUUUGAGUCACACCUUUACGUCUCUAAUUGAGUUUGAUUGGCUUCAAGCUGCGUCUUUAUGUUUCAAGUUGAGUUUGUUCGGCUUCAAGUCGUAGCUUCAAGUCAUGCCUUUAUGUCUCUAUUUGAGUAUGUCUGGCUUCAAGCCACGUCUUUAUGUUUUGAGUUGAGUUUGUUAGGCUUUGAGUUGCACCUUUACGUUUCGGGUUGAGUUUGUUCAGCUUUGAGUCACAUUUUUAUAUAUCUAGUUGAGUUUAUUCGACUUCGAGCCACACCUUUGAGUUUCAAGUUGAGUCUAUUCGGCUUCAAACCACACUUUUACGUAUCUUGUUAAGUCCUAUUCAGCUUCGUGCUAUGCCUUUACAUUUCUUGUUGAGUUUGUUCAGCUUUGAGUAUCGUCUUUAUCCUUAUUAAGUUCAUUCGGCUUUAGUCGUGCCUUCACCCUUAUCCUUAGUUUUGAGCCUAUUUGACUUCAAGCCAUGCGUUUGUCCUUGUUAAGUUUAUUCGGCUUCAAGUCGCCUCCUAGUUUUAAGUUUGUUUGGCCUCAAGCCGCACAUUCCCCUCUAUUUGAGUUCAUUUAGAAUUUUCCCCUUCCUCGAGUUUAUUAUGACAUUCUCUUCCUUCAAUAUCAUUUUUUGUGAGUUAAUCACUUCUUAUCUUGGUUGUCCUUGAGUUGUAUGUUGUGUCACGAUCUAGUGUUGUUCAUUGCAUAUACACUCCCCACAUUAUUUGUAUCUUUAUCUUAAGUUUCUUCCUUAGUAUGUGAUCCUGAUCUUUGAGCUUAGCAUGCCAUGUGUUAUGAAAAAAUUAUGAGUUCUCUUUUGUUCUUCAAUGCAAUUCACUUCAUACCAUUCAUCACUCAUGUUUCACUCUUCGUGUUCAGUUCACUCAUGAACUAUAUCAAAUAAGGGCAUAUUUAUAGACCCUCCAUUUUGUCUCAUAGCACGUAUGUUUGCAUUUUUUAUUUUCCUCUCGCCCCAUGCCCAUUUUAAUUUGGUGUCCGUUUGGAUACUUCUUGCUUAAUCAUUCAUCAUCCCUUAUUAGUUCACAUUUACUUGGCUCAUUAAUCAUUUUUUAGCCACAUUUUGGAGGCCAUUUAGGGCGAUUUUGGGUCUAAGCUUUUUUUUUUUAGAGGCUCUCAGUAGAUGGCUCAUAAUGAGGACACGUGUUUUUAAAGGGGUCUUCUAGAGGCUUCUAGGGUCAGUUGGGAGAGCACGUUCUUAUUUAUAUAUCUAUUGUUUUGGAGGUGAGUUGUACACCAAGAGAAUGAGGGAGUAGAUGGAGGUUUUUUAAACAUUGUAAGAGGAGAUUCGUUUUGAUUGGCAUUUAUACCAAUAAAAUCUUGGGAUUACUGAGAACUCAACGGGACCUUCCCUCUCAAAUCAUACAAACUUGGCCAAAGAGGGGUGGGUACCAUUGAGUUCUUAGGCUUUCAUGUCGAUAACUCAAUUCAUCUUAUUACUAAAGGGAUGAACCCAAUCCGGAAUAUGAACCAAAAAAGAAAAUGUCUAUUAAAUUGAUGACAGGAAUACCAGUUACAGUAGCUAUUAGCCAAAAGGAAUCCUUCCAAGUUGGAGGUGGUUAGAGAGAGAGAAGGCUGGGCGAGAGAGAGAGACACGUAAAGAGAAUAUUCUCUCUGGUGAGGGUUUGUUAGACGGGAAGCAAGAAGCUUGAGGGUAGAGAGGACAAUCAGAGGAGGAGUUUGGAGGAAGAGGGGAAGGGAGCUCGAAGGCAAGCAGAUCAGUGCUUGAGGGGACGUUUUUCCAAGUAUGAUUAUUGGGUCUCUCAUUUUCCGCUGUUCUCCUUUCCUUCCCGGUUGAUCUCUGGAUUUUAGUUGAUGCUUUGAUAUGGAUUCCAGAUGCCACACUUCAUCUUGUUGAGCAUUGGUUAGCUAUGGACUUGUUACUGCUACUCUUCUGUUUCUUUUGAGUUAACUUUGGAAAUGAAUCUGAAUAUAGACUGGUAUUUGCUGCUUGAUGUUUCGGGAAUCAUAUUUUAGUUGUUUAAAAUUCAUUCUGGCAUGUUCGGUUCCUUCAAGCUCAUUGAUGAAAUAAUGAAAUGGAGCUCUAUAUAUUUGUUAAUGGGUUGGUUCUCUGUUUGGUUAUCUUUUAAGUUCUUCCUCUUCUCUUUUCUCGUUGCCUUCUCUUCUCUAGGGGGGUGUCGUUUGAGCAUAUGCAUACUAGGAGAAAUGGGGAGCUGGAGGCUUAUCCUGGCAUCAACCUCGCGUUGGGGACGGCUUGAUCGAAGAACAUAUGAAUUUUUCAGAUACCUAGAACUUACAUCAAAAGAAGCCUCGGAGUCUAGGUCAAACACAAACACAUCCUUUGCCUUGGUGAUUUUAUUGACUUCUGCAUGAUGGGCACCCGAGGGUGGGGACUGGAAGAGAAAUGAUGAAUCUGCCUAAUAUAGUUUGUCUAGAAAGGAGCUUGUAUUAAAUGAUGGUUACCCACUGUGUCAGAUGCUGAAAUCUGGGUAUGAGGACUCCCGGUGGCAUCGGAAAGAUGAGUCGCACCAUUCUUCCCACAGUAGAAAGCUUGACCUCCGAAUUUGGGCUUUUUCAUGGCCAGACGAGAGGAGUGAUCGCAAUAGUGCGAGCAGAGCCAGUCAAAUUAAGCCUGUUAUCAGAGGAGUGAACCUACUGCCUUGUUCUAUCUCCGAUGGUCUGCUCAGCUCCUUCAACCUCCACCGCUCUCCUCUUUCCAAGUUCUCCAUUUUCAGUCUAGAGCCAACAAGAGUCGCAGAAAUCCUCAAAGAUUGACCUACAUGGUAUCGUGAGUACCUCGAUGUGGAUGUUCUUAAUGAGUUGUCAACUGGAGCCAAAUGGGUGUUUGAUAAGACCCAGUGAAGAUGUAAAAAUUAUAUAAUGAAGCUUGCAGAAAGACUCAAGGGUUGAUGGAAGGCAUCUCAACGAAGUUUGGCUUUUGUAUUGUGAAUCUGGCAAAUUACCUAUACUGCAUGGAUCAUCACUCUUUUCACGUGGAGGUACACAUGUCCUUUGUACUGUACACUUGGGGCAUCACAACCUGGUGAUGAUCAACGACUGGAUCCUCUGGUUGGUCCUCCAACAAAGCGCUUCAUGCUUCACUGAAAUUUCCCGGAGUUCUCGAUUAACGAAGUUGGCCAGCUUCUUAACCUGCACUGUUCCACAGAAGUCGCAUAAAGAUUUGACAUUGAAAUUGAUGUGGUUUUUCCUUUGCCAAUGGUGGUGGGCGCGCUUUGUAUGUAGAUUCCGAAGGAACUUCCAACUUGAUGGCUGUGAGUGGUAAUUAGGUUGGAGAAGAAACUACUGGGUCUGCCCCAUUAGUUUUCCAUUGUUAAGGUAGUUUGGUGCACAGCUUUCUGGAUCAUCUACACCACCAGCACCUCCAGCCGCCUGUUUUGAUCAGUUUCUGGAUUUCCAUCUCCAAAUUGUGCAAGCAGCGACUGAUUUGGUGUCCAUACAAGCGGCUACUGAAAUGGUUCAAACCUCAAAUGCUGAAGGGAAAGGAGCUUUUGGAAAAUAUCAUGAAGAAGACUCACCCAUCUUACAUGAAAUUAUACACAACUCCAUGGACCAGAACCGGAACUCAGACUUAAAUUUGUCCAAGAGAAGAUCAGUGUUAUACAAGUCAAUUGCAGUCAUUCCUGAAAGAAGUGAUCAGAAGAGUAAACCUGGAAAAGCAGCGAGUGAAACAAGGUCUGUGACAUUGAACAAUUUGCAGAUGGGUGUUCCCACAAGCUCCUUUCCCCUCUUCCCACGUGCAUGAAAUUCCUACAUGCAUGGCCACCUUCUUAGGUGUGCAAUUCGGUGCAUAUGCUCAAGCGUACUACCCCCCUCUUCUUUUAAAAAAAAAAUGAUUUUAAAUUUAAAUUUUUGACAAAUUCAUUUCCCUUUUAAAAUCCCUCCUCAGUAAUUCUCUUCAAAUUAAUAAAAUCUAUUUUCAAUAAAUUUCUGCUGUCAUCUUCCUUUUGGCGUGGACCAUUUUUCUAUUUUCUUUGAUUUUUAAUAAUUUUCUGAUUUUUUUUAAUAAAUAUGAAUAAAUUCUAUGUUUUUUAAAAUAAUGGAAUUUUCUCCAAAUUUCUAUUAUCUUUUUCUCCGAGAUCAUUAGGAAGAUGAAAUUCCUAAAAUUAAUUCAUGCAAAUAAAUUGGACGUUGGUGGGUCCAACAUAUGAAUUUUUCUCUUUUGAUUAUUAAUUUUAAUUGCUACGCUUGAUUGAUUAAUGAUUGAUCUCUACCUUGCUCUAACAUACAUAAGAUUUAUUGUGUUUGUGAUUGUACACUAACCAUGUUUCCCACGAAACGCUCAACUUAUUGCUAUUGUACGUUCCUUCCUUCUCCUAUUUGUUUAAGUAUAGCUCAACCAUAAUACAUCACUGAUAAUUACUUGGUAUCUAUUGAUUUUUUGAUCAAUUGUCAUAUACCUUAACGUAAUUAUCAGAGACCUGAUUUUAGGGUAUAGAGGGGUUUUACAACUUAUUAUCGUACCUUUUCAAUAAGUAACCUGACCCUCGAACCCAAACUCGGUUUUUUAUAAACCUGUACUUUCCUUUCAAGUUUCAUAUUUAGAGUUUUAUUUUUUAUUUUGUUUUCUAUUUAAAAAUAAAAUAAAAAUAAGUGUCAAAUUUAAAACCAUAUUUUCUAAAAAUCAAUUGUUCAUCAAUUUAAACUGAGUCUUGUCUUCUUUUUUUUUUUUCAAGUGAGGACAUGAUCUCAGGUCCACAAUACUAUUUUAAUAUAUAUCAUGAAAUAUAGAUAUUAACGUCAUCUUAAAGAUAUAAUUAAAUUUUUUGUUUAAAAUAAAUUAUAAUAAUUUAAAAAUAAUAUUUUAUUUAAAAUAAAUUUUAGAAUAAGCAAAGUUAAUAAGUGGACAUAGAGAAUUAUGAACCAUUGUAAAUGUAUUGAUUAUAUCUCUUUCUUCCCAUUUCAUUUUUACUCUAGUUUUUAUUAUUCGCAUCUUUUUCUACUAAAAUUUGAAAAAGAAAUUCACAUUCAAUUCAUUCGCUUCUUCUUGGGUGUAUGUCAUAGGAUUCAAAUUGUUUUUAAAAAAUAUUAAAUUUGUUAAUUGUGGCUAUAUGCUUAUUUAGGAUCCAUUCAUCUUAAUAACUCUCUUCCCGAUAUAGGAAGAAAAUGGCUAUUCCAUUAAUCCAGCAUGCAUUGCUGAUUAUUUAUCAAGCAAAUUACAUUAUUAUUUUCACACCAAACCUCCAAAUUCUCCAUGCAUAUACGCAUCCUAUACUGCAUGGCCAACUUCAGAGAGCUAAAACAAGCUCUUAUUGAAUUCAUGAUAGAUGAUGUCCCACUGACCCUUUUACUCUGAUACCUUGAAAUGAGAAAUUUGGAGGUUUUCCACAUCAAGCUUUUUGAAACUACUGCGCCUUCUCGUAACAAAGAACUUUCCCUAGUUGUAUGCUCUAUACUUUGGCUUUUCCCCCUUCGUCAGCUCCUCCAAGGGCUUCACCCAAACAUGGUGCCCGGGACUGAAAAAGAACGGAAUUGAGAACCUUUCCCCCUCUGAAUUCACCAUCACCCUGUGCUCCACACUUUCAAAAGUAUCGUUGCUCCAGACCUGGUUUAAUAUCAGUAUAAUUAGCCAAAUGGGUGUAAAAUUCCUUGAGCCAAACAGUACUGAUAAGCAUGUACUUAUAAUUUAAAGUUCUUGUGUGGGACCUGAACUAUAUCCCCAACGUUGAUGAUAUAAGUAUCUGGGGUGGGCUUCACUCGAACCCAUUCUCCAUUGGUUUUUAGCUUUACUUGCAGCCCUCCAACAUCAUCCUGGGCAAGGAUGGUUAAGGCUACGCCAUCCUUGUGGCGUCCAGCGCCCAGAGCUAGGUGAGGGAUGGGGCAAGGUGGGUAGUGAUUGAAGCGGAUGAAGUUUGUUGAUUCUUCAAAGAGAAGAUUGAAUCUGUUCUCUGGAAAACCUAAGCUCAGAGAGAUGAGUCCCAACAGCUUGAAAGCUAG